rnacentral:lncRNA from 1 species
UGCAAAGAAUCCUAUACAUCAUGAUAGGACGAAACACAUCGAGAUAAAUCGACAUUUCAUUUCAGAAAAGAUUGAGAAGGCAAUUGUACAGUUGGUCUAUACUCCUACAAAAUCCCAAAUGGCACACAUACUCACUAAAGCUUUUUCAAGAACUAACUUUGAAGAACUGAGUCACAAGCUGUGCAUGUACAAUAUCUAUGCCCCAGCUUGAGGGGAAGUGUGGAAUUCUAGCUUAAAGUUAGUGAGGAAUGCUAGGGUUUGUUAACGUUAUUUUUGGUAUUUUGUUAUUAGUUCCAAAUUUAAUAUAUUUCCUUGUUUAGUGGAGAUUUUGGUCUCUAAUCAGUUAAGAUUGAGUCCCGGUCCUUAUGGUGACUGAUUGCACCAUUCUCUUGUAUAUAUAUAUCAUGUUGUAUUAUAUAGAAAGUAAGAGAAUUAAUAAAUAAAUAAAAAUUCACUUAUCAUAAAUCUUCAAUGUGCAAAGCAUCAUUAUUCAAAUUUUUUGUUUGUUUGUUUUUGUUUUGUUUUGUUUUGUCUUGUCUUGUUUUGUUUUGGAGGUAAUUGUGUUGGAUGACUUAUGUCUGUGUUAGACAACAAAGCCUAUCUUAAUGCUACUGUAAAGCAAGACUAUGCUAAUAACCUUUUAAUGUUUACAGUGUUUAUGCCAAACUGAAUUUUUAGUUUCCCUAAUUGAAAAUUUGUUUGUUUUCCCUAUUAUAUCGAUGCUAUUGUUAGAUUUGUGUUUCUAUUGAUCAAGCAUGUGCUAAAACUUUGUUUUUUUUUUUUCCUUUGCUACUUCAUGUGCAAAGCAUUAUUAUUUGAAUUUUAAUGAUUCCAUUCAAUUCAUUAUUCAAUAUUUUCAUUUGAUAUUACAUCUAUCACAUUUGUUUUCUUUUCUUAGUUUGUUUUGUUUUGUUUUUGUUUUUUUUUUUUAAUUUGUGAAAUUUGAAUUUGAUGGAGCCACCAUUAAUUUAUUUUUCCUUAUUAUUGUGGGGUGUGCUUUAUUUUGUUCAUGUAAAUAUCAUCGUUGUGGCACUAUUAUUAUUAUGUAACCUUUUUUUUGUUUAAUCUAUUGUUCCUAUGAGCAUUAAAUUCUCCUAAAAUGUAUGGAACAGGCUAAACCCUUUCUAUAGUUAUUUUAAAAAAUUUAUUUUUCAUCUAUUUUCUUGUGCUCAAAAAAUUAUAUUUUUUAGUAAAAUUGAAAUUUUAGGGAGCGCUUAUGCCUUAAUGACUCAACCCCUUGAGGGUUUAUACCUAUCUUAGCAAGAUGUAAACCCUCAUGCCUCUUAUGCUUUUACCUUAUGAAACUAUACCCAAAAACAAACACCACAACUCCUUGCCCCGAUCAAAGGAUACUUGAAAGUUUGCUUCAAAUCAAUUUCAAGGCUAAUAAUCAUAGGCUUGUCAAAUUCAUGUUGCUAAAAUUGGUAUUGUAACCAAAGUAAUAUUAGGAAAUCUUCAAGUUUCAGCUCCUCUUUUUAUGUUGGCUCUUGUAUUGUUAGGUGGCUUCAACCUUUUGCUUUACUUAUGCUUUAUGAGCUACUCCAAUUAAAAUAAUGCUUCAAGUAGAUGUUCUUUGGAUCUUCACUCUAGCAAGAUACUUGCAUUGCAAAAAUUUUUUGUAGUCCUAGAUAGGUUAACUAGGAAGACAAUAGCUUGCUUAAGAGGAUUGCCUCCUCUUCUAUUGGGUUUGUAAAAGUUUUGCUUCUCCCUUGACUUUAGGAGUCCCGUGGUUUCAAAUUUGGGUGUGCUCUAGGUUGUAGCAUGCCUUAUGCUUUCUAAAUGGUAAUCUUCUUCUUGUUUUGGCUAGGAUUCUUUCAUUUAUUUUGCUUGUUUGCUUUCUUUGUUUCUUUAUUGUGGUUGAAGGAUCACCAAUCAACUUUUUAUUCUCUGCAAAAAUUAUUUAUGUUUCAUACCUAAAAAAGAAAAAACAAAGGCUAGUUAGCCUAGAACAUGUUUUAUCUUGUUCUUCUUUUACUAUUAGUAUGGAUUCAAACUUGGGAAGAGGCCUUGAAACAAGUUGCAUUUGUGUUUUCUUAACAUACAUCUUUAUUCGAUCAUUUUUGUUAAGUAUUUGGUGUCUUGUUUGUUCUUUUAGUUGUUUUUGUCUCUGUCAAAGUGUAUAAUUGUAAUAUCCCAUAUCAUAUAGGGAAAAAAGUUUUUCGUGCUAUAUAUAUGUAUAAACUCCACUUAAUCUUGUAAAUGUGUUUUAAAGUCACGAGGGUUUCUUAGGUUCAGAGCAGAUAAUAUCUACACAGUUGGAAGUAGGUCAUUACUAAUGGUAUCGGAACCAAUCUCCAACCUCAAUGUGAGAGAUUGUUUAGCACCGAAAGGAGUGUCUAUCUAUUUGACCCUACAAUCAUGUGGAAUAUAAUAAGGAAAUUGGGUUUGCAUGAGGAGUGUGAUUAUGAUAUCCUACAUCGAAUAUGGGAAAAAGUUUCUAAUGUUAUAUAUGUAUGGACUCCUCUUAACCUUGUAAACGUGUUUUGAAAUUGUAAAUGUCACUUAAGUUUAGAGUGGACAAUAUCUAUACAAUUGGGAGUAGGUUGUUAUAAUAAUUUUGAUUUUCCUUCCAUAUAUGUUUAAUUGCAUAACAUUAUCAUAGAAAAAUAUUCAUCUAUCAUAAUGUAGCGUCUUGUAAAGCUUAUGUUGGGUGUUAUGAUUUUAUCUCUCAUCAUUUUUAUUAUUCUGAUUCAACAUCAUCUUAGCUUAUAAUCAAAAGGCUAUAAAUUGUAGGAUUCUUUUCUCCAAUUUUUUACUUGAUAUCUUAUAAUGCCAUGAAAUGUCUAUAUUUUGAUGCAGAAAGUCGUUCAUCCUUCAUCUCUCUCACUAGUUUUGCAGAACCAUAGUCAUUAGGCACAUGCAAGCGUUAGACAUGCAGCCACUUCCAGUGUUGGAAGAGACUUUGAACUACCUCUUAAACCUAUUAGAUCCACGGAGCAUCCUUUUGAAGUGGUUCAUGAUUUCAUCUUUGAUAGGACAAGAUCAAUAAGACACGAUCUUAGCAUGGAGAAUAUUGUUAAUGAUCAAACAAUUCAUACGUAUGAAGAAAUGGUAUAAAUUUCUUGAAACAUAAUCUUAAUUACCUUUCUUUUCUUAGCAUUAAUCUCCUCAAUAUACAAUAAGUUAGCCAAUCCACUACUAAACACACUCCUAGUUGCAGAAAAUAAUCAAAAUAUACAAGAGAUGUUGUAUAAUUGAGUCAUUAUCCUCUCUUUUUGCUUUAUUGAAUAAGAAAAUUCUAUUCAGUGGAGUCCAAAUGAGGUGAAACUGUGAUCACACAACUUUUAAAGCCUACUUUAUAAUGGAUAAAUGAAUGGUCUGGUUCUGAAUCUUUCUCGGCACAUUAGUUAUUAUCCAAUCCAUUCUAAUUAAGUUAUCCACUAUUGAGUGUCUAUUUCCAAUGAAAGUUAUGAAAGGCCCAUAGAACCCAAGCAACUCACACCGCUUGCGAUGGGAAUUGGUGUUCUUUCCCGUAAUGUCAAGUUUUCUAGUACACUUGGUGACUUUGUAGAAUAUGCCUACGGAAAGGGCUGCCACCUUCUAAUUCCCAAUCAUACAAGUUUCUUAACCAUAUUUCAAAAGUUGUAUUUCUUGUUCCGUCUCUUAAAGUUUUUUAAACCUAUAUCUCUUUAUCCUUGGCAAUUCAGAAAGAUGAGGAAACUAUUUAACAAGAACUCCAUCAAUUUGUUCCUCAAAAUUUUAUAUAGUUUCUCUCUCUCACUUUCAAUUUAAACUCUUGAUUUAAAAGAACAAAUUCAUGGCCAGCAACAUUUUUAGCCAAGCAAUAGAAUGUACAACAAGCAUGCAUAUGAAUGAACUGUAUUGUUUAAUGAUAAUAGAUCAAAUAUUUUAAUCUAAUCCUAAAACCUUAGAGUUAGCUAAAAGCCUCAUCUUAUGUUCUAACUUGUGGUUUGUUUCACAAUACAGGUGAAAUUUCAUAUUAUAUCCCACCAAAAGCUUUGCAAUUGUAGCAGCAAGCCAAAUUUUUAUUUAGUUAUUACCUUAAUAUGGAGCAACUGAAAAAGUGUCUAACAUCUCUAUAUGCUCUAUACAAAGAAAAUUGCAAUUCAAAUUUUAUUUACAAGAAUGAACCUGAGUUUUGCUCAUUUCACGUUCUUCUUCACCUUGGCUCUAACAGCCAACCACUGGUGGAUAUCUGCUUUCAUUGUUUGUUUGAGUUCAUCUUUUUCAGUAUUUGUACUAGUUUCUGAAGGUGUUACUAUUUUUGUUCUGAGGGGAGAGUCACUCUCUUUGUGGUUGGGUCUUGUACCUUCUGUCAUUUUGAAGUCAAAGGAAAAAUGUUUUGCCCAAGACUUUUAUAGUACGUUUGGUAGUGAUUUUAGGAAGUGUUUCUAGUCUUUUUUAUGCUUGAAAGAUAAAAAAAAAAAAUUAAGUGGUAAAAAGACUAGAAACACUUUAUAAAAUAACUGCCAAACGCACUCUUAAGAUGACCAUAAAGCUGUUGUAGAUUCCACUUGCAUUUAAAUUGUUUUUAUUCCCUUUACAUUUAACUCAAUGUAGAGUGGUUAUGUUUUUCCGUUGAUUUUUUUCUCUUUUUUAGUACCCAAUGUUAAAGUUUUGUUUCACGAACUGAAAGGUCCGUCUUUUCUAGUGACAGUGGAUGGGCAAUUAUAAGUGUUUCCUUUGUACUACAACAAUUGAGGCAUCAUAUUUGCAAUAUUACAUUAUUAUUAUUUUUUAUAAAUGAGCACAAAAUAUAUAAUAAAGGGCGGAAAGCCACAAAGCAUACAGGGAGUAUACAAAGCAGCUAAAAAGCAAAAAACUCAUAAACAGAACAAACUCACCAGCCCUUAAAGAGCCGCUAACCACUCUAAGAAGCCUAAAAUCAAAGAUGACUCCUCUCCCAUAUACAUCCUAGUCCAACUCCAUAAAUUACAUGCAAAAGAAUUCUUGAGUUUCUGAAUAGCUAAAGAACCCCAUCUAAAAGCUAACCUAUUUCUUUCCUUCCAAACCGUCCAAAAUAUACACAACGGGAUGGAAUUCCAAAUCUUUUUCCUCUUUUCCCCAUAAAAGGGCCCCUCCAACAAAAUAACACCUCUUUGACUGUCUCUAGGAACACCCAUUGAGCCCUAAACAAGGAAAGAACGAUCUCUCAGAGGACCCUGACCACUGUACAGUGUAAAAGAAUGUGAUUUACAUUUUCCUCUUCACAGCCACACAAAUAACAACGAUUAGGGAGCUGCCACCCUCGUUUUUGAAGCCUAUCCAAUGUGAGGAUUUUUUCCCAAGUGGCUUCCCACGCAAAGAAAGCAACUUUGGUUGGAACCUUAUCCACCCAAAUGAUUUUUUUCGGAAAGACGAGGGGAUUGGGGGUGAUUCGUGUUUUCCCAGCUGGUGUACCUUGAUUUUGGUCCCCUGAUGGGAGUAAUCAACAAAAUUUAUAACCUAUAUCACCAUGCACUAGGAUAGCCUAAGCUAGUAUAGCAUAGUGGCUCUAGGAUCGUUCACUGGGAAGGGUUUUCAACUUACAAUUGAUACCAAUUCAAAGUUGAAUUGGUGCCUUUUCAUUUCAAGGUUAGCUUCAAAAGAAAACAUAAACUUUGGUUGAAAAAGGUUUGGUUUCAAGCUAACUAAAAAGAAAGUAAUGGGAAUUACUUAUAAAGAAAAAGCGUCUCUUGGAGUUUUAGGAUCACUGGGGUCAGGCUCCUCAUGCAAAAACAGAGUUCCGGUCACUUUGGUUCUUUUCCUCGCAUUGGAGAAUUAACAUAUAGUUCAUUCUCCAACCGGUGUUGUACAGAUGCUUCCCUUUUAUAAAUUUCAGCACUAGUUCCCUCUCACUGAUUCAUCUUGCAAUGGCUCGUGCCUCUCACCUAGCAUUUGCCAUUCAAGGUGAUCAUUAACCUUGGACUUCCCUUCUCAAGCUCGCAAGAGAUAACUAAUGGAUGCCUCCUUAGAGUCCAAAAGCUUACCAAGUGUUGGCAAUUCUAGAAAAUCCUACCUUCAGGUCACCUCCCAAAAGCUCACAAGAGGUAAACUAGUGCAUCUCUGUGGACAGAGAUCACUUGCCUUACCAAGUGUUGGCUCAGGUGAAUUGAAGGCGUUUUAAGUUAACUAAAAACAUAGAAAUCAUAAACGGGUUACACUUUCUCUUCAUUAAAAGCUGAAACAUCAAAACUACCAAUUCUUGCAUUCGACACCUUCCCCGGCUACCUUAGCUCCAAGAAACAAAAAGCCUAGCCACCCAUUCUCUGAAGAAACAUCAUCAGAGCUUGUUUGGCUAGUAAAUGAAAAAUACAAUCAAAGUGAGAAGGUAAUGCAGAGCAAAGACUCUGUAUUUUACUUCCUUUCAAACUUUUACAAAAGGUUCGUCUCCUUGAUAACAGGCUCCUGAGAGCUAUUUAUAUGAAAAUUACAAUAAUAAUUAUUACCUGGAUAUUUACCCUUUUUCCUAACUUAAUAGCUAAGGAAUCCUAUAAGUGGUGGAUUACAAUGAGAGAAUUGGGAUUUAGACAUCAAAUAUCUGAAGCAAAAUAUCAAAAAUUUGUCGGUCGUAAAUAUCUGGAAGCACUCAGGAGAAUUUCGCAGGCGCACAAAAUGGCUGCGAAAUUUCGCAGACGUACAAGAUGGCUGCAAAAUCAUUUCGCAGCCAAAGGCUGAUUUCGCAGCCUUGCGAAAUUGGCCUUCAGCUUGAUGUGAUCAUCUUCCAAUGGCUCUAACUUCUUCACUUCAACUCCGAUUCGCGAACCGUUUAAAGCGUUAGAUUUUUUACUUCCCAAGCUUCGAAACAACAUAUAGUAUGCAACAAAUGGACUUCAGGAAGUACUCCAAAAGUGUCAAACAGUUGAUGUCCUCUUGGAUUCUUCAUGUUAGAUUUUUCUCUUUGUUUCAUCCUUGCAUUCAUGAUUUGUUUAUGGCAAAGGACUUUAAGGCUUCAGUUCUUCAUGUUUCUGAGCUUUCCAUUGCUUUGCCAUGGAUUCCAAAGAACUCUCCUCAAUCUCGGAUUGCUUUGGUGAUCAAAUUACUAUCAAAAACACCAAAACUUACACAAUUUGAUUAGAAACGAUUACAAAGGUCCUUAAUAUGUUAAUUGGGUUAAAAGGUAAUAACUACUACUCAAAAGUGUUUAAAAGAGUUAAUUACAAGCUAUCAAAUAGCCCUUUUUGAGUAGUAAUCAAGGGGUAGUGAUUCAUGCCCAAUUGGUGUCUUAGCUGAUUCGUGUCCAGCUGGUGUUCCUUGAUUGAGGGAGUAAUCAACAAAAUUUAUAACCUAUUACACCAUAUACUAGGGUAGCAAAGAAAAAGCUACUAUAGCAUAGUGGCUCUAGGAUCGUUCACUGGGAAGGGUUGGCAAAUUAUCAAUGAUACCAAUUCAAAGUGAAUUGGUAUUGUUUCAUUUCAAGGUUAGCUUAAGAAAUAAAACACAAACUUUGGUUGGAAAAGAUUUAGAUUUAAACUAACUGCAAAGCAAGUAAUGGAAAUUACUUAGGAAGAAAAACAUUCCUUGGAGAGUCAGGUUUACAGGGGAGGUUCCUCAUGCAAAAACAUAGCUCCGGACAGUUGGUUCAUUUCCUCGCGUUAGAGAAUUAACAUAUAGUCAAUUCUCUAACCGGUGUUGUACAGCUACAUCCUUUAAUUAGAUUUCAGCUUUGAUUCUCUCUCACUGAUGCAACUUGCAAUGGUUCGAGCCUCUCACUAAGCCUUAACCAUUCAAAGUGAUCUUUAACCUUGAACUUCCCUUCUCAAGCUCGCAAGAGAUAACUAAUGGAUGUCUCCUUGGAGUCCAAAAGCUUACCAAGUGUUGGCAAUUCCAAAAAAUCCUACCUUCAAGUCACCUCCCAGAGGCUCGCAAGAGGUAAACUAGUGCAUCUCCAUGGUCGGAAAUCACUUGCCUUACCAAGUGUUGGCCCAGGUGACUCUAAGGUGUUUUAAGUUAACUAAAAACAUAGAAAUCACUAAAAGAUUACACUUCCUCUUCAUUCAUGGCUGAAACCACAAAGCUAUUCAUUCUUGCACUUGGAACCUUUCCCGGCAACCUUAGCUCCAAGGAACUAAAGGUUUAGUUACUCAUUCUCUGGGGAAACUUCCUCAGAGAGUGCAUAACUUAGUAAAUGAAAAAUACAAUCAAAGUGAGAAGGUAAGGCAAAACAAAGGUCCUGAAUUUUACUUGCUUUCCAACUUUUUACAAAAAGGUUUCUCUCUUGGAACAGGCUCCUGAGAGCUAUUUAUAUGAAACUACCAUCAUAGCUAUUACAUGGAUAUUUUUCCUUUUUCCUAACUUAAAAGCUAAGGAAUCUUAUUAUUGGUGGCUUACAAGGAGAAUUUUGGGAUUUAGACAACAAAAAUCUGAUGAAAAAUAUCUCAUUGUGUCGGUCGUAAAUAUCGGGAAGCACUAAGGACCAUUUCGCAAGUGAAAACGAGGUCUGCGAGAUUUCUCAGAUGCACAAAAAGAGCUACGAAAUCACUUCGCAGCAAACGGUUGAUUUCGCACCGCUGCGAAGUGAUCUUUCAGCUUGCGGCAUUCGGCUUCCAACGUGUCGGGAAACUUCAGGGGGAAUUCCUCAGCACUGUGCAAAAAGGCUGCGAAAUCAUUUCGCAACAAAAGGGUGAUUUCGCAACGCUGUGCAAAAUUCUUCCUUCAGCUUGGAGUGAUCGGCUUGCAAUGGCUGUAACUCCUUCAUUUCAACUCCAAAUUGCAAACCUCUUGAAGCAUUGGAUUGUUGACUUCCUGAGCUUCGAGACGACAUAUAGCAUGCAUCAAUUGGACUUCAGAAAGUGCUCCAAAAGUGGCUGACAUGACUGUCAUCAAGAAUAUGCUUCAUGGCAGAUUUCUCUUUGCUUCCUCUCCUUGCAUUCCGGAUUUGCUUAUGGAAAAGGUCUUCAAAGCUUUGGUUCUUCAUGUUUCUGAGCUUUCCAUUGCUUUGCCAAGGAUUCCAAAUAACUCUCCUCAAUCUCGGAUUGCUUUGGUGAUUAAAAAGCUAUCAAAACACCAAAACUUAACACAAUUUGAUUAGAAGUGAUUGCAAGGGUCCUUAACAUGUUAAUUGGGUUAAAAGGCAAUAACUACUACUCAAAAGUGUUUAAAAGAGUUAAUUACAAGCUAUGAAAUAGCACUUUUUGAGUAGUAAUCAGGUAGCCAUCAAAUUAUAAGCAUCCCGAAUCCGAAAAAUAUCAAGACCCCCUCCUUUCCAUAACACUGAGUCCUCUUCCAUAUCAAGCCUUUUUACAACUAACUUGGGCAUUCGAAAAAGGGAUAAUUGGUAGAUGGGUAUACUGGCCAAUGUACUUUUAAUGAGGGUAAUUCUCACACCCUUAGACAUGUAUUGCAUUUUCCAAAUAGCUAAUCUUCUUCUUAUUCUUUCCUCCACCCCAUCCCAUAUAGACAAGGCCUUGUGAUGGGCUCCAAGGGGCAGCCCCAAAUACUUAGUAGGAAAAGCCCCCACUCUGCACCCUAACUUCUCAGCCAUAUCCUCAAUAUCUUCAACCUCCUCAACAGAAAUUAAUUCACUCUUAGCUAGAUUAAUCCUAAGACCAGAAGCUGCCUCAAACCACCCCAAAAUCCAGCCAAGAUGAGUUAGAUGCUCCUUCCUUGCUUCAUAGAAGAUGAUUGUGUCAUCAACAAAGAGCAAGUGGGACACAUUCAUCUCCAUCCCCCAUUUUCCUCGAAGUUUGCAACCAGAAAUGAAGCCUCCAUCAAUAGCCUUUCUUAUAAGUGCACUCAGCACUUCCAUACCCAAAACAAAAAGGUAAGGAGAAAUGGGAUCUACUUGACAUAGCCCCUUGGAACUGGAAAAGAAGCCUACUGGCACCCUGUUGACAAUAAUAGAAAAUUUUGCAGUUGAGAUGCACCACCAAAUCCACUCCAUCCAACGAGACCCAAAGCCCAUCUUGUGCAAAACCUUCAUGAGAAAGUUCCAAUUAAUACUAUCAUAAGCUUUUUCAAUAUCCAAUUUGCAAACCAGUCCUUUCUCUUUAUGUUUCUGCCAAUAAUCAACCACCUCAUCAGUUAUGAGAGAGACGUCUAGAAUCUGUCUUCCCCUCAUAAACACAUUUUGAUCCACCGAGACCAUCUUACCUAACACUUUCUUCAACCUAUGGGCUAGCACUUUGGCCAGAAGCUUGUAUAGCCCCCCUAAAAGGCUGAUAGACCGAAAAUCCCCGAGGUCCACAGCCCCACCUUUUUUUAGGAUGAGGACCAAGAAGAUAGUAUUUAGACUUUUGGCAAAAUAUUUUUGGUCAUAAAAUUCCUUAAACAGCUCUACAACCUCCUCCUUCACAAAAUCCCAACAAGAUUGCCAAAAGGCCACAGUAAACCCAUUCGGCCAUUCAUUUCCAACAGAGUUAAGUGAAUUUCUUCCUCAGUAAAGGGCAUCUCCAGAGCUUCAACUUCACCGUGGUUUAGACGUUGAAGGUGCAACCCCUCAAUGUCAGCUCUCCAUCCUGGCUCUUCUGAGAGCUAUUGUUGAAAAGCAUUCACAAUCCCCUCCCUCACCUCCUGCUCCUCAUCCAACUCCACCCCAUUGAUCUUGAUUUUAUCCAAGGAGUUGUUUCUUCAGUGGGCAUUGGCCAUUCGGUGGAAAAAUCCUAUGUUCUUAUCCCCUUCCUUUAGCCACAGCUCCCUUGACAAUUGUCUCCAAUGGGUUUCUUCUAAAAGCACCCACUUUUUAAAGGUUUCCUUAGCUUCAUUUUUCAACUCCGUUUCUCCUUCUGGCGGGCCCCUUUCACAUUCCACCCCAUCCCAAAAUUCAACUUGCUGGAGAGCUGAGCUUUUAUUAAUUUCCAACCUACCAAACACAUCCUUGUUCCAAACUUUGAUUUUUUUCCUUCAACACCUUUAGCUUAGCAGCCAGUCUAAAGUUGGUCCUCUCUCGCCUCCCCGCUCCCUACCACCAAUCCCGAAUGAGAUCCUUAAAACCAUCAACUUUAAGCCACAUGUUUUCAAACCUGAACGGGGAGGGUCCUCGUCUUAACCCGCCACCCUUCAAUAGAAUGGGAAAAUGAUCUGAAGUGGGCCUGGGAAGCCUACUUUGGACAACCUCCCUAAACAAGUCAAGCUAGUUUUGGGUCACCAGGAAACAAUCCAGUCUAGCCCAGGACUGAUUGUUCCUAUCUCCACUCCAGGAAAACACAACCCCUUGCAAAGGAAGAUCUAGGAGCUCUAGUUCAUCAACCACCUGAGCAAACCUUCUCAUUGCACCAUUUAAACUAUCCUGACUGCUCCUUUCCCUUUGGAAAAGGGUGACAUUAAAGUCGCUCCCUAAACACCAGGGAUCAUCCCAGAUGCCCCUUAUUGGCCUUAGCUCAUCCCACAAAGUCUCCAUUUCAUUCCUAGUGAACGGUCCGUACACUCUUGUGAAGAUCCAAACAAGCCCAUCUUCAACAUUCCUGAGCCUACAGGAAAUAGAAAAUUGUCCCACCUCCAUCUUUAGCAUUUCCAGGGACCUUUUAUCCCAGCAAAUCAAAAUCCCACCCGCAAAGCCUUGAGCACCCAUGGCUCCCCAAUCUAGAAACCUCCCAGAGCCCAAAGUCCUCACCACACCCACUAACAUUGACUGAAUUUUCAUCUCCUAAAUACAGAACAAAUUCACCCUCUGACUUCCAAUCAUAGCCUUGAUCACCUUUCUUUUAGAGCUAUCGUUAGCUCUACACAUGUUCUAGUUCAACAACCUUAACUUCAUUAGACAACCAAAAUCUGGCACCCUCUUCCUUGCAUGGUACCUUUUUAUUUCCUCCCCCCUUCAUAAUUAAUGGAUCAUUCAAGUCUCUUCAAUUCCCUUUCAAAUUUCGAUUUUUCUAGAAGAGUUUCACUAUGAACUCUUUCCCUUCUUUUUUUUAUUUUGACCAGAAACUCCAAAAUGUCCUUCAAUCUCUCUGUCAAAAACCCCAAAAACCUGCUGAACCUCACUAGAUCGCUUUCCUCCCAACUAGUUUCCUCUCAUCCUCUAACUUCGAGUGGCAUAGCACUAGCUAAGCAAAGUUCCUCUCCACUUUCUUCAAUACUACCAUUAUUAACUUUCAUUAGCUCCCAACGAGUAACAGUCUCCAUCAUUGAAGACUCCGUACCAUUAACCAUGCAGCCCGGUCAUUCCCUCUGGAAUUUUUCCAAUCUGGCCCUAGAACAGUCGUAAUACUCCCCCAAUUGAGUCCGACCAGAAAAAGAAGAGGGGGGAGAUGAGAAAUCACAAAGCAACGUUCCACAAGGGUUAGAGGUGUUCUCAUACCUCGAAGCUUCCUCCAUUAGAGCACAGUUAGUCUUCAAACUCUUCUCUAAAAGUUGUUCCUUAGUCGAAGGUCUUCGCAGACCUUCGUGCACCCAAAAGGAAAAGAUGGAAUGGUCUGGAGCCCCCAAAAGUCUUAGGCCAAAAAGAUUGUAAAGACGGGAUGCUCCCAGCUGGGCUCUUCCCUCAGCUAAGGGCAAGGUCAGGCCUCGGCAAACCAGCCCAAGCACCACAAUAGGCUCCUUUUCCUUGGCCCACCUAGAACCCUUAAUAAACGACAACCCAAAAUGAGAUGGCCCAGUCUCGCAGAGAAAGGCCACAAGAGGAGCAGGCCCAGUAAUCACAAUGGGCUCUGCUCAACACGGUGACGAAGACCAACCCGAACCUUGGGACCCAACUGACAGCCCAACAAAGCACCAACCAUGACCCAUGGCCUGUCCCGACCCACUAGUCUGCCCCCUCGUCCCAUCAGCAGGUAGUAGCAAGUCCUCAAGCCUCGAGGCAUCGUCCUCCACCCGCACGCGCUCGAUUGUGCAUGCGAUGGCCUCACCCCCAACCUCGCCUUCUGUACCGAUAAUGUUUCCACUCUUUCUUGCCAUCGUCAUUCUCAGGAUUGGCCUGACCUCCCACCGGAGGGUUACCUCGUAGUAGAAUUCCUCAGCCCAAACCUCCACCACGUUGGGAAGCUUCUCGUCGUUGAGCUUCAUCAGGAUCCUUGCCCACUGCAAAUCCUCCAGCUUCUCCAUUUGGGAAUCGACUGCGAUGAAGCCCCCGCACUCCUCCCCUAUCCUUCUCAUAAUGGCUCGAUCCCAUAAGGAAAUGGGUAAUCCCAUAAUACGCACCCAAGCCUUGCUCUUUUUCACCCCAUCCAUCAGGCAUCCCAUCUCGGGCCUCCAUUUCUCCAAACGAAUGAGAGACCCCCCAACCGAAAUACCCCCGAUUUUUAAGGUUUUCUCUGCUUCUACCAAAAACUCAAAUUCAAGUAAAACUUUGCCCCUUUCCAAUUUCGCUAGCCCUAGAUUACCCUUCAGUCUCCAAAUAUUCUCCAAAUGGGUCCUUCUACUUCUUAGGUCAUCCCCUCUCACAGAGCUAGGAUUCCAAAUCCCAACUAAACAGUGAGCCAGCUUGUUUAAGUUUCGGCUCAGCUCCUUCUUUCUUAUCUCCACCCUAAUCAUUGUUUUUUCUUUUCCUCUUGGCUAUUUAGCCACUUCCGCGUAGGUUUUCCCCAUGCUAGAUUUCGACAACAACGCUUCUUUUUUUUGGCAUCCCUCUUCUCCGUUAGUAAAACCCAAUCGCCAUAGCGUCUCCACCAUUGAAACCCAGCCACCCUUAGCUCUUCUUCCUUUUGGAAUAAAGAUGCAAAACCUUUUGUUUUCCAGGUCCGCAACCUCUAAUCGAAGAAAAUACCCCCCUUAUUUUGAUCCCGCACCAGAGAAUAGGCUCUCCCACUUUCCUUCCACUUUCUUUCCCUUUUACCAGUUCCCGCGUCCUUAAUACAAAGAACUAGACCAUCGAAAAAAAACCCAAUGAUCUUCGGUCCCAACCUAAUCCACGAGAAGAUCCCUCAUUUCAGUUCCACAAUUGUAGCUUGCACUUUACCUUUCUGCUCCUCCACCUCGACCUCGAACGACUUCAACUCCACUCCAAAACUACCCUUUCUAAAGCUUUUCCUAGUCCCCACGAAGACAACACCCUCUGCACCCUCGCUCGCUCCACCAUCUACACUUUCUCUCGCUCGCCGCACGCCUCACUCUCCAUCGGAGCUCUCGCUCGUUCUCUCUCUAGCCCUCUCUCCUCCAUUUCUCAUCUGUCUACUAUAUUAUUGAACCUUACAUCAAUGAGGUUGCUUAAAUAUGUUGAUUUUGCUAGGUUUCUCAAUUUGAAAAAUAUAUUAUUCUCUGUUCAUUUAUUGUUUUCCAGAUUCAUCUCUGAGAAUAUAUCUAAAAUCUAGAGUUGAGUAUUUGUGCUUUUAGGUUUUAUUUUCCUUUCAUUUUUGUUGGUAAUUGUAUUUCAUUAUUCUUAAAUUUCUCACCAGCUAUUUCUUUAUAUGGUUUAUUGUCCCUCACUUUCUUCAUCCAUCUAAAGUGUUCAGAUUCAAUUAGCUUGUUUCGUAAUCUAGGUCUUAUUUAGGAGUUUCUUCUCAACUGCCUUUUUUAGUGCUUCUAAAAGACAUGCCUGAUUUAUAUACAUUUUUAUUGGUUUUUUUUUUUUACCAUAAAAGGUUCAAGCAUUGGCAUUGUCAUGUGUUAAUUAGUGGCUAUAAACUUCAUCCGUAUCCAAUUGCACACUUGUCCAAACUCUUGAUGAUGAAGGUAUGGUUGCAUUUACUAGUAUGAAAUUGCUAAAAUUUGUCAUCCAAAGUUUCAAUUUCUUUUGAAUCUUGAAGACUUAAUUUGCAUUCUUGUAGGAAUUAGAUGUGGAAUAAUUUUGCAAUGUUUGUUGUCUUAAGACCAGCACUGAUGAACGGGGAAAUAAGUUCUUAUCAACCAAGCAAACAAACUUCCAUUAUCCCAAGGAAGUCUUUCCAAGCUACUGCCUUUUAGGUUUGGAACACUUUUAGAGGUAACAAUCAAUAGGAAUUAGUUAUUCUUUCAAACUUCUUAUUGUACAAAUAUAACCUGCAUGUGCAACCAUUUAUGAUCCCAUAAUUUCAAGAAUUUAUGACACCUUCUAGUGGUUAGUUUUUCUAGGAAUAGAGUGAGACAAUCUAUUCACCCCCAAAAACCAUCGUCAGAGGAACAGUAGAUAACCCGCAAGACCAAAUUUAUGUGUGUGAAUGGAGAUGCAUGUUUUUUACAUCCCAGUCAUGUAGUGUUGUGUCAAAGGGAAUAAUAGCAGGUGAUGAUAAGUGGUAUUUCUAAAAUGUUCGAAGAAUAUUCCAUCUGUCAUGUAAUAUUGCUUUCUCAAAACUGUUUUUGAAGUCUUAUUUUUAAAUAUUAGAGUUGACCUCUUGUACACUAUCAACUGAUGUUGUAACUUAACUAGAAAGAGAAAUUAUAUAAACUUAGCCUUGGUUUGGAUCUUGAAAGAUAGCAAGCAAAGAAAAAUUAGGUUAAUAGUGAGUUGAUUUAUUCUCUUCCCAUGGAUGUAAGCACAUUCUUGAAUCACUUAAAUUAUUUUUUUCUUGUCUAUUAUUCAAUUGUCUCUGAAAAAAAAAGUGGUAUCAGCGUUUUUUCCAACACAACAAAUGAUUCAUGUGACAACUGCCAAUAAAGGAAGCACUUAAGAAGGAGUUUGUAAGGUGUUACAUGGCAGGUUGAACAAAACCAAUAGCUAGAGAGAUAUAUGAAAUAUUUGGGGGCCAUUGAUCCAACAAUAGUAGAGAAUAACAUAAGAAGAGACCCUCUAAUCACCAUUUUUGCUUUCGAUUCUUCUCUACAAAACAUCAUCUCUUUAUACAAAAAGACACCCCAUGGCUGAGCUCGUAUUAUUCUCUGCAUAUCCCAAAACUGCUCUCCAAAUUUUAGGGCAUGGUACUCUUUUGAGUGGUAUUUUUGGUACUAAAUUUAAGUAUUCUCUCAAAUACCUAAAAUGCCCUCUAGAUUUUAGGGCAUGACCCACUCUUUGAGGUGGUAUUUUGGGUACUAAGUUUUGUUAUGAGAGGUUUUGGUGUGGAAAUCGGAGGGCCUCUUGGGAAUAUGAAAUUAGAAAUGUUACACACGUUGCAUGUAUUUUCUUUUGCGUGCAUUACACUUAGAUUGGAGUUUAUGCAGUUACUCACUUUUUGUGUGUCCAACAGUACUGUAUGUCACAUCACCAUAUGAUGGGCCCUUUAGCCUUUUUUUAACCCCCUCCCCCCAAGAAAAAAAAAACCUAAUACUAAAAAUAAAAAAAUAAAAAAAAACCUAAUACUAAAAGGACCUUAGCUUGCAAACUAUGUGGAGGUAGGCCUCCACAUCCAACUUCUUAGAGGGACCAUGAUCACUUAGGCCAAGGAAGUUUGAGGCAAUAAUACGUCUACGAUGCCCUUAGAUGUUUUGGGCACAUGCACGCUACACUAAUGUAUUCAACGAGUCUGUAACCUUGACUAACAAGCUUAGGUAAUCUUUGAAAUUUCAUUAUGAUGGGGAAGGUUCCACAUGAACGACACUUGCACAUGGGUUAGUUAAUCCUAAGAGAUGGGGGAAGCUCGUCAGACAACGCGUGACACUCGAGCUUUGAAAGGUAAUUGAGUUAACAUUCCUAAACCGGGACAUGACGGUCUACAACAAUGUUAGGUAGUCUGAAGAGUCAUGUUAAUUGUUAUCGGUAUUUUUAUUUAUUCAAUAGAAAUUGAGGAUUUAAAAAAUACCACAAAAAUUAGAAAAAAAAAUUAAUUAUAUGAAUAACAUUUCAAAUAUUUAACAAAAUGUAUGAAAGUUGAAUAUCAUACACGAUUAAAUGGCUAGAUCAUCUUCUUUAGUUUUUCCAUGAUCUCAUCCUAUUAAAUGACUCAUCCAAUAUUAAUUUAUUUUAAAGGUAAAAUUAAUUAUAUUAUAAUACUUAAAUACUUUACCAUGCUAUAAUCCUCUAGCUAAUAAAUGAAAUCAAAACUUAAAAAUCAUUUUUAUAUAUAGAUAUAUAUUAUUAAGUUUAGGUAGUGAAGCAAUUAAUGUGGGUAUAAAAUUAAUGCCAAAACUUUUGAUUGUUCCUUCACAUUCUCCACAGCAAAGGAAAUAAGAAAAAUAAAGAAAGAAAUUUAGGGUAGUUUUAUUUUUUGUUCUCAUCUCAUGGUGAAAUUAAUAGAGGAAUGCUUGGGUUGGUGCUCAACAAUCAAGUGACAUCCGAUAUAAUGAUUCUUCCAAUCCUGUAAAUAUUGUCCGCUUUAAUUUUAAUGGAUCAUCAUCACUUUAAAUUGCAUUCACAUUGUUAAGAGCAAUUCAUACGUACAUAAUAUUAAGAACUUUUUCUUAUUCGAUAUGGAAUAUAAAAUUGGGUAUCUUUCUGAUUACUACCAAAAAGUGCUAUUUUGUAGACCUAAUUAUAAUGGUUUUAAGCACCUUUGAGUAGUAAUCAUAUUCAUUUAACCCAAUUAAUUCAUUAAGGUCCUUAGUAAUUGGUUUUAACCAUUUUGUGGCAAGUUUACAUGUUUAUAUCAGCUUAUGAAUCAAUUCAAGCAUGCCAAAUGAUGGAGGAGCUACUUGGACAAGUUAAAUCAAGCUUUUAGCUACACCAAAGCAAGCCAACAAAAGGAGAAAAGCAAAGAAAAGCAAAGAAAAGCAAGGAGGAAAACAGAGGACAGCAGCUGCAGUCUUCGUUGGCACUUUUGGAGCACUUCCCGAAGUCCAUUCUCUACAUGCUAUAUACCAUUUCAAAGCUCAGGAAGUCAAGAAUCCAACGCUUCAAACCGUGCAUGAUUUGGAGCUGAAACGAGGAAGAUAUGGCCUUCGGAAGACAACUGCUCCAGGUGUGCGAGAAUUUCGCACACCCCCCUUUAGCUGUGCGAAUGGUGUGCGAAGUUCGCACACCUUCUUCAGGUGUGCGAAAAUUUCGCACACCCCAUGCGUGGUGCGAAUUUUCCCCUGUUUCUGCCGACUCCACUUUAGAUCUUUUCUUUUAGAUAUUUUUGUAUAAAUUUCCAUUCUUCUCCUUGUAAUCCACCAAUCAUAAGAUUUAUUAGCUAGGAAAGUUGGAAAAACUUCUCUAUUUAUAUCCCCUUGCAUCCGUUGUAACAAAUAAUUGAUAUAUAGAUAUAUAAUACAUAUUACGUUUUACACUCUCUCGUUUUCUCUUUUCUCUUCACUAUUUUAUUUUCUUGGUAGCCAAACAGCCUCUAAGGGCUUUUCCUCAGAGGAUGAUUGGCUAAAACUUUUAGUUUCUCAAAGUAUGGAUGUUAUGUGAUGACUUGGAUGCAAUCCCAUGGAAAUUUCUCACACCCGGAAGGUAAGGUAGUCGUUUUUCAUUAAAGGUUCAUUAAUGCAAAGUUUGGUUUUUAUUUCCUUUGGACAACUUCCAACGGCCAAUACUUGAUAAGCUUUUGGAUUUCUAUCCAUUAGUUAUCUCCUACGAGCUAUUGGAAGGUGAGGUUUUCAAUUCCAAGUUUUGUAUUAAUCCGUUAGAACCAAUUUCAAUGGCCAUUGAAAGGUGAGUUUAUCACCUGGAAUGACUUUGAGUUGCCAAUAUUUGGUAAGCUUUUGGCUUUAGACCAUUAGUUAUCUCUUACGAGCCAUUCAAAGGAAGUCUAAGGUGAAUAACCAUUGAUGAAAUUCACUACCAUCUGUUUUGCCAUUUUAAAGGAUUAAAACGUGAUUUGCUAAAUCCAUACCGGUUCGGGAAGCAAGCAUCACCAUAGUUGCAACCCCAACGCGAGGAGCCUAUCCUGAGAUUUCCAAUUUGCAUAAGAGCCAGAGCAUAGCUAUCCUAUCUUUGAGAAACUUGUUUUUACACCCUUUCAUUUUAGUCUUUAAUGUUAGCUUAGAUUAGUUUAAAUCUUUCUAAAACAUUUACAUCUUCUUUUAAAGCUAACAUCCAUAAGAAAAUCACCUAUUUUCCUAACUUGAAUAUCACUUGUGUUUGCGAAAACCCUUCCCAGUGAACGAUCCUAGAACCACUAUGCUAUAGUAGCUUGGCUACUUUAGUAAUAGUAUUCAAGGUAUAAAUUUUGUUGAUACGCCUUUAAAGCUAAGCUACCAUGAGUCGCAUCACUUUCAAUUUUAGAUGUUGCAUAAGCAUUCCAACUCCUAUAUAGACACAUUGCGUAAAUAUUCUUAUUUAAUAAAAGUUUAUAUGUCAUUAAAUAAAUAUAGAAUUUUAACAUUAAUUGCAGUGCUAAGUGCAAGAGAUCUCAUGUUUAAGUCAUUGAUUAAGAUUUAUUUGAAAACUUAACAUUUGUUACUUAAAUAACUUAAGUUGACUUUAAAUUAUAUUAUAUUUAAAUUAUUUGCUUAAAAUUUAUUGUUUAAUAUUUAUUUUAAGUAUUAAAGUUAUUUGAUAAAGUUAAUUUAAAAAAUAUUUUAAAUCACAAAUUGUCAUAUUUACCUUCAUUAAUUUGAAUUAGUAUUUACAUUCAUUAAUUUUAUUUAAUAUUUAUUUUUAUUAAUCUUAAAUAAUAAAUUUGUUUAUUAAACAUUUAACAGAUUCAUAAAAUAACUACACAAUAUUCACAAUAAUAAAUGAGUCAUGAAUUUGAAGUCAUGAUUUUAAAAUGUACGCUAACAAGAUAUGAACAAAUGAGACAAAAAAAAAUGAGAUUAAAAAUAAGUUAAUUAUUUUGAUUUAACACUUAAAAUUAAAAGUAACUUUAAAUUAUAAUAUUAAGUUAUUUUAGCAAAUAUAUUUAAUCUAUUUAAUGAAUUAAAUUAAGUUAUUAAGUCAAAUGAUUACCAAACACCCUAUUAAGACCCAGAAAAUGGAAUGAGUUUUAAUAGUAUUCAGGAUGGGCAUGACUAGGUGGUGGUUCAAUGCUGAUUAAUCAUAAUUUAAUCUAAGCAAAAUAUGUAACGAAACUCAAACUGCACUAUCCAAAUGGGCGCCAAGAACGUUACAUUUGACAAAUGCCAGUAAACCUCUACAGCUAGAAAUUAAAAGAUCACUCUCUUGUUGUAUCUCUCUUUUUCUCCAAGCCCCGGAAGGAAAAACUCGAACCCCAUUAUUUUGAUCACAGAAAAAGUGGCAAAAAAGUGUGUUGUAGUUCAUCUUGAAGCUCAUUAACUUCAUCUUAAUUUGAUCCAAAUUGCAGAAACAUGGGAAACUCCAUGAAUCUAUGGUGCUAUGGUGGCCUACAUUCAUAUAACUGGGGACACUUUGGUUUAAACUACAAUGACCCCAAACAGGGUUUGUAGAGACUUCAUCGAGAUCACUAGCUUCAAAAGACUGAGGAAGAAAGAUGUUCUCAAUGAAAACUUGGUGUCAAAUUGCAGAUAAAGACCUAAAAAUCCCACUUAAUGUGUUCUAGGAAUUGUUGUUUGAUAGGGAGUAAGAACAGAGUGCACGAGUUUUGGGGUGGGGUGAUACCUAAAGCACUAGAGUAGCACGUGAUCAAGCCUCACUUAGUGAAAAGCUGUUUGGUUUGUACAUGUCUGCUUAGUGAUACUUAGGAUUGGCGAAGUAUACAUCUCCUUUGUGAUCAGGUUUGUAUAUGGGCAGAUGAAUGUUCAUGUGAGGUUCAUAUAUGUUUCUGAUACAUAUCACCCUGGAAGAAUCUAGAUCAAGGGGAUGAGUUUCUAAGCUUGACUAGGUUUGAGAUGUUUGAGAAUUGGUGAGCAUGAUAUAUAUCAUGAUAUUGCAGAAGACAACAGAGCUUCUGAAAUAUGUCAGGUUCAAUAGUAGGAAAUCUUAUCAGCUGUCACUUACUUUAAUCCUAUGAUCUCAAUAUUCAUUUGUUGAAGAAGAAAGAGGUAUCUUGAAAAAAAUUUGCUUUCACACUAUUCAAUUACAAGAGGAUGUUCAAUUAUAGAAGAAAAUAAUAUUCACUAGACUCUUUCAACUUAAUCAACAUGCAGGGAAAACCAGUCGGGUGACCAAUUAUUCACAUAAUAACUUAGGUGGUGUUUGUUUUUUUGGCUUUUUGCUGAAAACCAUUUAGUUUUAGAAUUUAGGUAGUUUGUUUUUUUACUUUUUCAUAACUUAUCAUAAACUUUUUACUAAAUAGAAAAAGCCAAAAUAUGUGGCUUUUUCUAAAUAGAAAAAAUAACACAAUGGUUUUUUUUACUUUUUAAUACUUAAUAGAAAUAAAAUACUACAAAAACAAACAACCUAAUAUUUAAUACUAUUAAGUAUUAAGGUUCUAUUUAGAAUUAAGUAAAAAAACAAACACCACCUUACUGUCUUUCUACCUCUACUUGUUAAUCAUCAGCCAAGCUUAUAGUAAUAUAAGCUUGGGUUCAUCUCUCUAUGCCACUGAUGACAACUCCACAUGGGCUUCCCCUUCUGGUGAUUUUGCAUUUGGAUUCCGACCGUCUCCAAGUGAAAAGGAUCUAUUCCUUCUUGCUCUCUGGACUGCAAAUGGAAGUUAACCGGCGCCAAGAGGAUCAAAAGUCGAGCUUGCUACCAAUGGACAGCUUGUUCUCCAGAGGCUAAGAGAUAUGGAAGACAAAGACUGGUAAUGUGAGCAGCAAAGCAGUGCAUGGUGCCAUGCUUGGAGAUGGAAAUUGUAUACCUGUAUAUGGGAGAGCUUCAAGCACCCAACUAAUACCAUAUUGCCAACUCAGGGAUUGGUGUUGGAGCCUACUGUGCAGUUGCCAUUUUUGAGAACCUGAGGUUUGCAAAUGGAACUGGUGUAUGAGUUUAUGCACAAUGGUUCUUUAUCAAGCUUCCUUUUUGGAGGCGCCCAAGGACUGGUGUACCUACAUAAAGAAUACAGUAAACAGAUCAUCCAUUGCGACAUAAAGCCCUCAGAACGUAACUCUUGGAUGAUUCUUUUACAGCCAAAGUUGCAAACUUGGACUGGGAAAGCUUCUGAUAAGCAACCAGACUAGAACACUCACAGGCAUCAGAGGGACUAUGGGGUAUAUUCAGACAACUCGGGCAGCCUAUGUCUCUUAUAAUAACACGUUAUGAAGCAUCAGCUCAAUGCCGGGGUUCAAUCUGCAAAGCAAGGGAUUCAUCAAUGUUUCCUUCAAACUAAAUGAUAAGGAACAGAAAUGGAUCAUUCUGCAUUUUCAGUGGUGUUUGUUAUAGCAUUUAUACAAGAACUCUAGGGGUUUCUAUGUAUAACUUCAUUCCCAUUUUGUAUAAUCCAAAUCUCUUCAAUCGAUUAAAUGUAUAAAUGAAUCCUAUUCAUUGUUUGGAGUAACAACAAAAUUCUGGAAGACUGGGAAAGUUUCAACACUGGAGAGAAGACAAAAUGACCAGACCAUAAAUUCUGGAAGAGGGCUUUGCUUUCUAACCAUUACCAUAAUUUUAGAGCUCAACCCGGAUGAGUAAAUUAUAUUUCAGAAUGUUCAGGAGAUAAUUCUAAAGUGAUGAACCUUCUACUCACAGUUUUUUGUUCUUCUUGAACAGAGCAAUGAACAUCAAUAGUUCAGCACCCAGGAAUCUCCCCUUCCUCCAAUUCCCCCACUGGGAAAAGUCACCUUUCCAGUUAAGAAAAUCAUCAGGAUUAAUUUGAGCAAAACAUCAGAGUAUACAUCAAGAAAGCCUUGAUCAAAAUCAAAAUACAUCAAGAGCUGCCAUUUUCUUCUAUUUCCUCUUCCCUGAAUGGAAUGCCUUUUGGACUGAGGUGAUCAAUGGUAACAGUCUAACACACUCCUUAAGCUCUGAUUGAGGUCAACGGGGAUUGGCACAUUUAAUGACUUUGAAAUCAUAGCUGUGUGAAGGGAGGCAAACAUGAAUCUCAGGAUAAUCAACAAGUCAACAACUAUCAAUCAGUAAGGAAAAGGAAAUACCUUUGGAUAUUUACAAAUCAAAAAAUUGAGAGUCCAGCUUCUCUGUACAGAAAGGCUUGAGCUUAUUCCAUGGCCAGUCUGAAUUACGGAUGAGAGGGUUGAGUUUUCUUUCAUUCUGCAAUAAGAUUAAAAACAUCAAUGAAACGCUAAAAGUUUAUAUAUAGAAGCCCUUUAAAGAUGAGAAUUGGUCAGAGAGCUCACCCAUGGUCUAGUAAAACAACAUCUGUUAGAUAAGUAACCACCAUUCUAUUGUCCAGCUAAUGCAUUUAGAUCUAAGAUAAGCUAUGGAAAAAUAGUCAAAAAUAGCUAAAGACAGUCCAAAAACUCAUUUGACUAAUAAUUUUCUAAAAACAGUAACAUAAAACCUGGAUGAAGAAUCCACCCCUCUACCUCACACCACUGCAAUGCCAAAUAAAAUGUUACAAUGACCAUAUAUGGUCUUAAGAGACAAUGGGUGUUGUUUGGGCUCAAGACCUAAGACAAGCCAAAAAACAAGAAGAAAACAACAUCAAAAAUAGAUGGCAAAAUAGAAGGAUAAGGUCACAGACAGGACAAUAUUAAAAGAAAUUAUUAUUUUUCCGACCUGAAAAUCAAGGCAUUCAGAAGAGUACAAGUUUGUAAGUAGUCCAUGGAAACCAGGGAACAUAUGCAGAUGUUGUACUCUAUUGCAUAAGGCAAACACUCAAUACUUACAAGCAUAAUCAUGCCCAGAAAGCCGUGAAUCCCUUUUUGUUUUGCUUUUUUACCUAUUCCCAUCUCUUAUGGCCAGAAGUUCCUUCUGUGGCUGGUUUGUUGUGAUGGCCAUUUCGGGUCCUAACAGACUUGCUAUUGUUGUCUGGGCACCUGCCUCAGAGAAAGCCUGCCAAAGAUCGGAGUCUGGGCCAGGGGAAACGGAUUUUCUUUGCUGGAGUUCCCAGUCUGUUGCUUCAAUCUUUUCUCUGUGCUGUUAUGAGAAGAAAACCUAUCAGACACAUGAAUGGGUACAAAAAGGUAAACUUCAGGUUUUGGUUGUAUUGAAAAGCACAGGAAACUUCACAAGAGGCAAAUUAUACCCCAGACUUAUUGAAGAAAAAUAAAGUACAAUUGACUUACCCAAAUGUCUACUUUCUCAUUUAUAGGUUUCCUCCUAAACAAAUCCCCACAUCUAGGACAGGAAAAGGAAGAAACUGGGAGUCGACAUUUUUUCAACCAAAAGCACUAACUUAUCAAAAAACAUAGUUUUCCAUUCAAUGCCCAUUUCUUCAGGCUUCUUAAAGUGCUUAUGAUUGGUGGAGGUUCUUCCAAAAUCACACAACUUCCAUAAUCCAUUAGGGCCCAAUAGAAGAUUCUCAGCAUUUAUAUAAGAACUUCAGGGUUUAUACAUAUGAUCAUGUUACAGUAUAAAUCAUAGUGAACUGGUGGAAUUUGAUCAUUAGCCAACCUCAUCAAAAACUGUUUCACAGUUGAGGGGAUUGUUAACCUUGCCAUGGGCCAAGCAGCAAUUUCUGAAGAAGCUGGGUGACAAAGAGUACCAUCAUUUGGACUAGUUUCAAUGGAAAUUCCUCUGUUUCUAUACAUGAUAUCUUCAGCUUCAGCUUUUCCUUUUGCUUUGACAUGGCUGAAACUGAUCCUGAAAUCAAAAAUCCCAUGCAAGUAGAUAUUUAACAGAAGAGGAUCCGAAUCUCUUCAAUUGAUUAAUGUAUAAAUGAAAUAAUCAAAAUUUUUAGAGAUAAUUAUAGGGAGAUGAACCUUGUACCUCUGAGUUUCUUAGUCUUCUUGAACAGAGCAAUGAGCAUCAAGUGUUGAGCACCCAGGAAUCUCCCUUCCUCACAGGGAAAAUCUGAACAAUCUAUCUUUCUUCAUAUUCCACUUCCUUGCAAAAGUCAUAACAUGAAGAAAAUGUCAUCAAAAUUGAGACAAAAAUAAGUGCAUCAACUGUCUCAAGAAGAGAUUUAUGCCUAUUGCUUACCUUUUGCAGAAGUCCACUUGGUUAGAGCACAUUUUACAUGGACGCCCAAUCACUGCAAGCUGCUGAACCAAAGGAGAGUUCAAACAUCUAAAAAAUUUGACUAACUCAAGUAUCAUAAAAUACUUCACAUGAAUUCCAAAUGAUCUCAUAUCUAAAAAACAUUGACAUAAAAUUAUUGUUGUUUACCUUACAUGUUUCUUCCAUGGUCAUAAUCGAAACUUUGUUUAUCAUAAGAAAUCUUCUAUGCUCAUCCUGAUUACUUACAAUGAACAUUGAAAUGAAAAGACAAAAAACACAAAAAAUGACGAUUAGUUUGGUUUGAUAAUUUUUUAAAAUUAGAAAUUAUAAAACUAUUUUGGUUCUCAGAUUUAUCGGAAAAUUGAGGGAAAAACAAAAAUCUAAGAGAAAUUUAUUUAACACUUAUGAGGAACCAAAAAUGUUUUAGAUGUUGUCCAAUCGAUAAUUUAAACGUGUUUAAUUUCAAUUAAAUGAGUUUAAUCAAACACAUGAAAUUGUGAAUAAAAUUAUUUAAAAGCAUUGAAAUUCAAGUCAAUAAAGUUGUACAUAAAAUUUGAUAUAUUGAAGCAAGAAAAAAACAAAGCAAUUUGAAUGACUUGCUAAUAAAGCAACUAACUAGAAUAUGCCCUACAGUUGUUCUGUGCCCUGUAUAUAAGAAAUUUAAAAAAAACAUUCCUAGAAAAAAAACAAACAAAAUAUCCAUGGUUCUUACGUUAUUUUUUUCUUAAUUUUUCAAUAGUUAUAAAUGGUUCAUUUAAUUCUUGCAAACCACCAAAUCAAAACAGAGCAUGAAAAUGUGUUCAAUAUUUGUUUCAGGCUUGAAGCUUCAAGAAAAAGAAAACCUUAAAUCAAAUAAACAGGACUAGCGAAUGAAUUGGAACUUGAAAGAAAAGUUCAAGCGCAAAAGAAUUACUUGACUCUAUAUUGGCGGAGUGGCACUUUGAUUAAUAUAGCACAUUAUUGAUCAAUAUUCUUGGAAUGUGAGCUAUAUAACGCCAUUCUUCCCCUUUCUCAAAUCCACCGUUUUUCCCCUUUCUCAAAUCGAUGAAAAGGUAGCAUAUAUUUUUCAUUUCCUAAUUAUAUCAACUACUUCAUGGUGCCUUUGUCUGAUAAGCUUAAUAGUUCUUCUACAUUUCCACCAUCUAAUUCUCUAACGUUCAUCAUGAUAGGGUUGUAAAUUUCAUCAUCAAAUCAAAACAUAUCCUCCUAUAAGAGGCCUUUGAAUUAUGAAAUAAUCAAUUCACUUGAUUCUCAUAUUGGCAAAGACAAGCUUACACUAUUGGAAAGACUACCCCUCACCUUUGCCUUCCCAAAUAGCAAAGAUGAGAGAGAACCUUUCACAAAAUCACAAGAAUUAUUCAAGUUUGGAAUUCAUAGGCAUUGUUAUUGAAUUUCAGUUGUAUAAAAUUGGUGUGUUGUGUUUAUUUUGUUGGUAUUAAAAUUGAAUUUUUUUAAUUGCAAAUUGAUGAUUUUUUCUCUCUCUCACAUUUAUACCCAUUAGAGUUUCUUAUUAGGGUUUGUGUUUGAAAUUUGGAGAAAGUAUGGUGCAAUUGUUCACCGGUGUGGUGUACCAUCUUGUUUGUUGUAUUUGAUCUUUGGGUAUUUGAUUUAAUUUUGUUGUUGUGAAAUUGAAAGUUGAAAUCCAAGUUAAUUGUUUAACUAGCUAUUUGUAGUUGACUUGUUUGCACCGAUCUUGAUUAUCCAUUUCAUGGGAAUAAUUGAUUCCAAUUUUCCUUCAUGGUUACUGAAAAUAUAUUGUGGGUGAAGGACUAUUAUGGAGUAUAUUUAAUUUACAAGAUUGAAUAUUGAACAAAGAUAUGCCCUAGGUCUAGCUUAUAUGGAAUAGCAUAUCUUACAUUUAUUUAAUUAAAUAUACUAUACAAAUUUUGGUUAUAUAUAAUAUCUAUGUUACAAAUUUGGAUAAUUCGAAGUCUAAGUGACUUCAUAUAAUUAUUGUUACAUCUUAAAAAUGAUUUCACAAAUUAGAAUUACAAUGACUCCUACACACCUUAGAUUCUAACUCAAAUUCUCACUUGAUUUUAUUUUAUUUUUAUUUUUAUUUUUUUGUUUUCAAUCAAUUAAUAAUAUGUUAUGGGCUAGUUUAGCUUAUAGUUGAGAAGAAUUUUAUCUAAGAGCACCUCAAUUUGAAGCAAAUUGAAGAAAAAAAAUGACUUAUUAUACCUUAUGAAAGAUAAUAUUAUUAAUUUCCAUGUUUUUUUUUCAAAUAACCUUUUCAUGACAUGAACUUAUAUGGAACAUUGUUGUAUUAAUUGAUUAGGAAAUCACUAAGCCUAAGGAAGUGAGAAAAUUUAAAAGGGAAGGAAUGUCACCAUUGCAUUUUAGCACAAAGAAAGAUGAUCUCUAGCUAUGACGAAAAUUCAAGAAAUGAACAACUUCCAUUAAAGAUGAAGGCACAAUUGGGUGACAUUUAAAAAAAAAUAACAAAGGAAGUUAUUGUUUUAGCUAGGGAUAUGUUUUUUUUUUUUUCAGACUUCUUGUGUUACUCAUAUAUACAAUAUGCAAUGUGAUUUCUCUUUUAUAUUAUAAAUUUAUUACUCUUAGCACUUCAUUUAUGGGAUAGAUAAAUAAAAAUUACUUUAAUUUUAUUUAAUUAUUGGAUAGUUGUUGGAUGGAUAAAUGAUUGUUAUUUUCUUUAUAUUUGAGUUAUUUCAAUAUCAAAUGCCAAUUAAAAUAAAAGAGCAAUAGGUGAAGCUAAUUUUAGAUUGUCACAAUCCUUGGCACUUCCACUAAGUGUCAAGGUUUAGAGCAAUCAACAAUGGAAAAGGUGAACAAUGAUACUUCCAAAAGACGUCAAGGUUAUUUCAUCUUGAACAAUAACAGUUUUUGUAAGUGUCAUUAUUUACAAAAUCAACAAUAACAUUGGCAAAUUGGUACACCUCAAUGCUUCUAAAAAACAUCAUUAUUUGUUCCAUAUUUACAAUGACGCUAUUAAAAGUGUCAACAUCGCUAAACACUCUUUACAAUGACACUCGAUUUCAUGGCGCUUUUAAGAAGUGUAAUGUUUGUAGAAACUUAUUAUUGAUCACCGACUUUUUGCAACCAUACAACACUACAUAACCUUAAUACCUAUUGUUCAUUAUGAUGUUGUAAGAACAUAUGCCUCUAUGUGACCUAUUAAAUAAACUGGUCUUAUCAACUGAAAAAUGUUCCUCUAGUUAGUAAAAACUUCAUUCAUGUGGUCAUUUAUGAGCAUCAUAAUAAUCCAUAUUAAAAAUAUUUAAAAACAUUAAUGCACUAAAACAUUGAUUUCAUCAACAAAAUUACACUCAUUCUUUUGACUUAUAGCAUUCAAAGAUGUUUAAAAAUAUAUAUGUACAAUAAAACAUCAUCAAAUUUAUUAACAAUUAAACUUUUAACCCCAAAACAAUCCGCUACUUUAGUAGAUAAGACACUAUUUGGAAUAACAUUAUUUUUAGCUCAAGUUAGAAGUUAAAAUGAUAAGGUUAAAAGAAUAAAACCAACAAAAAAAGAAGAAGUUAUUUUUUGUCAAACUUGACACUAGUUCAAGUUAGAUAAUGUAGCUCAACGCCCUAUUGAAUUGAGUCAUAUAACUAGACUCCCUAAUUAUAUAUUAUGAUACACACACAACCUUUGGUCUAGUAUACAUGAUUAAAUUAAAUGCCCAACCUAGUUUGCAAAGCUAAACUAGAAUCCCAAAUCUAGUUCAUUAUAAAUGCUCUUCAACCAACUUGCUAUAGCAUUCAAAUAAGACAAUGACAAUGAUAAAAAACCAAAAAAAAUACCUAAUAUAUCAUUGAAAACUCCUUCCUAAAGGAGGUAAAAAAAAAAUCAUGAAGUAACUUUCUUCUAUUAAUAAAAAAAUGGGAAUACAGUGAUCUAUAUAGUGUUUUAACUCGAAACUUAUGGUAUUACAAAUAUUAAAGAAGCGAUUUAAAACACACACACACACAACAAGCAUGUUGUCAAGCUUAUAAAAGUUGGAGAAAUCUCUACAUAUAAGUCUUCAAAACAUGAUGGAGAGUAACCUUGACAUUUAAGUCAACAAUAUACAAGGAAAGGCAACCCAAAAAGAUACAACUUUGAGAACAAACCCUUCUUUUUGCUUUUUUACAUAACCCCUUUUUUUUUUUUCUUUUUGAAAACUUCUCUCAUUUCCUCUAAUUGUUACACUACACAACAAUCCUAAAAAAACAGAGUUUAAAGGUCUGUUUGAUAAUUGUUUUUAAAAAUAAUUUUGAAAAAUAGUUUUUGAAAAUUAUUCUUUAAUGUUUAAUUUGUAGAACAAAAGUUUGUUUGGAAACCCUAAAUAUUUUUAACAUGUUUUUAAUGUUGUUAAAUAUGUUUUAAAUUUUUUUUUUUUAAUGUCUAGUAUUUUAUUUUUAAUCAUUCUACAUGUUUAUAUAAUUAUUUUUUAAGACAACCCUUAAAAAAUAAGUAAAAAUAACAUAAAACAGUUAAAAGAUGUUAUCUAAAAACACCUUAUUUUAUUAUAGCAGAAAAUAAAAAAUGGUUUUUGGUUGUCAAACAUGUUUUCUUAGUUUUUUUAUUCUGAAGAAUAAAAAAUUGUUCUUGAAAACAGUUGUCAAACAAGAAUCUUUUCAUGUUAGUCUAAGUAUCACAUUAGUUAUUGCUUAAAAACUAGUCUUUCAACUAAAAAAGAAGGUCCACUACUUAUGGGUCAAACCUUCAACUUUCAAACCUCAACACAGUUAUAGUCAAGACUAAUAUUCACAUAUUAGUAUUAAUAUAGUUCAUUAAAUAUGAAAUUUCUAUAGAAGCCAAAAUCAAGUUUUUAGGGGAAGUAACAUUCACUUUCAUAAUAAGCACUUUUUAACUCAUAAGUUAGUACUUGCAACAAGAUUUCUUAAUAGAGACUUUAAUUGAGUUUUAAGAAGAAUUUUUUGUUUGUCAAAAACCAAUUCAAACAAAAUCUAAAACUAAUAUUAUUAUCUAAAAGACAUAAUGAACAACAUAAACCAUAAACUAAAGUGGUAGUGACAACCAAUACGUAGCGUUAAUGAAUAAUUGAAAAUAGCCUCAUUUUCUAAUGACCUCAAACCUAGAAGCUCUAAAAUCCUUGCCUAAUUCUUUGUGAUGACUUUAGUUCAACCUUAUUGGCGAGGGCAAAAUUCUAAAUAAUUUUUGUCACAACUCAUAAAUUUAGAAGAAAAAAUGAAAAUAAAUGGAAUCCCUAAUGAGAAAUUGUUAUUUUUCCCCUUUAUGACAAAAAUAGUAACCAACUAGUAUUAUUAAAUAACAUGGAAAUUGUUUUUUCAACUUUAAUACCAUGUAUGACAUAACUUUAAUAACCUUAAUUUAUAAGAUUAUUUAAUUUAAAAGGAUAAAACAAUUACAUAUUCAUAAGAAUCACUUCUAUUUUUUAAAAACAAUAAAUUCCAUUUUUUGGACAAAAAUACGCUCCAUUGUUUUUAUCAACAUUUCAUAAUCAAACAAUUAUUGGAAAAAAAAAAAAAAAGGUAUAAGGGUAGCUAUAUUAAAAUGAGGUUAUAAUUAUAAUACUCAAUAAGUGGAGAUUGUUUUUCCUAAUAUUGGGAUCAUCUUGUCCAUUUGACAUAAAAAAAUUUAAUUUAUAUUAUAAUUACUCUUAUAGUAAGAGAGAGAGUAAUUUCACAUGAAAUGGACCCAUAAACAUAGGUUUAUUAUGAGGCAUGAUACUAUAAUAAUAAUAGGAAAUAAGACGAGUGCUACCAUAAUAAUAGAAAAUAAGAUAAGUAAUUCAAUACUUAAUAAAGGUCUAAAACAAUUAUGCUCUCAUUAAAUGAUAUUAAUGAUGGAAAAAAACUAAGGGGUGUUUAACAAAAUUUAAUAUUUAUUACUUCAUGAUUUAAGUUGACUAUAAGUUAAAUUAUAAUUAAGUUGUUAAUUUAAAACUUAUUAAUUUUUAUUUUAAAUAUUAAGACUACUUAAUAAAAUUAAUUUAUAAUUUAUUAAGACUGUUUGAUAAAAUUAAAUUAAAAUUUAUUCUAAAUUAUCAAAUUGAUAUAUUUAUUUUCAUAAAUUAGAACUAAGGCAAAGGAGAUCAAGUAACAAUGAAUGUCGUGGAGUAGUAAAAAAGAUCCUAGAGGUAACGGGAUAAAUUAUGGUAAAAAAUGUCAAAUAAAAAUAUGAAUUUAAGAAUAAAUUAAUUGUUUGUACUUAUUACUUAAAGUUGUUUUUUAUUUUAUAUCAUUAAGUUAUUUUAUUAAACAUGUUUAAUUUAUUUAAUGACUUAAAUUAAGUUAUUAAGUCACUUUAGGCUAUAUAAUCGGUUUACCAAUCAUAUGGAGUACAUUUGGCUAGUAGGCCUGGAGUCAAGAAUAUUGCUAUCAUAUGUUUUAUGUAUUAAGGUGCCAAGAAUAAUUGACCACAAAAUAUAUGAUUGAUAAGUAUAGGAUACAAUCUAAAAAAUGCACUUGAUUUCAUCAUCUAAAUAAAUGCUCUCGGCAAAUGGAUCAUCCUAGCUGAAACCAGAGCACAAGCCGCCAUGGACAGGAGGCAACGGAGAAACCCUUCUGCUUCUUCUUCUGCCUUUUCAUCUCCAGCUUCAUCCUCAUCGCGUUUCCGCUCAGAGAAAUUCUCCUCGAAUCCCCCAAAAACUAGUAACUCCCUGGAGGAUGCUCACCAAUUGAAAAGCAAAUGUGGGAAGCCACAAAGACCAGAGCAAGAGGAGGAAGAAAAGCAAGAUCCGAGCAAUCUUCUCUCCUUAGUUGGAACUUGCCCCUUCAUGUGCCCUGGUAAAAAUGCGUGCUUAUUUUUCCAUUUUUUUAAAUUCUAUUUUCCUGUUAUUCUGUGUUUGGUUUCCGAGAAAUUGGAGGAAAACAGUAGAAAAGAGAAGUGAAUCUGGAGUUUGUGUCAUUUUUGUGGCUUUUACAUAAAUUUUACAAAUAAAAUUGAUAUUUCCCCCCCUUUAUUAGAUACCAAUCUGCAGAAGAUGUAGGAAUCCCAAAAAAAAAUUCGCUUUUGCCUUUACUUCCCCCAAAUCUUUCAUAAUGGAAAAUGGACUUACCACCUCUUUUAUCACUUUUCCUUUACCAUGUCAGGUUUACAUGUAAUCAAACACUGUAUUUGGAGUAGAGCACUUAUCCUAAUGUCAAAUGGUGUUGAAAACUUGAAUUACUGGAUCUUAAGACUCCAGAAGAAAUUUAAUUGUUUAUGAUUAUUGCUCCAUGAGAAGGGAAAGGGAUUUCUUUUGUUUUUGCUUACAUAUAUGGCCAAAUUGAUCUAUCUCCUUCUCAUACGAACAAAAUAAGGACAUUUCUUGUCUUGCUGCCUUUUAUGCCACCGGUUCCACAUGCUGAUGUGACAACCCUUGUGCUAUUCUGUACAAAUGGUAGGAAAAUUCUGGUAAGACUGGUGGCCAGCCUAUCAUGUUCAGAGAAUAAAUUCAUUGUAUAUCUGGAAUUCACUCUAUAUCAGCAUAGGGUGUUGAUAUUGAUUAUAAAUGACUAAAUUCAAUUUAUUAUCCUUACAUUAGGGAGUGCUAAAAGGAUGCAAAUUGUUCGUGUUAUACCCAAAGACAUACAAGUGAUGCUAGAGAUUUUCACAAUGUAGAUAAUCAUAGAGUAGAGAUGAACACUAUGGAGUCCUUUGGCAUGUGUUCAUUCCAUGUAUGGGAACAUGCAUUGGAAGAUUAUGUUUCCUCCUCCCUCCCCUCCCCUCCCCAAAGUUAAUACUAUGUUGUCAUGGCAAGAACUUUGGUGACAUGCUUCUGAGUGGAAUAGCCUCCUAGAAGUCCAUUUAUGUGGCAAUUGGCAAAUUCUUCCAGUCAAUGAGAACUUUGUGACUGUCUGAUUGUUGUACUAAUCAUCAUCAGAUUUUUUUUAAGUUCAAGUUGCAAAUAGCCUUUCACAGUUGAAGGUAGCAAUGAAGAGGCCUGUUGACAUAAUUAUUUCUUCUGCUUGAAUGGAUUAAAAUCAGAUACCACACCUUCAGCCUAGAAAACUAUGGACUUUCCUAUGUACCUGCAAUUGGCUGAAUACUGGUGUGACACUGAGCAAAGGCUCUCUGAUGCUGUUAUUAAUUUCCCGAGCAAAUAAGAGAAAACAGAGAGGUCAUAAUGUGAAUCAGUUACCUGUUGAGUAGGGAUGAAGGCUUUUUAUAUUUUUUUACUUUCUGGUUAGGCCUUGGAAGCACUUCUGUGAACCAUGAUUUUGUACUGUAAAAUUAGAUGGGAUGGAUAGGUCACCUUAACUCUACUUUUGGAAGUGAUUCGGGAGUGCAUGACCGUAUGAAUAUUGAUGUAUUCUCCCCAUACAGAGCCCAACUUCUUUUUGAACUAGGAAGCAUGAAGGGUGGGUGGAUGUGGGCUGAGGAAGGAAGAUUUGAAUUGUGUGCUGCAGGCCUGCAGUACCAAUUUGUUCCAGAACUUGAUAAGGCCCAUAAACUGGUAGGCAAGUUUCAUUAUUUGGUCACCACUGAAUUUCGGCAGUAUGGCCACAAGGAAGGUAGGAAGGAGAGGGAGAAGAGAAAACCCCAAUUGCCAAUUGCAAUCUUCCAGUUGGCACAGUGCUCAUUUGCUGACAUUUCCAUUUGAUUUUGACCUUGCAACAGAUACAGCUUAACGUGAUGGACCAGUUUUUCGCAAUCUUGUGAUUCAUUACCCAACUUCUAGUAACAGUUUCUCAGCAGAUGACUCACCCAUGACAGGCUGAUGAUGUCUGCACACAACUUGAAAGGUAUAUAUGCCAAGGUGUGAAAGGUAAUAUUGUGACACCGUUUUUCCUAUUCCAGAAAAUGUACCAAAUGUAUGGCUGGUUCUUGACCAAAAAAUGCUGGCAUUGGUCACCAAGUGCUAGAGUGAUUCUUGACAAAAAAUGUUUGUAUUGUUCAGAACAAUGAUUUACAACUUCAGAUUGGCCAUCCAGUUAACGAUGAUAAGCACUUGUUUUACAAAGUUCAGUGUCAUAAAAGCAAAAUAAUUUUGUCAACAAAUAUGGGGAUAACUUUAUCAUAAUUACUACUUAUGGAAGUUAAGGAUAAGUUGGGUAAUGUGAGAAAGCUUUGGUCAGAGGAUAUGAGGAUAACUUUGUUGCAAUUGCUAAGCUGCACGUCCUAGGACUACUAGGAGAAAAGUAUGAGCAACAGAAUGAAUUUACAGUCCAUCCCCACUAGCUGCAUGGAGAGGUUGGCCUUAUUGCUGCUAUGGUGGAGGUCACCUUCUUGUAGACUUUGAAAUGUGCAAAUGAAGAGGCAGAUUUCUUAGAAGAAUGGGUAGGAUUCAGCUUGUGGUAGAUAUUGAGCUUAUCGCCUCUAAUUUCAUGUCUUCUCAAUGUGGAUUUGAGGUUUAACGAGAUUUUUGGGAAAUCAUUAAGAUUAAAAGUAAUCGAAGACUUCCACAUUAAUGAGGUAAUGAAUAACCACUGAUACUUCUUCACCCCAAAGUUCCUUCACAAAAAUUUGGUGAGUGAAGAACUAUUACUGAGUUGUGAAGCACCAAUUCCAGCUUCAUUAUCUUGAUCUUCAGAAAGAGGGGUCCAACUUGAUUUGGGAUUUUAUACCUGUCAACCCAGUCACUAGUUUUUAGGAGAAUACUUCCAAUUUACCCUUGGGUUGCUUUAGGAAGUUUCUUAAUAGUGCCAUCUCUCUAGCUUAAGGGGCUUUUGUUAAUGGAAGGCAAAUUCUAGAUGUGGUUAUCAUUAGUAAUGAAAUCCUAGAUAAAAAAUUCUGUUCUAAGGACAAAGGGAUGGUUUUUAAAAUAGGUUUUGGGGAAGUUUAUGAUCACAUAGAUUGGGGUUUCAUGUAUGAUACAUACUUUGAAUAGGGAAGGCCCUUGAACCUGGAUGGCACAAAGGGACUGGAUAUUUUGAGGCUGUUUUUCAAACUGCAGACUCUUUAAUGGUUAUUGAAGCUGAGUGAUUAGCACUCGAGGAAGAUUCGGACAUGGUUGUUUGCCUGGAUGUAAUGAACCUCCUUAUUGAAGGGGAUUCCUUUGUUAUUGUCUUAGAACCCUCUUUGAAGGCAAAGGUCCUUAGUGGAUUGCUCAUCAGAUGGGGUGGCUUCAUAAUCAUGCUAGAGACAUUGCUUGUUCUUCUCUAUUGAGGCCCAGAUCAGCUAGCCAGGUGCAUGGCUAUAUUUUUCUUAUAGGGAUGCUAAUAUCUGAAAAUUUUUAUUGAGAACACUUACUGCUCUUUGAUUGGCUUGAGGCAUGGAGCGGCUUUUCUGUUCUCUUCUUGCCAUACAUGCAUAUCAUCCCUCUUUUUUUUAUCUUGUUUAACUCAAUAAAUUCUCAUUUGUUAUAAGGAAAAAAAGAGAUAUUAUGUUACAUGAUGGAAGGACUUUAUUCUGUUAUGGAGUAUGCAAAACCUAGAUCUAUUAGCUAGAGCUAUACAGUAGGCUGUUGGGUUGUUCAGUAUUGUCUCUUUUUUCGAUAGGUUUGGCCAAUGCCCCUUGAUGUUACUUUUUGGUAAUGUAAUUUUCUUUGAUUUUUCUUGAAACUUCCUCAUUUUUCAAGCUUGCUUGUAUAUCUUUUCUUCUUCCAUUAAUGAUUGUUUGAUUCCUUACUAAAAUAAAUAACAAAUUAUGAUGCAAAGGAUUACGUUUAUGGAAAAUUUUGAGAUUUUCACCAGAUUAGAGUCUCCGAAGCUGGUACUUGUCUUGACACAGAUAAUAGGAAUCAUUUUCCCCCCAAACUACAUAAGACAUGUCUGCUACUUGGUAAUGUUCCAUUGGCAGUUAUAAACUCUCCUGUAAAAUGUGAAUCUGUUGUAGCAUUCCGAAUGGUGUUGUGUCGUACAUAGAUUGGUAAUUGAGGACUUUAUUAUGGAUUUUGUCCUGUUUUGGUUGUGCCAACAAGUUCUAUCCUGUUCUUUGUCUUGCUGAUUUGGGUGGUUGUGCAUCAUGUUCCUACCAGCUGUAUAAUUAUGCUUCAGGAGCAUAGUUAUUCUGGUUUUACCAUCCAGAUGAUGGUACUAAAGUAUUUGUAUUCUAGAUUGCACAACUCCUUAUAUGGGAUAUUUUUGCACCAAAUGCUUAGUGAUCAAGAGAACUCUCAUAUUAAACACAUUCAUCUUCUAUUAAACUAAAUUCCUUAAGUAUGCAGUCUCACAACUACAUCAUACCAUUCUUUUCCUUUUUUCUUCCUUUCUUGCUAUUACAGGUUGGUUGCCACUAAUAUAGUAGAAAGCAAAUUACACGACCCUGCUUCCAUAAGACCUUUCUUAUUCCAUAGGUUGAAAUAGAAAAAACACUCGAUGGGACUAAUGUUUCUCUUUGCAACCAAGCAAAUUAAAAUGUUUUGAAACCCAUGCUGCCAUGAUCUAGCUAAUUUGCAUUUUAUAUGUCUACUCCUUUCUAUUUACUCAAAUUGUGUAUUUCUUAUGCUUGUAUUUAUUUCCUGAUGAGUUUAUUCUGAUUCUUUGAUCAGGAUUUCUGCAAUCACAUUGCUUGCUAUUGAAUUUUCAAUGGCUUAAUAUGAAUUAUUAACAAAGAAGUUGUUUAAUUAUUUCAGCAGCUUAUACCUUGUAAUUUCUUUUAACAACUCUUAUCUUUGAUGUUCAUUUGUAAUAAAUAGCUGGAGAAAGGGCCCAACGUGAACGCCUUCGGGACUUAGCUGUGUUUGAGAGGUUACAUGGAAAUCCUGGGAAAACAUCUCCAAGCCUUGCUGUCAAAAAGGUAAACCCUACAUCUCAUGCCUCUAUACCGCAUCUUAGCUUCUCAUCUUGCAUCGGACAAUGAUACUCUUAUUGAAUCAUCUUUACCAUAUCAGCCAUCAACAUGUGCACUUAUUGAGCACUAAUUCAGGCACUGAUACUUGUGCUUUUGUUUUGUUUUAUCUUGUCUUGUCUUGUUUUGUUUUGGAUGUGAUUGUGUUGGAUGACCUGUAUCUGUGUUAGACACCAAAGCCUAUCUUAAUGCUACUGUAAAGUAAGACUAUGCUAAUAAGCUAUUGAUCUGUUACAGGGUUUAUGCCAAACUGAUUUUUUAGUUUCUCUAGUAGAAAACUUGUUUUUUCCCCUGUUAUAUCGGUGCUAUUGUUGGAUUUGUGUUUGUUGUUGAUCAAGCAUUUGCUGAAAGUUUUUUUUUUCCUUUGCUUCUUGAUGUGCAAAGCAUUAUUGUUUGAAUUUUAAUGAUCCCAUUUGAUUCACUAUUCAAUAUUUUUAUUUGAUAUUACAUCUAUCUCAUUUGUUUUCUUUUCUUAGUUUUUAUUUUUUUAUUUUUUAUUUUUAAUUUAUUUUUUAUUUUUUGAAUUUGAUGGAGCCACCAUUAAUUUAUUUUUCCUUAUUAUUGUGGGGUGUGCUUUAUUUUGUUCAAUUGUUGUUGCACUAUUAUUAUCAUGUAACUUUUUUUUUCCUUUUUUUUUUUUUUUGUUUAAUCUAUUGUUCCUAUGAGCAUUAAAUGCUCCUAAAAUGUAUGGAAUAGGCUAAACCUUUCUAUAGUUUUUUUAAAAAAACUCAUUUAUUAUCUAUUUUCUUGUGCUCAAAAAAUUAUAUUUUUUUAGUAAAAUUGAAAAUUUAGGGAGCGCUUAGGCCUCAACGGCUCAACCCCUUGAGGGUUUAUGCCUAUCGUAGCAAGAUGUAAACCCCCUUGCCUCUUAUGCUUUUACCUUAUGAAACUAUACCAAGAAAAAAACACCACAACUCCCUGCUGCCAUCAAAGGAUACUUCAAAGUUUGCUUCAAAUCAAUCUUAAGGCUAAUUAUCAUACGCUUGUCAUCAUGUCACUAAAAUUGGUAUUGUAACCAAAGUCCUAUUGCGAAAUCUUCAAGUUGCAGCUCCUUUUUUUCUGUUGGUAUUUGUAUUGUUAGGUGGCCGCAACCUGUUGCUUUACUUAUGCUUUAUGAACUACUCCAGUUAAAAUAAUGCUUCAAGUAGAUGCUUUCUGGAUCUUGACUCUAGCAAGAGGCUUAUAUUGCAAAUUUUUUUGUGGAGUCCUAGCUAGGAAGACAAUAGCUUGCUUAAAAGGAUUGCCACCUCUCUUGUUGGGUUUGUAAAAAUUUUGCUUCUCUCUUGACCUUGGGAGUCCUGUGGUUUCAAUUUUGGGUGUGCUCUAGGUUGUAGCCUGUGUUAUGCUUUCUAAAUGGUAAUCUUCUUAUUUUGGCUGGGAUGCUUUUGUUUAUUUUGCUUGUUUGCUUUCUUUGUUUCUUUAUUGUGGCUGUAGGAUCACCAAUCAACUUUUUAUUCUUUGCAAAAACUGUUUAUGUUUCAUAACAAAAAAGGAAAAAACAAAGGCAAGUUAGCCUAGAAUAGGUUUUAUCUUGUUUCUUCUUUUACCAUUAGUGUGGAUUCAAACUCAGGAAGAGGCCUUCAAACAAGUGGCAUUUGUGUUUUUUAAACAUAUAUCUUUGUUCAAUCAUUGUUAAGUGUUUGCUGUCUUGUCUGUUCUUUUGGUUGUUUUUGGCUUUGUCAAAGUGUAUAAUUGUAAUAUCCUACAUCGUAUAGAGGAAAAAGUUCCUAGCGCUAUAUAUGUAUGAAUUUCUUUUAAUCUUGUUGAUUCGUUUUCAAGCCGCGAGGGUCGCUUAGGCUCAAAGCAAAUAAUAUCCACACAACUGGGAGCAGGUUGUUACAAAUGGUAUCAAAGUCAAUCCUCGACCUUGGUGGGAGAGUUUGUUUGGCCUAAAAUGGGUGUCCGUUUAUUUGACCCUACAAUCCUGUUGGACACAACAAGAACGUUGUGUCUGCAUGAGAGAGAGAGUGAUUGUAAUAUCCUACGUUAGAUAGGAGGAAAAGUUCCUAACGUUAUAGUGUGUGUGUCUUGUAAAGCUUAUGUUGGGUGUCAUGAUUUUAUCUCGUCCUUUUUAUUAUUCUGAUUCAACAUCAUCUUAGCUUAUAAUCAUUUAUACACUUGAUGCAUGAGAAAUGAAGAUGCUAUAAAUUGUAGGAUUCUUUUUCUCCAAUUUGUUCCUUGAUAUUUUAUAAUGCCAUGAAAUAUCUAUAUUUUGAUGCAGAAAGCCGUUCACCCUCCAUCUCUCUCACUAGUUUUGCAGAACCAUUGCCACUAAGCACAUGCAGGCGUCAGAUGUGCGGCCACUUCCAGUGUUGGAAGAGACUUUGAACUACCUAUUAAACCUGUUGGAUGCCACGGAACAUCCUUUUGAAGUGGUUCAUGAUUUCGUCUUUGAUAGGACAAGAUCAAUAAGACAAGAUCUUAGCAUGCAGAAUAUCGUUAAUGAUCAAACAAUUCAUAUGUAUGAAGAAAUGGUAUGAAUUUCUUGAAACAUAAUCUCAAUUACCUUUUUUUUUCUGAGCAUUCAUCUCCUCAACAUACAAUAAGUUAGCCAACCCAUUGCUAAACACUCUCCUAGUUGGAGAAAAUAAUCAAAGUAUACAAGAUAUAAAAUGUUGAAAAUUGAGUCAUUAUCCUCUCCUUUUGCUUUAUUGAAUAAGAUAAUUUAUUCAGUUGAGUCCAAACGAGGUGAAACUGUGAUCACACAACUUGAAGCCUACUUUACAAUGGAUAAAUGAAUGGUCUGAUUUUGAAUCUUUCUUGGCACAUUAGUUAUUAUCCAAUCCAUUCUAAUUAAAUUAUCCACUAUUAAGUGUCUAUUUCUAGUCACCCUCCAAGUUAUGAAAGACCCAUAGAACCAAAGCAACUCACACCACAUGUGAUGGGAAUUGGUGCUCUCUUCCAUAAUGUCAAGUUUUCCAGUACACUUGCUGACUUUGUAAAAUAUGCCUACAAAAAGGGCUGCCACCUCCUAAUUCCCAAUCAUAGAAGUUUCUUAACCAUAUUUCAAAAGCUGUAUUUCCUGUUCCCUCUCUUUAAGUUUUUUAAACCUAUAUCUCUUUAUCCUAGUAAUUCGGAAAAAUGAGGAAAUUAUUUAACAAGAACUCCAUCAAUUUGUUCCUUAAAAUUUUAUAUGGUUUCUCUCUCACUUUUUAUUCAAAUUCUUGAAGCAAAGGAACAAAUUCAUGGCUAGUAACAAUUUUAGCCAAGCAAUAGAAUGCACAACAAACAUGCAUAUGAAUGACUUUUGUUUUUUGAUGAUAAUAGAUCAGAUAUUUUAAUCUCAUCCUAAAACCUUGGAGUUAGCUAAAAGCCGCAUCUUAUGUUCUGACUUGUGGUUUGUUUCAUAAUAUAGGUGAAAUUUCAUAUUAUAUCCCACCACAAGCUUCGCAGUUGUAGCAGCAAGCCAAAUUUUUCUUCAGUUCAUUACCUCAAUAUGGAGCAGCUGAAAAAGUGUUUGAUAUCUCUAUAUGCUCUAUACAAAGAAAAUCGAAAUUCAAAUUCUAUUUACAAGAAUGAACCUGAGUUUUGCUCAUUUCACGUUCUUCUUCAUCUUGGCUUUAACAACCAACCAUUGGUGGACACUUGCUUCCAUUGUUUGUUUGAGUUCAUCUUUGUCAGUAUCUCUUGCAGCCUUGUACUGGUUUCUGAAUAUGUUACUAUUUCUGUUCUGAAGGGAGAGUCACUCUCUUUGUGGUUGGGUCGUGUACCUUCUCUCAUUUUGAAGUCAAAGGAAAUGUGUUUUGCCCGGAGACUUUUAAGGUGACCACAAAGCUAUUAUAGAUUCGACUUGCAUAUAAAUUGUUUAUAUUCAUUUUACAUUUAACUCAAUGUAGAGUGGUUCUGUUUUUCAAUCGAUUUUUUUCUCUUCUUUUAGUACCCAAUGUUAAAAUUUUUGUUUUCAUGAACUGAAAGAUCUGUCUUUUCUUGUAACAGAUUAUUUCGGAUGGGCAAUUAUAAGCAUUUCCUUUGUACUACAGCAACUGAGGCAUCUUAUUUGCAGUACUACAUUAUUGAACCUUACAUCAAUGAGGUUGCUUAAAUAUGUUGAUUUUGCUAGAUUUUUCAGUUUGAAAAAUAUAUGCUUCUUUGUUCAUUUAUUGUAUUCCAGUUUCAUUUAUGAGAAUAUAUCUAAAAUCUAGACUCGAGUACUUGUGCUUUUGGGUUUUAUUUUUCUUUCAUUUUUGUUAGUAGUUGCACUUCAUUAUUCUUAAAUUUCUCACCAACUGUUUCUUUAUGUGGUUUAUUGCUCCUCACUUUCUUCAUUCAUCUGAAGUUUUCAAAUUCAAUUAGCUUGUUUCAUAAACUAGGUCUUAUUUAGAAGUUCUUCUCAACUGCCUUUUUUUAGUGCUUCUAAAAGACAUGCCUGAUUUAUGUACAUUUUGUUGGUUUUCUUUUGACCGUAAAAGGUUCGAGCAUUGGCAUUGUCAUGUGUAAAUUAUUGUGGCUACAAACUUCAUCCAUAUCCAAUUGCACACUUGUCCAAACUCUUGAUGAUGAAGGUAUGAUUGCAUUUACUAGCAUUAAAUUGCUAAAAUUUGUCAUCCAAAGUUCCAAUUUCUUUUGAACCUUGAAGACUCCAUUUGCAUUCUUGUAGGAAUUAGAUGUGGAAUCAUUUUGCAAUGCUUGUGGUCUUGAGACCAGCACUGGUGAACGGGGAAAUAAGUUCUUAUCAACCAAGCAAACAAACUUCCAUUAUCCCAAGGAAGUCUUUCCAAGCUACUGCCUUCGGGUUUGGAACACUUUUAGAGGUAACAAUCAAUUGGAACUAGUUACUCUUUCAAACUUCUUAUUGUACAAAUAUAGCCUGCAUGUGCAACCAUUUCUGAUCCCAUAAUUUCAAGAAUUUAUGACACCUUCUAGUGGUUAGUUUUUUUGGGAAUAGAGUAAAGCAAUCUAUUCACUCCCAGAAACUAUCGUCAGAGGAACAGUAGAUAACCCCGCAAGACCAAAUUUAUGUGUGUUGCAUGGAGAUGCAUGUUUUCUGCAUCCCAAUCAUGCAGUGUUGUGUCAAAUGGAAUAAUAGCAGGUGAUGAUAAGUGGUAUUUCUAAAAUCAUCUAAGAGUAUUCCAUCUAUUGUAAUAUUGUUUUCUCAUAACUGUCUUUGAGUCUUAUAUGUAAAUAUUAGAGUUGACCUCUUGUAAGCUAUCAAUUGAUGUUGUAACUUAACUUGAAAGGGAAAUUCUAUAAAUUUAGCCUUGGUUUGGCACUUGGAAAGCAAAGAAAAAUUAGGUUAGUGAGUUGAUUUCUUCCCUUCCCAUGGAUGUAAGCACAUUCUUGAAUCAUGUUAAUUAUUUUUUGGUUUAUUUUGUUGUUUUGUUGUUUAUUGUUCAAUUGUCUCCACAUAACAAGUGGUAUCAGAGUUGUUUCCGACACACUAGAUGAUUCUUGUGCUAACACAAUGUUUGAGGCUAAAUAUAAGAUAGUAAAAGUUUCUAGAAUAUUUCCCUAUGACAAUUACCAAUAAAGAAUGUACUUAACAGGAAGUUUGUAAGGUGUUACAUGGCAAGUUGAACAAAACCAAUAGCCAGAGAUAACUGAAAUAUUUGGGCCAUUGAUCCAAUAAUAGCAGAUAAUAACACAAGAAGAGACCCUCUAAUCACCAUUUUUGCUUUUGAUUCUUCUUUACAAAGCAUCAUCUACUUUAUACAAAAAGACAAUCCAUGGCUGAGCCCACAUUAUUCUCUACAUAUCCCAAAAAAGCCCUCCAAAUUUUAGGGCAUGAUGCUCUUUUUGGGGGUAUUUUUGGUACUAAAUUUGUGGUAGUCUCUCAAAUACCUAAACUAGCCUCCAAAUUUUAAGGCAUGCCCCACUGUUUGAGGUGGUGUUUUGGGUACUAAUUUUUGUUAGGAGAGGUUUUAGUGUGGAAACUGGAGGGCUUUACACAUGUCGCAUGUAUUUUAUUUUGCAUGCGUUACACGUGGAUUGGAGUUUAUGCAGUUACUCACACUUUUUGUGCGUCCAACAAUACUGUAGUGCCACGUCACCAUAUGAUGGGCUCUUUAGUCUUUUCAAACCCAAAAAAACACCCAAAAAAAAAAACUAAUACUAAAAGGAGUGCUAACUAGCUAUGUGAAGGUGAACCUUUAUAGCUAGCUUCUUAAAGGGACCAUGAUCGCUUAGGCCAAGGAAGUUUGAGGUGAUAAUAGGUCUGUGAUGCCUUUAGAUGUUUUAAGCACAUGUGCGUUACACUAAUGUAUUCAACGAGUCUAUAACCUUAACCGACAGGUCCGGGUAAUCUUUGAAAUUUCAUUGUGAUGGGAAGGUUCCAUGUGAACAACACUUGCACAUGGGUUAGUCAAUCUUAAGAGAUGGGGGAAGCCCGUCUAACAACGCACAAUGUGCGAGCUUUGAAAGGCAAUAGGGUUAACAUUUCUGAAUUGGGACAUGACAAUGACAACAACAUUAGGUAGUCUAGAGAUGUUGUCAUAUUAAUUGUUAUCAAUAUUUUUAUUUAUUCAAUAGAAAUUGAGGAUUAAAAAAUACCACAAAAAAUAGAAAAAACAAAAUUAAUUACAUGGCUUACAUUUCAGAUAUUUAAUAAAAUAUUGUAUGAAAGUUGAAUAUCAUACACUAUUAAAUGACUGGAUUCUCUUCUUUAUUUUUUUUAAUUGUCUCAUCCUAUUAAAUUACUCAUCUAAUAUUAAUUUAUUUUAAAGGUAAAAUUAAUUAUAUUGUAAAAAACUUUUAAUUGACCAGAGUUUGUGCACAACAUCUAAUAUAUACUUAAAUACUUUUCCAUGCUAUAAUCCUCCAACUAAGAAAUGAAAUCAAAACUUAAAAAUCAUUUAUAUAUAUAGAUAUAUGUUGUUAAGUUUAGGUAGUGAAACAAUUAAUGUGGAUAUAAAAUUAAUGCCAAAACUUUUGAUUGAUCCUUCACAUUCUCCACAACCAAACAAAGGAUAUAAGAAAUAAUGAAAGAAAUUUAGGGUAGUUUUAUUUUUUGUUCUCAUCUUGUUGUGAAGUUAAUAGAGGAAUGCUUAGGUUGGUGCUCAAUAGUUAAGUGACACCAGGGUAUAAUGAUUCUUCCAAUUGUGUAAACAUUAUCCGCUUUAAUUUCAAUGGAUCAUCAUCACUUUAAAUUGCAUCCACAUGGUUAAGAGUAACUCAUAUGUAUAUAAUAUCAUGAAUUUCUUCUUAUUCGAUAUGGAAUAUCAAAUUAGGUAUCUUUCAAUUUUAGGUAUUGUAUAAGCGUUUCAACUCAAAUGACUUGGCUUAAUGUAUGCUCAAAGCCAUGACAAAGGAACGUACAUGUAAUAAAGUGAAAAUUAAACCUUGUCGCCCUUCUAUCUCUAGUAUGAAACACAACUCCAUUAGCCCUUAAACAUCUGCAAAAAAAGAUAUACACAUCUGUUACAUUAAUUAAAAUAAAUGAUGCAAAAAGAGGCUCUACAUGUCCAUGUACAUAAUUUGAUUAGAUUUGUUAUAUAUAUAGAUAGAGAGAAAAAAAAACUGCUUAGAUUAAGGAUCUCAUUAAUUAAUACCUAGAAAAUAUAAAAUAAUAAGAAAAGAUUAGAAGGUGUGAAUCAUAAGAUAAGACUACAUUUUUGAAUUAGAUUCAUCGAAAGAUGGCAUAUUGUAUGAACAUUUGUACUCUAUAUAUAAAAAUUCAUAUUAUGGUUGAGAUGUAUUAAUUUGUCAUAUUUUUGGAAAAUUAAAGUAAUGAGUAAUUACACUAAAUUAAAUUAUUGACCUUAUUAAUCAAUACCUCAAGAGUAUAAAAUAGUAAGAAAUGAUAAUACAAACUUCAUUGAAAUAUUUUUAUACACAUUGUGUAAAUAUUCUUAUUUAAUAAAAGUUUAUAUGUCAUUAAAUAAAUAGAGAAUUUUAACAUUAAUUGCAGUGCUAAGUAGAGGAGAUCCCAUAUUUAAGUUGUUGAUUAAGGCUUAUUUGAUAAAACUUAAUAUAUAUUACUUAAUAACUUAAGUUGACUUUAAGUUAGAUAAUAUUUAAGUUAUUUACUUAAAAUUUAUUAUUUAAUAUUUACUUUAAGUAUUAAAGUUAUUUGAUAAAGCUAAUUUAAAAAUCAUUUUAAAUUUUCAAAUUGUCAUAUUUACCUUCAUUAAUUUGAUAACUAGAUGCAGAUAAAUGAAAAAAAAAAUGAGAUUAAGAAUAAGUUAAUUACUUUGAUUUAACACUUAAAAUUAAAAGUAACUUUAAAAUAUAAUAUUUAGUUAUUUUAUCAAAUAUAUUUAAUAUAUUUAAUAAUUAAAUUAAGUUAUUAAGUCAAUGAAUGAUUACCAAACACCCUAUAAGACCUAGAAAAUCGAAUGAGUUUUAAUAGUAUUCAGGAUGGGCAUGACUAGGUGGUGGUUCAAUGUUGAUUAAUCAUAAUUCAAUCAAGGCAAAAUAUGUAACAAAUACAUGUCAAACUGCACCAUCCAAAUGGGCACCAAGAACGUUACAUUUGACAAAUGCCAUUAAACCUUUACAGCUAGCAAUUAGAAGAUCACUCUCUUCUUGUAUCUCUCUUUUUCUCCAAACUCCAGGAGGAAAAACGCGAACUCCAUUAUUUUGAUCACAGAAAAAAUGGCAAAAAAGUGUGUUGUACUUCAUCUUGAAGCUCAUUAACUUCAUCUUAAUUUGAUCCAAAUUGCAGAAACAUUCGAAACUCCAUGAAUCUAUGGUGCUAUGGUGGCCUACAUUCAUAUAACUGGGGACACUUUGGUUUGCACUACAAUGACCCCCAAACAUGGUUUGUAGAGACUUUAUCAAGAUCACUAGCUUCAAAAGACUAAGGAAAGAAAGAUGUUCUCAAUGAAAACUUGGAGUCAAAUUGCAGAUAAAGACCUAAAACUCCCACUCAAUGUGUUUGAGGAAUUGUUGUUUCAUGGGGAUAAGCCGUUUGGUUUGUACACGUCUCCUUGGUGAUACUUAGAGAUUGGCGAAGUAUACGUCUCCUUUGUGAUCUGGUUUGUAUCUGGGCAGAUGAAUGUUCAUGCCAGGUUCAUAUAUGUUUCUGAUAUAUAUCACCCUGGAAGGAUCUAGAUCAAGGGGAUGAGUUUGAAAAGCUUGAGUAGGUUUAAAAUGUUCCGAGAAUUGGUGAGCAUGAUAUAUAUCAACAUGAUAUUGCAGAAGACAACAGAGCUUCUGAAAUAUGUCAGAUUCAAUAGUAGGAAAUCUUAUCAGCUGUCACUUACUGUAAUUCUAUGCUCUCAAUAUUCAUUUGUUGAAGAAGAAAAAAAAUUGCUUUCACACUAUUCAAUUACAGGAGAAUGUUCAUUAUUGAAGAAAAUAAUAUUCGCUAGUCUCUUUCAACUUAAUCAACAUGCAGAGAAAAGCAGUCGGGCGACCAAUUAUUCACAUAAAACUUACAUACAUUGUCUCUCUACCUCUACUUGUUACUCAUCAGUCAAGCUUAUAGUAAUAUAAGCUUGGGUUCAUCUCUCUAUGCCAUUGAUGAAAACUCCACAUGGGCUUUGCCUUUCUGGUGAUUUUGCAUUUGGAUUCCGACCCUCUCCAAGUGAAGAGGACCUAUUCCUUCUUGCUAUCUGGACUGCAAAUGGAAGUUAACCGGUGCCAAGAGGAUCAAAAGUUGGGCUUACCACCAAUAGACAGCUUGUUCUCUAGAGGCUGGUAAUGUGAGCAGCGAACCAGUGCAUGGUGCCAUGCUUGGAGAUGGAAAUUGUAUACCAGUGUAUGGGAGAGCUUCAAGCACCCGACUAAUACCAUAUUGCCAACCCAGGGAUUGGUGUUGGAGCCUACUGUUGAGUUGCUAUUUUUGAGGACCUGAGGUUUCCAAAUGGAACUGGAAGCUGUUGGAGGAAAAGACUACCUCUUUCAAAUGGGAGGUUGGAUCAAACUGCUGUUUCCAGAAGUGCUCUAAUCAAGAUAUUGAAGUCCAGUGAACUAACUUCAGGCAGAGGCAACCAAAAUAAAGCAAUUCUAAUACUCUCAGUCCUCUUAGGCCCCUCUGUGUUCUUCUUCUUCAUUUCUCUGGCUGCAAUUUCUCUAGUUUUCUACUGCUUGAUCCUCAAAAAUCUGCAGCUUUAUCACAGAAUCCUGAGUACAAGCGAUGGUAGAAGCCUUUGGCACUGUCUAUAAAGGGAUAUUACCAUCAGGUUCUGGAAAUUCUGUUGCUGAAAAGAAGUUGGAGAAGGUGGUGGGAGAAGAUGAGAAAGAAUUCAAAGCAGAAGUGAAUGUGAUAGGCCAACUCACCAUAAGAAUCACGGACACUAGCUGCGUUACUGUCGUGAGGGUGAACACUGACUACUGGUGUUUUUUUUUUUUAUGCACAAUGGCUCUUUAUCAAGCUUCCUUUCUGGAGGCGCCCAAGGACUUGUGUACCUACAUGAAGAAUGCAGUAAACAGAUCAUCCAUUGUGACAUAAAGCCCUCAGAACAUAACUCUUGGAUGAUUCUUCUACAGCCAAAGUUGCAAACUUGGACUGGGAAAGCUUCUGAUAAGCAACCAGACUAGAACACUCACAGGCAUCAGAGGGACUAUGGGGUAUAUUCAGACAACUCGGGCAGCCUAUGUCUCUUAUAAUAACACGUUAUGAAGCAUCAGCUCAAUGCCGGGGUUCAAUCUGCAAAGCAAGGGAUUCAUCAAUGUUUCCUUCAAACUAAAUGAUAAGGAACAGAAAUGGAUCAUUCUGCAUUUUCAGUGGUGUUUGUUAUAGCAUUUAUACAAGAACUCUAGGGGUUUCUAUGUAUAACUUCAUUCCCAUUUUGUAUAAUCCAAAUCUCUUCAAUCGAUUAAAUGUAUAAAUGAAUCCUAUUCAUUGUUUGGAGUAACAACAAAAUUCUGGAAGACUGGGAAAGUUUCAACACUGGAGAGAAGACAAAAUGACAAGACCAUAAAUUCUGGAAGAGGGCUUUGCUUUCUAACCAUUACCAUAAUUUUAGAGCUCAACCUGGAUGAGUAAAUUAUAUUUCAGAAUGUUCAGGAGAUAAUUCUAAAGUGAUGAACCUUCUACUCACAGUUUCUUGUUCUUCUUGAACAGAGCAAUGAACAUCAAUAGUUCAGCACCCAGGAAUCUCCCCUUCCUCCAAUUCCUCCACUGGGAAAAGUCACCUUUCCAGUUAAGAAAAUCAUCAGGAUUAGUUUGAGCAAAACAUCAGAGUAUACAUCAAGAAAGCCUUGAUCAAAAUCAAAAUACAUCAAGAGCUGCCAUUUUCUUCUAUUUCCUCUUCCCUGAAUGGAAUGCCUUUUGGACUGAGGUGAUCAAUGGUAACAAUCUAACACACUCCUUAAGCUCUGAUUGAGGUCAACGGGGAUUGGCACAUUUAAUGACUUUGAAAUCAUAGCUGUGUGAAGGGAGGCAAACAUGAAUCUCAGGAUAAUCAACAAGUCAACAACUAUCAAUCAGUAAGGAAAAGGAAAAGGAAAUACCUUUGGAUAUUUACAAAUAAAAAUGAAAUAUGAUACAAGAUUUUCAUGGAUUAAACAAAAAUAGAUGGCAAAAUAGAAGGAUAAGGUCACAGACAGGACAAUAUUAAAAGAAAUUAUUAUUUUUCCGACCUGAAAAUCAAGGAAUUCAGAACAGUACAAGUUUGUAAGUAGUCCAUGGAAACCAGGGAACAUAUGCAGAUGUUUUAUUCUAUUGCAUAAGGCAAACACUCAAUACUUACAAGCAUAAUCAUGCCCAGAAAGCCAUGAAUCCCUUUUUGUUUUGCCUUUUUAUCUAUUCCCAUCUCUUAUUGCCAGAAGUGCCCAGGAUGAUAUAAGCCUCACCAAAUAAGUUAGAAACCAGCCCAUUCAGCAGGUUGAGUAGCCAGCUUGCCCUCAAUCUUCUUUGAGUCAACAAACAGCUGGGCAUUAUUGCCUCCAAUGGAGGGUCUGGAAAUAUUAGAGCCGGCAGCAGGGGUGGCUGUAAAACUCUCUGUUCCAAAACCCCAAGUUUCAGGGCCAGAAGUUCCUUCUGUGGCUGGUUUGUUGUGAUGGCCAUUUCGGGUCCUAACAGACUUGCUAUUGUUGUCUGGGCACCUGCCUCAGAGAAAGCCUGCCAAAGAUUAGAGUCUGGGCCAGGGGAAACGGAUUUUCUUUGCUGGAGUUCCCAGUCUGUUGCUUCAAUCUUUUCUCUGUGCUGUUAUGAGAAGAAAACCUAUCAGACACAUGAAUGGGUACAAAAAGGUAAACUUCAGGUUUUGGUUGUAUUGAAAAGCACAGGAAACUUCACAAGAGGCAAAUUAUACCCCAGACUUAUUGAAGAAAAAUAAAGUACAAUUGACUUACCCAAAUGUCUACUUUCUCAUUUAUAAGUUUCCUCCUAAACAAAUCCCCACAUCUAGGACAGGAAAAGGAAGAAACUGGGAGUCAACAUUUUUUCAACCAAAUGUCAGCACUAAAUUAUCAAAAAACAUAGUUUUCCAUUCAACCUCGGGAGCUGUAUGUGCAGGUGUACUGUACUUUCUGAUAUUGUCUUCUUCAAUGCCCAUUUCUUCAGGCUUCUUAAAGUGCUUAUGAUUGGUGGAGGUGCUUCCAAAAUUACACAACUUCCAUAAUCCAUUAGGGCCCAAUAGAAGAUUCUCAGCAUUUAUAUAAGAACUUUAGGGUUUAUACGUAUGAUCAUGUUACAGUAUAAAUCAUAGUGAACUGGUGGAAUUUGAUUAUUUAGCCAACCUCAUCAAAAACUGUUUCACAGUUGAGGGGAUUGUUAACCUUGCCAUGGGCCAAGCAGCAAUUUCUGAAGAAGCUGGGUGACAAAGAGUACCAUCAUUUGGACUAGUUUCAAUGGAAAUUACUCUGUUUUUAUACAUGAUAUCUUCAGCUUCAGCUUUUCCUUUUGCUUUUGACAUGGCUGAAACUGAUCCUGAAAUCAAAAAUCCCACACAAGUAGAUAUUUAACAGAAGAGGAUCCGAAUCUCUUCAAUUGAUUAAUGUAUAAAUGAAAUAAUAAAAAAUUUUAGAGAUAAUUAUAGGGAGAUGAACCUUAUACCUCUGAGUUUCUUAGUCUUCUUGAACAGAGCAAUGAGCAUCCAGUGUUGAGCACCCAGGAAUCUUCCUUCCUCUACAGGGAAAAUCUGAACAAUCUAUCUUUCUUCAUAUUCCACUUCCUUGCAAAAGUCAAAACAUGAAGAAAAUAUCAUCAAAAUUGAGACAAAAAUAAGUGCAUCAACUGUCUCAAGAAGAGAUUUAUGCCUAUUGCUUACCUUUUGCAGAAGUCCACUUGGUUAGAGCACAUUUUACAUGGACGCCCAAUCACUGCAAGCUGCUGAACCAAAGGAGAGUUCAAACAUCUAAAAAAUUUGACUAACUCAAGUAUCAUAAAAUACUUCACAUGAAUUCUAAAUGAUCUCAUAUCUAAAAAACACUGGCAUAAAAUUAUUGUUGUUUACCUUACAUGUUUCUUCCAUGGUCAUAAUCGAAACUUUGUUUAUCAUAAGAAAUCUUUUAUGCUCAUCCUGAUUACUUACAAUGAUCACUGAAAUGAAAAGACAAAAAACACAAAAAAUGACGAUUAGUUUGAUUUGAUAAUUUUUUAAAAUUAGAAAUUAUAAAACUAUUUUGGUUCUCAGAAAAUUUACGGGAAAGUAGGGAAAAAAAUUGUAAACUUUUUCUCUUGUUUGAUUGUUUAUCGGAAAAUUGAGGGAAAAACAAAAAUCUAAGAGAAAUUUAUUUAACACUUAUGAGGAACCAAAAAUGUUUUAGAUGUUGUCAAAUCGAUAAUUUAAACGUGUUUAAUUUCAAUUAAAUGAGUUUAAUCAAACACAUGAAAUUGUGAAUAAAAUUAUUUAAAAGCAUUGAAAUUCAAGUCAUUAAAGUUGUCCAUAAAAUUUGAUAUAUUGAAGCAAGAAAAAAACAAAGCAAUUUGAAUGACUUGCUAAUGAAGCAGCUAACUAAAAUAUGCCCUAGAGUUGUUCUGUGCCCUGUAUAUAACAAAUUUAAAAAAAAAAAAUCCUAGAAAAAAAACAAACAAAAUAUCCAUGGUCUUAUGUUAUUUUUUUUCUUAAUUUUUCAAUAGUUAUAAAUGGUUCAUUUAAUUCUUGCAAACCACCAAAUCAAAACAGAGCAUGAAAAAGAAAAUCUUAAAUCAAAUAAACAGGACUAGCGAAUGAAUUGGAACUUGAAAGAAAAGUUCAAGCUCAAAAGAAUUACCUGACUCUAUAUUGGCGGAGUGGCACUUUGAUUAAUAUAGCACAAAAUUGAUCACUAUUUUUGGAAUGUGAGCUAUAUAACGCCAUUCUUCCCCUUUCUCAAAUUGACACCGUUUUUUCAGUAAAGGACAUUUGUAGAUGAACAGAUAAGAGAGGGAGUCUGGAAGUCUCUCUUUUGUCAAGUAUUUGAGCUUACGACACUUACAGAUCCCUAAUGUUUUAAGAGAGGUGAGGUGUUGAAGACCCACUUUUGUCAAGGAUUGGAGCAUUGGGCAGUUAUCGAUCCACAAACAUUCAAGAGAGGUGAGGUGUUGAAGACCCACUUCUGUCAAGGAUUGGAGCAUUGGGCAGUUUUCGAUCGACAACAUUUCAAGAGAGGUGAGGUGCUGAAGACCCACUUCUGUCAAUGAUUGGAGCCUCGAGCAUCCAUCAAUUUCUAAUCGUUUUAGAGAGAUAAGGUGUUGAAGAACCGAUCCUGUCGAGAACUGGAGCUCUGGGCAGUUUCUGAUCUUUAAUUGUAGAAGAGAGGUGAGUUGUUGAAGACCCCUGCUGUCAAGAGACUUGAGAUUCGAAAGCUCUACAAUUUGAAGAGAAGUCAGAGAAGAGGGCAGCAAACACUCCUUGGGAAAUAAUUCAAUGUCUUCACAUCCACCGGUGAUUGUGAAAUGAGUAAGAGAGGUCAGCCUUUGCAAACCCCACUCCACCUGGGGUGUGAGUUGGUUGCACUUCUUAAUUUCAAGUUCACGUAGGUUGGAAGGCAAACCCUCUCUCUGAAACAACAAUUCUGGACAAUCCCAUAAAUUCAACGACCUGAGCUUGGAGCACCUAUAAAUCUUACAAGACUCCAAGUUGAGAGCGUGCAAUUCGAUAGAUUCAAGAUCAGGGCAACCAUCUAGAGACAGGGAACAUAAAGAUGUGGGAUCACCCUCUGAAACCAAAAUGGAGAGCUUCUCAAGCCCCUUAAGAUCAAGGAUUGUGAAAUUAGUCAACUUUGGGAAGAUGCCUAAUGAGAAGGAUAACGAGAGAGAAUCAUCGAUAACACCAUCUUUGAUUUCUAGACUUUCAAGGACUGGGAGAUGGCAUCUGAACAACUCAGGUAGGAGAAACGCUAAUUUCGAGCAGUCAGAGAUGAAUAGUGAUUUCAGUGUAGUGGGUAAACCAACUUUGUGCAGGGAUCUAGAAAAACUACAAUCAUAGAUUUUCAGAUCAUGUAUGUUGGUUUGCGAGAUUUCCUCCUCUAGCAGAGACUCCACAUAAUCACAUUUUCUAAUUGACAGCUGGUGUGGUGCCAUUGGAAGUUGACUCCACUGAGACACAUCUAAAAUUUCAAUUUCUGAAGUUUGAAGAGCUGUGAAGUCACAACCUGCCAUUUGCAACUGCAGUUUACCAAAAUCCACCAUCCUCAAUUGACGAAUUGCAGGAACUGUGAGUGAAGCCAUAAGCAGUUGCGGACAUUCAUGAAUUUGAAGUUCCACCAAUGAAAGAAGCUGUUCUGGUAAUUUCCCAAUGAGUUUGGGACACCUUCGUAUAAAAAGCUUUUGAAGAUGAGGGAAUUCUCCACAACAUAACCAUUUCUCCCAGUUCUGCAUAUCCUCAAAUGAUAGUGUUUCUAGGAAUUGAAAGGAAGCAUUCCCAUAGAACUCAUCACCCACACACUCUACUCCAUUCAUCCUUGAGAUUUGCAGAUAUUUAAGUUGGGUUAGCUGUCCAAGUGGUGGCAAUGUUGAGCAAUUGCCACAACCCCGAAGCUCAAGGGACACGAGAUUCAACACUGAAGGAUCUCCAAGCCAAUUUGGAAAUCCUUCACCAGGAUAGUUUGUGAUGGAGAGUUGUUUUAAAUUUGGAUGAGGUUGUAACUUGUUGAGUAUAUCAUGCGUUGUUGCACCACUUUGUGUAACACCAUUGGUACACAUGUAACGCCAAUCAAAGAUCAACUCAUCAAGAUAACUUUUAUCCUGCAUAUUAGCUCUUGAUGCAUCAUUAACACUCACCACAUUCUCCAUGUUUGAAAUAUAAAGUUUUCCUCGAAGCUCUGAUAGCUCCCCCAAUUCUCCAAUUCUUAAUCCAUUGUUUUGGCCCACAAUAAAUCGAGUCAACCUUUGUAAAUUUUUUAAUUGACCAAUUCCAUGACUUGACAUUGCUCUCAAUGAACGACAUCCAUCAAUAUCAAGAUAGCGCAAAUUAAUCAAUUUUCCCAUCUUUGAAGGCAAUUCAUCAAGUUCUGAACAAUUUCUCAGCAUCAUCGUUUGUAAAUUGCAUAAACAACAUACUGAUUUAGGUAAUUUUUUAAUCCUCGUGACAGACAAAUCCAAGUAACGCAAAUGUUUUAAAUUACCUAUCGAUUUAGGCAAAUCAGUUAUUGUAUAUGCACAUAAUGAUAACACACGUAAACACCACAUUUUUGGUAAUAUAUCUUGCAAAACUCUUUUACUCAAAUUAUAUAUCGGAUAGUCUUCCAUUUGCUUCACUCCUAAGAAUGUUCGAAUAGAUUUAGCUUUAGUGAUAGCCUCAAAAUUCUUAAAUGCAACAAGCCUCUCAUAAUCACUUUUAAAGUACAAAAAGUGGUGAGCCUUCUCAGAUACUUUCAGUAACUUAUCAUCCUCUUCCACUCGAGCACAAAAAUCUCCAGACACGUGUUGAGCCAAUUCGUGUAUUAGAUCAUGCAUUACAAAGCAUGAUCCUUUUGUUCCAAUAGAUUUUUGAAAGAAUGACUUGGCGAGAAGUUCAUUAAAAUAUGACUCACCUAUCUCUUCCAUUCUCCUUCCUUCGUUUUCUUGUGGAUGUAAAAGACCUUCUGCCAUCCAUAAUAAAAUCAGCUUCUCUUUGUUGAAUUGGUGGUCCUGGGGAAAAAUAGAACAAUAAGCAAAACAAUGCUUCAGAGGUAGAGAAAGAUGAUGGUAGCUUAAUCUCAAAGAUGGAAGAAUUUCGGAGCCACUCUGCCGCCAUAUGUCACUGUUCAACACAACGUUCCAUUCCCCUUUGUCGGCCUCCGAAUACAAGAGACGGCCGAGUACUUUCACAGCCAAAGGCAAUCCUUGGCACUUGUCCACAAUCUGUCUGCCUAUGGGUUUAAGCUCAAGGAAUGCGUUGGGGUCUCUAUCUCCAAAUGCAUGCUUUUUAAACAGGGACCAACUAUCUUCAGAGCUUAAUUUCCCAAGAUCAUGAGUAGGGGCCGCUUUCAUGGCUUCUGCAACAGAUUUAUCACGACUGGUCACAACAAUCUUGCUUCCCUCUGCUGCAGCGAGGAGUGGAGUUCGUAGACGUUCCCAACCUUCACGAUCACUAAGCUCCAUGUAACCUUCAUCACGAGGCUUCAAAUUCCAGACGUCAUCAAGAACAAGCAGAAAUUUCUUGUUACUAAGUUGCUCUUUGAGUUGAAGCUGAAGCUUAUUUAGGCUGUCAAAAUCAUCAGUUUUAGAACCGAUUUCGUAUAGAAUUGUUUUAGUGACCUUGAUAAGGAGAAACUCAGUGGAAACACAGACCCAUACUUGCAAGUCGAAGUGUUUCUUCACUUCCUCAUCGUUAUAGAGGUGCCGAGCAAGCGUGGUCUUGCCGCUGCCGCCCAUGCCCACUAUGGACAUCACCCCCAUUUUGCCGCCUGUUGUAUUGUCAGAAAGCAACCACUUCACCAUCUCCUUCUGAAUUUCAUCCCUGCCGAGAACAAUGGAGUCAUCCUCCAAAGAAGUGGACGUUGGUAAUCUUGGUGUUGGUGACCGUGAUCCUGCUAGCCCCAACCGAACAAUUUCUCCUCCGAUUUUUUCCAGUAGAUCAAUCAUGCCCCUGACCCUGGACUCCAUGCUUUUGAUAGCAAAUGGGGCCUUCACAGAAGCAGAGAACUUGUUCCAUUUCCACGCCUUAAGAGUUCCGCCGGUUUGGGAGUCAGCAGCUUCCAUCUUGCAACGCAAAGCGUCGGUAGCGAUCUCGUCCAACAGGUCUUCCGCAUCAUACACAGCAUCCUUGACAUGGACGAGCCACUCUUUGACAUUUGGGUUGGAAAAUUGCUUCACCUCCGCAUCAUCGAGCACAUUGAGAACAACCACGAGUUUCCUCUUCAACUCGUUGAGGAGUUCAUCGCUAAGGUUCCGUCGCCGAAUGAAGUUUAUGAGCUCUGGAGAAGCCAACCUUUGGAAUAGAACUUGAAGCGAAGCUGAGAGGAGGGCGUCCGCCAUAUCUGUGUCGACUGUUGCUUUGCAAUAGGAAUUCAGAGGAUUGGUUUCUGUUACCGCGAUACCACCAAAGUGCAAAAGACUGGGUUUGGAUUACCACACUGCAGAAUGCUUGAAGGAAUCAUUAUUGGUGGUGGACCCAGCUGCCAGAUAUUUGUCAAACACCAUAAUUGAGUGGUGAGAAAAAGAACAGGAAAAGCAAGUGGGAGAUGGAUGGUGCUUUCCCAACGGAAAGCAAAAGCAACAACAACAUUCGGUAUUUUUCUUUUUCAUCUACGCAUUUCUUCUUUCUUCUUUCUUCUUGUAGUAUUAUUAUUAGUAGACGUAUACACACAAAUAUUUGUUUAUAACAUUAUCAUUCCUAAUAUUAUAAAAUUUAUUAUUAAUAGAAUUUAUUAUAAAAUUUGUUAUUAAUAAUAUUUAUACUAAUAUUAUUUUUUAAUAAUUAAUUAGUAUCCUUACUUUUAUUGUUUAUAAUAAUAAUAAUAAUAAUAAUAAUUAUUAAAAUUUAUUAGUAUUUUCAAGUAAACAAUGGUAUAUGCAUAAGACAUAUUAAAAUUUUGAAUAUUAUGGUUAUUAUUAUUUGAUUCAAAAAAAGUUUAUAAUAUAAUAAUAACAAAAAUAUUUUUUUUAAUAAAAUAAAUUAUAAAAAUAUAAGAAUUUUAUUAUUUAUAAAAUAUAUUUAUUUUAAUAUAAUUAAAAUAAUUAAAAUAAUUUUAAAAUUUAAAAAAAAAGUUAAACGUGACAGGAUUAGGAUGGGACCGACCUAUCCCAAUGCUGCCCAUUGCCAUCCCUAACUCACCUAGUGGUAAUUAAGGCCAUUUUUUAUUAUUAUUUUUUUAAAAUGGUCUUUUAUUCUUAAAAAAAGAAAAAGGAAAAUAUAUUUAAUAAUUAGAAAAUAAAACAUAAUUUUUGUUUUUAAAAAUAAAAAAUAAGGCAUUUUUAGAUGAUACCCUUUUAGUUACUUUUACUUGUUUUAAAAAAAUUAUUGUAAAAGUAAUUAUAUAAAUGUAAAAAAUAAAAUAAUCUAGGUAAAAAUUAUUUUUAAAAUAUAAAAAAUUAGUUAAGAAUACUCUAUCUUCUCAAGCUCGUUUUAUAAAAUAUCAUAAAAUAAUUUUCAAAAACUUGUUUUUUCAUUAUUUUGACAACCGGAAUAAUACACAAUAAAAAUAAAUAAAUAAAAAUAAAAAGAUCCAAAGAAAGACAAAUGUGUUGCAGUAAUGCACUUAAAUUCACUGAACCUAAAAGCCAAAUGUGCAGUGUUGACUUUUCAACCGAGAGUUCACACAUGCCCAUUUUUUUUAAUUAAAGCACUAUUAAUAUAAAAUAUAUAUUUAAAUAAAAAUUAGACUUUUAAAAAAAUUAAAAUAUAUUUUUAAAAUGUUAAAAAAAUAUUUACAAUAUUUCCUUAAAAAAAAACAUCUUCCAAAAACAUUUCUUUAAAAAAUACUUCCACCUAUAAUAAUUCAGACACACUUGUGAUUUAAUAGUUAAAUAUUCUUUCUAAUAGGAAUUCAACUAUCGGUUUGUAUUACCACGAUACCACCAAAAUACGAAAGACUAAUUUUGGAUUACCAAAAUGCAAAAGAGCUGAAGGAAUCAUUGAUGGUGGAUGAUUCAGAUGUCCACAUUAUUUGUCAGACACCAUAAUUGAGUGAUGAGGAAAUGAAAGAAAAGCAAAUAAAAAACAAAAAAGGUGAUGCCAAACAUGGUCUUAUAAGGUGGGUGGAGCGAAAGCAACAAAGGAAACUAGCAGGAUUUUUCAUUGCUAUUACAUACCUCAAAGGACAAAUUUUGAAUUACCAAAAUACAAAAGACUUAAAGGAAUCAUUGAUGGUGGUGACCAGAUGUCCACAUUAUUUGCCAAACACCAUAAUUGAGUGAUGAGAAAACAAAAGAAAAAGCAAAAAAGGUGAUGCCAAACAUGGUCUUGUAAGGUGGGUGGAGCAAAAGCAACAAAACAAACUAGUAGGAUUUUUCAUUGCUAUUCCAUAUCUCAAAGGACUAAUUUUGAAUUACCAAAAUAUAGAAGACAUGAAGGAAUCAUUGAUGGUGGUGGACCAAGAUGUUCACAUUAUUUGCCAAACACCAUAAUUGAGUGAUGAGAAAAUGAAAAAAAAAAAAUGAAAAACAAAAAAGGUGAUGCCAAACAUGGUCAUGUAAGGUGGCUGGAGUGAAAGCAACAAAGUAAACUAGCAAGACUUUUCGUUGGUAUUCCAUACCUUAAAGGAUUGAUUUUGAAUUAUCAAAAUACAAAAUACUUGAAGGAAUCAUUGAUGGUGGUGGACCCCGAUGUCCACAUUAUUUGCCAAACACCAUAAUUGAGUGAUGAGAAAAUGAAAAAAAAAAGUUAAGAAAAAACAAAAAAGUGAUGCCAAACAUGGUGUUAUGAGGUGGGUGGAGCGAAAACAACAAAACAAACUAGUAGGAUUUUUUGUUGUUAUUCCAUACUGAGAAAAUAAAGGGCUACUCUAGGUGAAUAGAAGUUAAAAAAUGUCUUUUUAAACACAAUAAAAUGAAGCACAAGAAGUACAAAUAUAAAGAGGUAAGGUUAUAGAAAGUAAACUCAAAUUUAUAGUGGUUCGACACUUCCGUGCUUACAUCCACUCUCCUCAAGCUCCUACCUGAGUGAGGGUUCCACUUAUACUUGAAGUUUCAACCAAGCUUCUAAUCACUUUUUACACUUGGAUUCCAGCUCCAAUGGAUUCUUAUACAAUCUCUUCAAGUCUUUACUCACUUGAAUGUUUUAACACUCAAUUAACAAGUUUGAAUCUCUCAACCUAGCUCAACAAUGACUCAAAUACAACUCAAGGCUAGGAUGAAUCACUAAGGUGCACUAAAGAAUAUGCAAAUGGAAGUUUAAUGCACUAAGAAAAUAAUGAGAGCUUUUAUGACAAUAAUAAGUAGGUAAACAAAUAAAUGCAAGUGUUCUCUUGCUCAUAAAUGAGGUAGAGCUCUCAAUUUAUAAGUUUCUAACCUCAGGAGCUAAAAAUCCAAAAAGCAAUCUCGACUAGUCGAGCUGGGGGUUGACUGGUUCACUAGCCGUUGAAACAUUAAAUGCUUGGCAGGUGACCGUUACCCUCGACCAAACCUUAACCGGGAAGGCAAAUCCAUAAACCAGGAAAGAAAGGCUACUGGAAGAGAGAUAAUGUUUUUUGCAUCUCUUGACUUAGAAGGAGUAAUCGGUAGACCGGUACCUAGCCGAUUGAGCCGGUUGACCAGUGCCUCGACUAGUUCACCAUUUUUAGUUCGAAAACCUAUCUUUUUCUGGUCUUUUUGCUUCUAGCACUUAGGCAAGGACUUUAGAUAAAAUAAUAUGCCAAUUUUGAAUGUUUUGCCUAAGGUUCAUUUGAUAGAACUCAGAUUUGGAUGGAAAUGUAACUUUAAUGCAUAAACCGAGUUUUAAAGAUGUAUGAAAUGAUAUGAAUAUCCUAAGUACACCCAUGCAUUCGUCUUACGUAUGUUUCUUAUGAUUAAAAGGUCUUUCAAAAGUCUUAAUCUUGCAUUCAUUAGGUCCUUUAAUGAAUUUCCAAAUUAACACCUGAAAUUCUUUAUAAUUCAAAUCAAUUAGUAACUUAACCAUGAUUUGUUAUCAUCAAAACAUGAUUAGAAGAAUCAUUGGGCUAACACAUACCCAAAGGACUAAUUUUGAAUUACCAAAAUAUAGAAGACUUGAAGGAAUCAUUAAUGGUGGUGGACCAAGAUGUCUACAUUAUUUGCCAGACACCAUAUUUGAGUGAUGUGAAAACGAAAGAAAAGCAAAGGAAAAACAAAAAAAGGUGAUGACAAACAUGGUCUUGUGAGGUGGGUGGAGCGAAAGCAACAAAGCAAACUAGCAGGAUUUUUUGUUGCUAUUCCAUACCUCAAAGGAUUGAUUUUGAAUUACCAAAAUACAGAAGACCUGAAGGAAUCAUUAACGGUGGAUGACCCAGAUGUCCACAUUAUUUUUCAAACACCAUAAUCAAGUGAUGAGAAAAUGAAAGAAAAGCAAAGGAAAGGAAAAAAAACGUGAUGCCAAACAUGGUCUUGUAAGGUGGAUGGAGUGAAAGCAACAAAGCAAACUAACAAGAUUUUUUGUUGCUAUUUCAUACCUCAAAUGACUGAUUUUGAAUUACCAAAAUACAGAAGACUUGAAGGAAUCAUUGAUGGUGGACAACCCAGAUGUCCACAUUAUUUGCCAGACACCAUAAUUGAGUGAUGAGAAAACGAAAGAAAAGCAAAAAAGGUGAUGUCAAACAUUGUCUUGUAAGGUGGAUGGAGCGAAAGCAACAAAGAAAACUAGUAGGAUUUUUCGUUGCUAUUCCAUACCUCUAAAUCACCAUAAUAAUAAUAACAAUAACACCAAAUUUUAAGGUUAUUUUUUGUUAUAAAAAAAUACUAGGAAAAGAAAAAAAAUAAUUAAGGAAAAUAAUUUUUUCAUAUUUGGUUUCACUAUAGAAAAUAUAUAUAUAAAAAAUCAAAUAUAAUUAAAAUUAAUUUGAAAUUUAUAUAUUUUAAAAGUAUUUAAUCUUUUUAUAAUUUAGAAAAAAUAAGUAAAACGAGUUUGAAGAAAUGUAUAAAAAUAAUUUAUUAAAUUUAAACUUAUUUCUUAUUUUCCUUCAUUUUUUCUUUUCUUCUACUUUUUCUUUCUAUUUUCUUUCCUUCUCAUUUUCCCUCAAAUUUUCCAAGAACCAAACAUAGCUUAAAGGUUUAGAAUCUUAUGCACAAGACUUUCAAUUUUUUUUACAAUAUUAUUUUAUUAGUUAAGAAUUAAAAUUUAAUGUACCAUAUCUAACACUAACAAAAAAAAUUAUAACAACCAGUCUUAUCUUUUAAGAAUGUAUUGUUUAAAUGAGAUUAAAAAUUAAAAAUAAAUUUUAAUUCAUUUAACAACUAAAUUAAAAUGAAAUUUAUAUAUAUCAUAAAUUUAUACAAUUUUGAAUCAUUUUAUAUGGAGGAUUGAGAAUGGAGAGAUUGAAGAAUUGUUUGGUGACGAGGAGAUUGAUUGAAGAUUUUAUAGUCUUAAGGUUCUAUGGGAUGAAAUUUUUUGUAAAGAGUUUAAAUUUUUGUAAAAAAUAAAAUUAGUUUUAUGUUAUCUGAUUUCAUGGAAAUAUAAAGUUUUAAUUCAAAGAUUAUGUUUUAAAAAUAUUAUUUUUAAAAUAUAUUUAGCAAAGAUUUAUAAAAAUUUAAAAUUAAAAUUAAUUAAUCUAUCAACUAAAUUAAAAUAAGAUUUAUAUAUAUUUUUAUAGAUUUACAUGUGUAAAAUCUUUGAAAUGCCUCAACUUAAAAUAACCUUACAAAAUUUCAUUAAUCUACUAGAAUUUGCAUUAGGAUGAAUACCAUCAUAAUAAUAAUUACGCUCCACAUAUGACGUAUCUUAACAUCCACUUGGAGGUUAAAAAAUAAUUAAAGUAAGGGAAACUAAUAUAUUUAAAAUUUAAAAAUCAUGAUGAAGAUUUGGACAAUAAUUCAAGUAGGCAUCUUUGAAAUUUGACUUCCAAAUCCAUUUGUCAAUAUACACCACCCUAUGACAAUUAAAUAAAUUAAAAGAAGGAAAAAAAAAUGUUAAAGGAAUGACAUAAGAAUUAUUUAUGUAUGACUAGAUUUAAAGUUUAAUUAUCUGAGGAAUCCUUUAUUAUGAAAAUAUAGGGAACAAUUAUAUUUAAGGAGUAGACGGGGUUGAUAAUGACUAAAGGGUACAAAUUUUGCAUAAUUGAUCUAAAAAGGUAGAGAAGGUUUGUAGAUUGUUGUGGAGGAUAUAAACCCAUUUUGUGAGUCGAAAAUGCUCAAAAUACCCUUAAGAGUGUUUUUUUAAAAAGGACAAUUAAGUACUCAUGAUAAUUAAUAUAUUAAGAUUUCAAGAAAAAUUAAUAAUAAAUAAAAUCUUUUUCUAAAUCUAUUUAACAAUCAUAUAGUUUUUAUUUUAUUUUAUUUUUUCAAGUUGCAACUAUUAUCUUAAUUUAUUUUUCAUUUUAAGGUUCAAUUAUUAUUAUUCUUUAUUUUGAUUAAUUAAAUGAAACUGUACAAGACAUAUUUAUAUUAAUUAGCUAAAAAGGAUAGAUUUUUUAGCAAUACGAUUAAAAUAAAUAAAAACAAGGAAUUUGAUUUUCUUUAUAAAAUAGAUUGGGAAAAGUAUAUUUCGAUACAUUCGUAUGAAAAAAAAAAUCAUAAAAUAGGAACUCAAGUUUAUAAAAUACAAAUUUUAAGCAUCCAUCUAAAAAUAAUUAUCAUUUCAUGCAUUUUUUUGGUUAAAUAUAUUAUAUUUGACAAUUUAAGUAUUAUCUUUUAAUAAUGUAGGUAAUACCUUUGACCUGCAUACAACUUGAAUUAUUUUUAGAUAGUUUCUAUUGUAUAAUUAGUUCAUCAUUUGAUAUAAAUAUCAAAUAAUUAAAAAAUAUAUCUUUUUUUUUUAAGAAUUUUAAUUAUAUUUGACUUUCUUUUGUAUUUUCUAUUGUGUAAACCACAUAUAAGAAAAUCAUUUUCUUUAACAUUUUUUUUUCUUUCCUUAAUAAUUUUCGAGAACCAAACAUGGCUUGUAGGUUUGGAUUAUAGGGUAUAGAUGCCAUAAAUACUGGAAUGAGUUCGGGUUUUCCAUGCUAAAUGUCUUUAUUAUUAUUUGGUAGCGCUUUUCCAAAAUUGUUCCAUUCCCAAAACCACUUAAUUUGCUUAAAUAUUUUAACCUCACGAUAUCAUAACAUUAUAAUGGAAUAGAUUUUGUUGGUGUUCAAAUCAUGUCAACUCAAUUUCCAAACCAUUUGGAUUGUCAUUUGGUGAAAAAUAGAAAGAAAUUUUACUUGAUUGAAAAGCAUUUCAUUUUUAUUUGAAUAUGCUGCAAUGAAACAGUUACUAAACCAUGGGGUAGCAGAAGAAGUAAUCGAGAAAAUGAAGAAGGAUGUUUAAGAAUUCUUUAUGCUGCCAUUGGAGGAGAAGAAUGCUUACACAUAGCUACCAAAUAGCAUUGAAGGUUAUCACAAAGAAUGCUUAACAGUUUUCUUAAAUUUUGUCCAAAGUUUAUGAAUUUUUAUUUUUUAUAAUUUUUUUUUACUUAAAUUGAAACUUAUUAAUCAAGGUAAGAUUUCAGCCACAUCGAGAAACAAUUUACGUGAAAAGGGACUGAUAAAAUCUUGAGUUAACAGAUGUAAAAGACAUAAGGCCAAAGACUCUAGAACUCCAACCCACUGAAUCAAGAAUAGAAACACAAAUUUAUCUACCAACCUACACUAAUCUCAUAUCUACAAUGCAACACCAUCGUACUCUUAAGUGACUUGAAAGGAUGUGAAUAUUUCUCACAAGCUUCAUAAUGAAAUUCAAAUUAGCUCUGAGAGUUUUGGGUUAGGCACAAAGAGUAAUAAUGCAUAGCUUUUGUGUGUGAGUUUUUAAGUGAACUUAAGACUCAAUUUAAAGCAUGUAUUUUACUAAAAAUAAAAAAAUAAAUUUAAGAAACUUCAAGAAUUUUGGAAAGAUAAAUUUUAAAAAAAAUUCAAAGAGAGUCAGAAAAUGUUUCCUUUUUAAAUUCUCAAUUUAAUUUAUUUUCAAAUUUAUUAAGAGUUUAAGAAAUAUUUUCUUUUUAAAUUAUCAAUUUAAAACGCUCUUUUAAAUUAUUUUAUUAUUAAUUUUCAUGCAAGUCUACUCUAUACAUUUUACAUCAUUAUUCUCAAUUAACUCAACAAUAUUAGAGUGUAACAUCCCCAAUUGAUUUUGCACCAACCUUAAGUCUUCAAAGACAAUGAUUGAGGCAUUUCUUCUCCUAUUUUCUCCGAUGUAGAAAAAAAAACUUGAAUAAGGUUAAAGUUGGUCUAUAGCAAAAAGUCUUAAUUUGAGUUAGCCUUUUUUUUUUUUUUUUUCCAAAUGAUAUGCAGGUCCAUCUAGCCUUCAACUCAAAUUUUUUAUUCAAAAAUCACAUGUGGAUAUGUGAACAAGUAAAAGUUGAGUUUUACCUAACAUAUCAUUUUGAAAAUUAGGAAAUUUAAAAGGUAUUAGUUUGUUAAACUCACCACCCCUGUCUAUUCUACAAAACAAGAAGAUUAGCAAAGAAAAAGUAUUCAUAUUUGUACUACAAAAUAAAAAGAUUAGCAAAGAGAGAAAUUGUACGCAUGAGUGCAGAGUUUUGGGUUAAAACAACCCUUUUGAUGGGAAAAAUAUUAAAUUUAACCACUUUGUCAAACUAAUGUGUAAAAUGAUCCUUUUAUUAUCACAUAGGAGUCAUAUCACUAAUAUAUAUAUAUAUAUUUAAUUUAAGUUGAAGCCUCAAUUGCCAAUUAAGGCUUCAAUUAUCAAUUACGACUUUAUUUUUUAACCCGAAACCUUACUUGCCAAUUGAGGUUUCAACUAAAAAAAGAAACCUCAAUCGUCAACUAAGACUUAAUUUUUUAAUUGAAGCCUCAAUUAACAAUUGCGGUUUUAUUUUUAAACUGAAAUCUCAAUUGUCAAUUGAGGCUUUAUUUUUGUGAAAGGAUUAUGUGACACUCACGUUACUAGAAAAAAGCCAUACUGAAUAUAAGUUUCAAAAGUGGCUUAAAAGGUAUAAAUUUUAUGAUCAAAGAUGCCAUUUUGACCCAAAUCCCAUGGGUGCAUGAGACUCUAGUUAAUCAUAGAUUUCAUAGAUAAAAAUCAGAGUUAGGAUGAUUCAACCCCUAAGCGUCAAGAAUUCUUUAACAUAAUGUUAGAACAUUUUCCAAUUUAAAUUUGAGAGUUGACUUUAUUUGAAUAUGCUUUUGAUUUUUUUUUUUUUUUAAAUAAGCUUCAGUGUUUUUUUUAAAAAGAAAUAAAAAUAAAUAAAAAUAGGAGCUUCUAUAUAGAAAGUAAAAAUUUUAUCCAACAAAUAUAAGGCUCACCUUAUAUCCUUAUAAAAUAAAAAAUUUUAAAUUUUUUAAUACCUCAAAAUUUUUAAUCAAUAUUUAAAUAUCAUUAUAUUUUCAAUAUGAUCCUUUAAAAGUUAAAAUUACUUAUAUUUUUUAUUUUCAAAAAAAAAAAAAAGAAUGAAUUUUUAUGUUUUUUAAUUAUUAAGAUGGAUGAAAUAAUCCCAAAUUUGCAAAAAUAACUUCUUCCAUGUUUGAAUUUGAAAAAUAACUCAUUUCCAACAUAAAUACUCUUCAAUAUUUGGAUUAUUUUAAUAUAAAUUUUAGAAGAAAGUGUUAUUUUGACUGGAAAACAUGAAAGACAUUUUUGUUAAAAAUUGAUCUUUUUUUAAGGCUAAAAUAUAUAUAGGUUUAUAUUUACAAAUUUGAGACUAUUUCGUCCUCUUAAUCAAAUAACUUAAAAAAGAAAAGAGUUAAUUCCACAAGUGGGUUUAAAAUACUCACAAAAUUGCAAUAUAUAUAUAUAUAUAUAUAUAUAUAUAUAUAUAUAUAUAUGAAAUUACAAAUUUACCCUCGUGUGUUGAGCACAUGACACUUCCAUUCAUUAAAGCUAACAUUGUUAAAUAACAAAUGUACAUUGCAACUAUUUAAGAAGUAUGAAGGGCACAUUGCUUGAUUUUAGUACAUGGUGAGAAACUUGUUGAACAAGUUAUGUGUAAAGUUUUAUGGUUCAUGUAUGAUAGAAAAUACAGAUCUACUACAACACUGGAUUUGCAAUUUUGGUUAGUAUUUAAAGAAAAGACCAUAGGACAAAAAGAAUUAAACUUUUGGUGGAAAACAAUAAAGAAAGGACUACAUGGAAAAAGGGAAGAGAUCAUUAUAAAGGAAGAUUAUUGAAUAGAAAUAAUUCCAAGAACCUAAGGCAAGACAUAGAGUAUCACUACUACUAUCACAAAAAGGGGUAUAUCAUAAAAUUUAUGAAAUUUUGAAAAAGACCUAAAAAACGAAGAAAAAAAAAAAAACAAAUCAAAGAAGCCUACAAGUGUAACUAGUGUUCUUAAAGUUGCGAAAUGUAAAUCAAAAGUAGAUUUGUUAAUAGUUUUUAAAAUGCUUAAAUUAGGAAUUGUCUACUUGUACCAUACAAGCCCUUGUAGAGACUGGUUUGACAUGUAAAUUGUUUGUAAAAUCAUUUUAAUGGGCAAUAAUGCACCAAGUUGCUCCACGAGAAGGGGAGGGGUUUGUGAAACCAUCACUUGUCGUGGCAUACAUCGUCGGGUAAUCACGGAUGAGGGCAUCCACGGGAGGCCAAUGUCUACCCUCGCUCUACACCCCUCUAGUACAAGGCUCUAGGAGGGAGAGAGGCAACAAGUGUGUGACACCAAGGUAAAUAUGCUUGACCUUAUGGCUUUGGGAGCAACUUGCAUUUAAAGACUUGAUGAUUCACAAGAUUCUACAAUUCAUACCAAGUAUUGCAUUUUGCGACGUUCUUCAUCAAUGAGAGAGCCUAGAUAUCCAUUGUCAAGAAUUAUUUAUGUAUGAAAAUAAAGGCGCCUAACCGACAUGCCCAAGAUCAAGGCAACUGGAGUGUGUUGCUUCGCCCAAGUUACUUAGCGCGUUUUGUGCCAAAGUUUGUUGUUCGCUCAAGAGGGCUUUUGUGAAUCUUUGUAAUAAAGGGAUAAUACAGAGUGGGCCGUAAUUUAGCAUCUUACACGCUUAGUUUCUUCCAUUGGUGGCAUAUAUUAUUUUGUCUGUCAUUGGUGAUUAUUUAAUAAAACUAUGAGAGUAUUUCAUGAAAUAUAAAUAAGAGGUUUUUAGGAUAUUUAAUCGAUGGUAAACAAAAGUUGAAAACUAAGUAGGGAGGAAGAUAAAAUAUUUUAGAUUUGAUAGUGGACUUGAGCAUUAGAACAAGAAGUUCACAAAGUAUUGCGAGAAUUCUUAUAUAACUUAACAUCACAUGUAAAGAAAUUACAAAGCAAAAUGGAGUGGUUGAAAAGAUGAAUAGAACACCAUUGGAAUGACUAGGUGGCUAAGAUUAAUCAUUGGGUUACUUAAGAAUUUAAGGGCUAAAGCUAUCAACAUAACUUAUCAUGUAAUUACUUAGUUGUCAAGUUUUACAAUUAUUUUCAAUAUUCCAAAAGAAGUGUCAAGUAAAUCAAUUGACUUUUCAUCUAUUGAAAUAUUUGAUUGUUGCACUUAUCUUCAUAUAUAGGUGAAAAAAAAAUUCAAUCCAAAAUAAAAAAGGUAUAUAUUCCUUGGGUUUGAAAAAAGGAUUGAUUAAAGACUAUAGACUUUGGGAUCCAACAAUUAAAGAAAAAAAAGUGGUGAGUAGAGAUGUAUUCGAUGAAAAACAUAUGUUAAAGAAAGAUCAAGGACAAAUGAAAUUGUUAUUGAAAAAAAAUUCAACUACAUGACCAAUCAUCGAGAUGAAAUUUGAGAAAAAUGUCAUUAAAUAUGAAAUCCCUCCUAAUUGAUGUCCCUAUUAGAACUUUAUAUAGGCAUCUUUCUCUAUUGCUCUAAAGAAUCAUCGUAUUGGGUAAGGACAUCAAUUUUAAGAUUUUAAUUUUUUUUUCAUUAUUUAUUGGAAUAGGAGAUCUUUAAUUUUUUUUGGGGUGCAAUUAGGAAGGAUGAUAGUUAUCAAUGUCUUGGUGCUAUGUCAAAUGAGAAUCCAAUGCACAUGUUGACUAAAGUUGUUCUUAAGGAUAAGUUCAAGCAUUGGUUGAAUGUCAUUAAUUUUUCAUUUUGUAGAACAUGGAAGGUCAAUUUUAUCGAAGAGCCAGGUCAAUCAACUUCUAUUAGGACUUCUAUUGAUUCUUGACCAAUGCACAUGUUGACUAAAGUUGUUCUUAAGGAUAAGUUCAAGCAUUGGUUGAAUGUCAUUAAUUUUUCAUUUUGUAGAACAUGGAAGGUCAAUUUUAUCGAAGAGUCAGGUCAGUCAACUUCUAUUAGGACUUCUAUUGAUUCUUGAUUUGAUUAGAGGGACUCCUAGCAGUAAACUUGUAUGAAGGGGCCCUAUGGAGAUGCAAGAGAUGCAAGAGCUGCCAAUCAGAUCGACCAAUAAAUGAUAGGCCCAUGCAGAGAUGUCCCUGAAAUAGGGGAUUGGUUGAUUGGAAAGCUUAGGCAGUGUAUAAAGGAGAACAAUUUAGCAUAUUGGGAAAAACACAUAUGAAGAUGUUUACAAGUUUGGAAAAUUGAGUUAAAGAAUAGAUGGUCUAAAAAUGUUUCAAAUUUCAAUUUUAUGUUUUUCUAAGUUUGAUAUAUCCUAUUUGGAUAUUUAGGAAGUCUUCUCUUGUUAGAUAAGAUAGUCCUAUGAUGAGAUUUGUUAUGAAAAUAGGUUCUUCCUCGUGUGAAAUAUUCCUAUGAAAUUAAGAAGGAAUAUAGGAAGAGUUUUGAUUGAAAUUAUGAAUCUUUUUUUUAUGUAAUUAGAACUAAAAUAUGAGAGUUUUAUAAUUGUAAUUACACCUUUGAAUAUAAAUAAUUGAUAAUAGUGAAUUAGUUUACCUUCUCCCUCUAAAUGUAGGUAAAUGCUAAAUUAUGUUAAAUCUUGUAUUCUCAUAUGAUUUUUUUUUCAUUUAUUUUUCAUUUUCUUGCCCAUUUCUAACUUGCUACUACAUAAUAACAGGUGGUAUCAGGCUUUUUGUGUUUGCACAACAAAUGGUCUCAGUAUUUCCAGCACCACAAAAAUGAUAUUUUACUUAAUUGCUCCUCAGUGGAAAAGUUGGAAAGAAAAAUUAAAUCAUCGACUAUACCUUUUUUUUUUUUUUUUCAAAACUUUUCUCGUCUUUGUGCAAGAAAAUUAGUAUAUUUUCUCUUUAGUAUUUGUUUCUCUUUUAUAUAUAUUCAAAUGAAACCUUAAUCAUCUUUUAUAUGAAGUAUAAAAGAAUUAGAAAAUAUUCAAAUUUUAAAUGAUUUUUAUUAUACUUUGUCCACUUCCUAUUUCAUAUAUCAAAUUACAAUAGAAUUUAAAAUUCUUUUAUACGUUUUUCCCCCCUUUGCUACCACAUAAAUGCAAAGACAGUAUGUGAGUUAAAUACCUUAAAAGAAAAAGAAAUUAAAAUGUGAUAGAAAACAAAUGUAACCUCUUGAAAUUCAAGGAAACAAAACACUAAACUUUUUCAUGUAUUUUAUUCCAUUUAUAAAUGCAACAUGACAAAAAUAGACAAAAAUAUAAAUGGAAGCCCUUUGGGUCCUUCAUUUUAUAUUUUAUCAACUUCGACCAAUUCUAUUUCUAUAGCACAACCGAUACUAUAAAGUUCAAUGAGUAUAUAAUAUAUAAAGAUACUAAUCAAUACGAAUUAUUCUUUCUUUCAAAUGGCUACUUGUAUUAAAAAUUAAAUGUAAUUCCUCCUAAACAAUAAAAUAUGUUGACACGAUUUCAAUGAAUAUACAGUACAUAAAGAUAUGACCAAUUAGUACGAAUUAUUCUUUCUUUUAAAUAGCUACUUAUACUAAAAUAUAAGUAAAUAUAAUUCCUCCUAGAUAACAAAAUAUGUUGACACAAGGAGGAAUAUAUUUACUAAUUAUAUCAUUUGCAAUAGCCUCAAUCUCGCGACGUUCUUCGAACCAACCAUAGACUUUAUUGAGAUAGGUUAACCAAGGGAGCUUCCACUCUCAUAACUCGUAUAUGAAAAUUUCAUCUUGUACAACUCAAAUAGAAACCCAUAAAUACCAGUUGAAACCAAAAUGUAAUAAAUAAAUAAAAACAUAUUUCAAUGGAUCCAAUUAGUAUUUUUCCGAUCUAGGAUAAACAAACAAAUUUUUCUUCAUUUUGCUUUUUUUUUGUAUUAAUCUUUGUAAGUAAAUUAUAUUUUAAUUUAACAAAGCACUAAACUUUACUUUAAUUUUCAUGCAGGAUCAACUAGCUUAUCAUAAUAAAAUUUAUCAAUAUAGUUGAGCAGAGAUUUGAUGUAAUAAUACCAUACAAAAUUCAAGUAAAAUUAAAUUAAUCAAAUAGGACACUACGGUUAUAUUUGGAUACAUAUUCUAUUUUUUAUUUUUAAAAUUAAAAUUUUGAUAUAAAAUAUGACAACCCUUUGUAUAAAAAAUAAAAAUUUAUCCUAUAAUCUUAAAACUACUUUUCAAUAUUAAAAAAAAAAUGAGGAUGUGUCCUAAAAUUUUAAACAAAUUUAAAAAUAUUUUUAAAUACCAAGAUAUCCACUUUUUUCUUUUUUAAUAAAAAUUCCUAUAUUUGAUAUAAAACUCUAUUUUAAAAAAUGAAAAAUAAAAAAUGUAUCCAAACAUAAGCAAAAUUGUUAGAUUUCAUUGUGAGAUUUCUUAGAUUCUACAAUUCAUAGUGAAAUGAAGACGAGAUAUAACUGACUGAACUAUGAAAAAAAAAAAAUUAACAUUGAUGAGAUUCAAAAAUGCUAGUUAAUGAAAGAGUUUCUCCGCCAGGAUGACUAAGAAAAAUGCUGAAAAAUGUGUCAUGCCCAAAGCAAUGUUACAAUGAAGAAUAGAAUGAGAGCUAACCCGAAACAAAAUCCGACAAUCGCCAUGAAAGCCUGGAUGCAGAGGAAAUGUAACUAGAGACAUGUAAGGAAUCAUUAAACAAGUGAGAACAAUAUCAAAAUCUCAUGUACGACUUACCUUUCCCUGAGAUUCAAACUUGAAUUUUACUGUAAACCAUGACAAUCCUCUAUCUACAAUAGGAGCAAGUGCAAGGGCCCUGCAUGAGAAGCACCUCUACAAAAAUCACAGAAAACCCAAAGGAAAAAAAAAAAAAUAGGGUUGAAUAUGCUAUAGUUGAAUAACAGCCACAAUGCUGGGAAGGUCAAUAACAAAAGCAUUGACUUGAAUGUUAGCAGUGUCAUUUACACUGGCCAUAAGAACCAGAGGUAAUGCGUACAGUUGGUAAGUGGGGAGGAGGGGAUGAGAAAUUGCAAAGUCUUGAAUUUAAUUGUUUCAUGCAAUUCCGUUUUCCAAUACUCUAUAUGAUAAUAUACAUUGUACGGAACAAAAAUAGGGUUGUUUUAAAAUUUUGAACAAAUAAAAAUUUCAUAUCAAUAUCUAAUAUUUAAUAAAAAAGAAUGAAACAAGAGUAAGUACAUUCUCUUCUCCUUAACAUGGUAUUAAAGCAGUCUCCAAACUCUUAACUCCUAGUUGCAAACUUGAUUUCCACUGGAAGUUGCAGUUUGCUUAUUUUGUUAUUCAAGUAAGUUACUUCAAUCUAUCAUAGUUUAAAUGACUUGGGAUGGUAGUUGUCAUGGGCACGAAUUUUCCCACAAAUUUUUUGCAUCCACGCAGCGCUUAGAAGCCCUCUGAGCCAACAUACUCAAACCCACAUGAGAUUGCAAUCAAGAAAAAACUCACAAAGACACACAAGGCUAUGGAGCUCAAUCCCUAACUUGUAUUUUAUUUCUUCUCUAAAUAACAAUACAAGACAUAGCUCAACAAGACUUCCACAAUCUCUUUGGUGAGUUCAUGCUCUCUCUCAAGCUAUGUUUUAAGAAAGUUCUCCCUCUCAAUAUACCUCUGUAUAUUCUCUAUGAUCUCCAGAUUGCACGAUAAUUCAAAGGGCACUCCAGUCCUCCUUUUAUAGGUGUGACACCAACCACUCCCUAUUCGAUAAGGAGCAAUACAUCUUCCUUAAGCUUGUCCCAAUGCCAAGACAUCUUUGUUGUGUUCUGCCUGAAGUCUACCCACUCUUGUGCCUUGAGUCAGUUCAUUCAUGCAUUUGAAUCAGCUGAUGCAUCCGAUCAGCUUGCUAUAGAGUCUCUAGGCAGCCUACUACAUGUGUCUCUAUGCAACUAGUGUGCAUGCCAAGCCCUCUCUUAGCCUACAGAUCUAGCAAUUUUCCUUGGUGCCAAUCUUUUCUUUGGUUCUAGCUCCUUGUUGUUCCUUGAGCGUGUCAGUCAUGCUCAUAUGUGUUCCCGCAUCUGGAUCACGUCCAUGCCGAGGCAACCUGCCCAUGUUUGCUCUGCCUAGUUGUUGCUAUAGCAUCAUGCCAUGCCCAAGCCCUCUUCUUGGUGCAGCAACGAGUCAUGGCAUUGCACCCAUGACUCCUCAUCUCUACGCACAAGGCAUUGUGCCUUUGUGCUAAGCAUUAGGCAUCACAUCUGAGUCGGCUUCCCUUAUCUCUAUGCACAAGCCUCAAGGCAUUGUGCCCUUGUGCCAAGCCACCUUAUUGCACAAGGCAUUUCCCCCUCAUGCUACCGUUGGGAAGGGAAGACUGCAUAGCACCCCAAGUCGUUGCAACCAUGAGUUGCACACCAUCACAUGUCAUGGAGCCCAUGUAUGGCUGCUAGCAAGGCGUUGCCCAUGUGCCUUGCUCAUGUCUGAGGACUUGCACUGAAGCCCCUAAGUGUGGCCAUGCCCAUGCCACCUCGUCUCCCUUGAGUCACCCCCACCCUCGCCCCCCUUAAAAGAGCAUUUUAAGCCCUUUUAAUUAAUUCAGGAAAAUCUAGAAAAUUCCCUUCCACUUGGAGUCUCCCUUUUGAAGGUUCCUAUAAAUCUUUUAUCUCUAAGCAAAUUAACCAAGUCACUUAAUUGUUUUGCAACAUUCCUUCCCUUCCCAUAGUGUAUUUCAAGAUCUCUUAAUGAACAAGACAAUUGGUGGAGGGCAUGAAGUAAAUGGAAUUUAUCACCAUAUCGGCCCACCUCUUACUCCAAUUGCUCUACAUACUUCCAUUUCUUCUAUGUAGUGGCACACCUUUCACUUCGCAUCUUUAGCAUAUGGGACUUCUAGUUAUAUUGGACUCCAAGUUAAAGCACCAAGUUUGCGAGUCAAGAAAAUAGCUUCAUCAUAGUGUUGUUCUAGUCCUUUUUGUGCUAUAAUCAAUAAGAGGAGUACUAGUCCUUUUCAUCUUGUUCAUUUAGACAUUUACAGUUUAUGUUGUGUUGUUCCUAAUGUUGAACUAAACUUUCUUAUUGCUAUUUUAUUAAUUAGAUCAAUGAAAAUGGUAUGAGCAUAAAGAGGCUGAAUAAUAGGUACUAAUCUCUUAAAAAAAAAAUUUUAAAAAUAAUCUUAUAGAAACAUCAUCAGGUGACUAUGCACAAGUAAAUGGUCUGACAAGGCGUGAGAAAAACAUUCAUUUUUGUGCAAGAACCAAGUAUUUGCAUCUUAAUCAACCAAAGAAUAAAUGGCUGAAGACAAUAAAUGACUGAACAAAAAGAAAAUCAUAAGUUUUAGGCCAGACACUUUUUUCAUCAAUUAUAUACAACAACAAUAAAUCAAAUAGUCCUAAAUUUCAAGAGAAUAAUGCUCAGCAGCUAUGCAUACUCACAAGUCACAAAUACCUCAUCCUUAACUAAUUUACAUGAAUGAAUUAUUUACUUACCAUACCAAGAGAAACGUUGUAAGAUAGUAUGCAGUAUUCAGGAGUCCAUAGGAUAAUAUUCCAGAAAUUCCAUAUCUCUUCAGUUUCUUUAGAAGACUGAAAGGUUAAGCAAGAGUGAGCUCUCAAUGUAAGUAGACAUGCAUUUAUGCAUACAAAGGGCAAAAGGAUUGAGGUAUCACUUCUUACAGAUUGUUUGCAUGAAAUUCAGUAGUAGAAGAGAAAUUAAUAUGAUUGGGACAAGAUCACUCAUCCAAACAAUAGUUUAUUUACUGAGAAAAGGUCUACAGCAUACUCAUGCAGUAGACAAAAUGAAUCUUUUGUGUCAUGUUCCAAUAAUGUUAACAAACUACAUUAAAUUCAUAAGGUUACAUAGAAAAAGAAAGAAAAGACAUUGUUGCAAUAGUUUGUCUGUUACACUGCUAGCACCCAGACUACGACCAAAUCCUUGCAUUCAAAUUGAAUUUCAAACUCCCAAUGUGAAAAAGGAAGAUACAAAAAAGAAAAGAAAAAAAAGAAGAAAAAAAAAAGUGGGAAAGAAAAGAGACAUGGGAUUUCUAUGUAUAAUAAAUACAUAUUAUAUGUAUAGAUAAAUGCAUGUAUGUGCAUAUGUGAUAGAGGCUGGUCAGACACAUUUCAAGAAGUUUCACAACUUGCUUUGGAAUGACAAACACCUGGAUCAAUAAAUGGCUUGUCUCCAUUAUUGAGAAAUUGCAGAUAAAUUUCAUCCACUACGGGCAUGGGGUGGCUGGACAAAGUUAUGCCAUUUGGUGGGAUGUAGUGGACUUAAGACAGAAAAUUCUCAAUCAUUCUUCUGUCCCUUGUGCAGUGUUGAAGCUGACAAUAUUAUUGAGCAUACAAGGAAUGUGAUGUAAAACAUCAUUGAGGAGCCAUGAGCUGCGAAUGCAUGGAGAAAUUAAGUUAUGAUUAAGUUUUGGUGAGGGAUUUUCAGAUGCAGAUCAUAUGGCAAAUUAUCAACUUCAGAGAAUUGCACGUUUUUAUUCAUUUCCAUACACAUUGAAUAAUCAUAUUUAAAAUCUCUCAUUCACUUGUUUCGCUUCCAUUAGUGCUCCUUCCACAUGCCUAUUAGCAGCACAGACCUCAUGAUAGUUUGGUAAAGGUAAGACAAUAAAAUUGAAAAAUACAGCUAAAGCCUAAAAUAUUGGCUAAUAAAGAGAGAAACCAUCCAAGUUCUAUCUUAAAUGACUCUACAAGUUCUAAACAGGGAGACAAGGACUUCAACCUGGUCCAUCAAUGCAUAUAAAUGGGUAAACAUUCCAACAGCCAUUACGUUAGAAGUACACUAAAAGAAAAUUAUUAAACAAUGUUGUUUCCAAAAAAAUUCCAUGUUAAAGAAUAGAAGAACAUACUGCUAUAAAUGAAAUUCAUUCAAAAUCAGUUCAAACAGUAAAGUUAAGAAUUGUGACUGCAAUUUUUUUCUAAGAAAGAAACAACAAUUGUGACUGCAUAUCACCCACACUUGUUUUAUUUACAAUCCACACAAUGUAUUCUUCCCUAGCAUGUUAUCCCAUUAAGUAGCCUCCAGAUAAAAUUCCCUUUCCAACUCUGUCAAUCAGUCAAAAAAUUUCAUGUAAAAUGUAAAAUACAUGGGUACACAAAAACAACUAUAUAAACUGCCAUCCCAUCAUUAAUAAAUCAGUUGUCUAUAACAUAGACUAAUAGCAUUGUAAGGCAAGUAGGAAGUACUCUUUUGAUGUGUGCAGUUCUCCUUCACCAUUUUCGCCCUUUGCACUUGAGUCUAUAAAAAUAUGUAUAAGUAGAUUUUUAGAAAUAUCAAGUUUAUCAAAUGUAAAAUAUGGUAUCACAAAAAGCUACACCAUUUUUCCAGUUAUCAUUUGAAAGAUAUUGAUACCUUCAUGGUUGGCAGAGUAGUCAUGACCAUUUGACAUGCCAGAAGCCUAACCUACAACAAAGGCAAUGUUGAAAAAGCAAUAUUCAAAAUUCAAUGAAAAAAAUAGAAGACAAACAAAUGAACAAAUAGCAUAUCAUCACACUCAAUUGUUUUCCACAUAUGAUAAACUAAAUGAAAGAAACAAGGAAUAUAUUGAGAAAAAACCCUAUGAUCAAUGGAUAUGCAGUCGCAUUCCAGCACAGAUAUAGGAUCAAACAAGUAACUAAUCUAGACAUAGCUGCAGCAAAUUUGUGUAUCUCUGAAUGUGUGUCUGCUUUUUGUGGGGGUAUUUAUUAUGACAUGUUCUUGGUGCAGACAAACCAUCUGCAUUUACUUGAGGAUUAGGUAAAAAACAUACUUUUCAUUUAAAAUGAGGCCUUGAACAUCAAGCCACGGUGAGUUUUCAAAUAAGGAAAACGUAAUAGCUUUACAAUGAGUCCCAUAGCAAGAAGGCAUAUAAUUCCAUUCAUCAGCAUACCAGAAUAUAGAAUAGUGUGGACAUGUGGACACAUGCCAGAAUUAGCAUUGGACACACUAACAUGCCAGUCAUACAUAGAAAGAAUUUCCAAAGAUAUUAAAGUAAAACACUGGUAGUAAGCAAAUUAUACCCAGAAAAACAUGCAAGUAUAGGCCAAGAUCAAAUCUUAAUUUUAAUUUCUAGAAAAAAAAAAAUUUAUAUCAACCAAUAGAAAUGGUAUCACCAGCAAUUAACACCAAAACACACCAACAUAUCGGAAUGCAUAACACGUGUACCCAUCUCCAAUCAGCACUACACCUAUACAAGUUAGCCUGUAGCAGGUCAUAAUAGGUUCAGACUAUAAAACCUUCCAAAUCUUCCUUUGCAAGGCUUAGAAACCAUUUUCUAAGUAAUUUACAAUUUUAAAAGCCUGUGACAAGAUUUUGGAUGAAGAGCUUGAAUUAUAUACUCACAAACCCACUCCAAAAUUUCCUUAAGGUAAUACACAUUUUUUGAAGUCCUUUCCAAUGUCUUCUCUUAUUUGAGUUAGAAAAGCCAAUUUUUUUAUGAAUUGAUUACUACGUCUAUUGAGGUUUGAGGUGUAUAACUAAUUUCUUAAUAUAUCAUAAUUUACAUCAGUUAUUAGAAAUUAAGGUUCAAUCCUUUUACACUAAGAAAAUCCUGAGCAAUUAAAAAAUACCUUCUUUAAUAUUAUUAAAUUUAAGUUUCCUUCAGGUCUUUGAGUCAAAUAGAAAUUAGUGUAAAAGGAAUUUUAAUUUUCUUACACUAAGAAAAUUAAAAAAUAGGCAAAAUAAUUUUCAAAUUUUGGAACUUUAUAGGUAAUGCUUAUUAAAAUAAAGCAACAAAGUUUGUCAUUUGCCAUUGAAUGAACCAAUUGUAGAAAACUAUGCAAAAAAUUUUAUUAGUAUGGAUUUUUUUUUUCUACCGAUAAAUAGAAUUCAAUUUCAAACCUGCCCCUCCCAACCCACCACUUGCUGCUUGAGGCAAGCUUAGAGGCAGAAAACUAUUUACAAUUCUACGUAUGGAUAAAAAUUAUUCUUAGAUUUUAUGCCAAAUUCCAUAUUUAUAGGUAUCAAUUUAUUAUUCUACUGUUGUCAAAAGCUUCAAUUUUAGGCGUCCUCAUGGUUAUGCCACCCUUAAAUGAGAACAACUUUGGUCUUCUGUUUUUCUUUUUGAGCUCUUCAAAUUUUUGCAAGGUAUUUUUAUAAUCUUAUUAAGCUCAAUGGGAGAGAGAGAGAGAGAGAGGGCGAGAGAGAGAGAGAGGGCGUGAGGGAGUGUGAGAGCGCGUGCGACGGCGACGACGAUGAGUCCGGCGAGGCGAGUCGAAAGCGAAGCUUCACGGUGGAAUCCAAGACUUUCGAGCUUGCCUUGGAUGAUAGGAAAGGGAAACGCCAGAUUCGCAUUGUGGAGAAGAAGCGGGGGGUCUCGACAUGGGUUCGAUUAGGGCUGGAAAGCUUAGGGCUCUUCAAGGAGGGACUAAUCCAUUGUAUACGAGACGAAAAAGAAGGGAGAUGGGAAAAGGAGUGGAAAGAAAGAGGCAAGCUGUAUACAUUGGCUCGGGGUUUCAACAGAGCGGGUGGUUUUUUAAGGUUGGGGGUUGUGGAUCUGGAACGAAAAAGGUUUUGUAUCUUCUUACCGAGAGGUAGGAGGAACAAAAGAGGAUGGACGACUAUGGCGGAGAUGGUACAUCAAAUGGAAGAACUGGCUAGUGGAAGAACAAACUUGCAGGAGGUAAGGACCGUCGGAAAAGCUACUCCGGCGAAAUCAUACGCAGAAGCAGUCAUGAGAACAAAUUGGAAUGGCUUAAACGCAAUCAAGAUGAAGGUCACUAGGGAGGAGAUUGCUGGAAAUUUACAGAAGCUGGAGCACUGCCUCGUCGCGAGCUGGAAGUCCAACGAAAAGGAAGAAGAAGACUUGGAGAGAUUGGGAAGUCAUUGGGCGAAUUCUUGGGGUCUUAAAGGCAAGCUAGGGCUGGCCAAGUUGGAACAAGGUAGGGCACUGUUGGAGUUUGAAGAUCUAAGAGAGGCACACCGUGUGGUCUCCUCGGGGAGCAGAGUGAUGGGAGGAGCUCACUUAGGGUUGGAUCUAUGGAAUCCAAAGACGGGAUGUCGGGUAGAGGAGGAGAUGGAACAGGAAGCUUGGGUUAAAAUCUUCGGCCUUCCAAUUUCGCUAUGGAGCCCGGGGAUUCUGAAGAAAAUAGGGGAGGAAUGUGGGGGCUUUGUAGAUAUUGACGAGCGGACAAGGUCGAUGGGGGAGAUUCAAUGGGCUAGGAUACUGGUCAAAAUAAGAGGUGAUUUUAGACCAAGUAUGUUAGAAAUUGAGGUAGAGGAGGAGGUAUACACUGUGACACUGUGGUGGGAGAUUAGGCCGGUGGUGAGACGGAUCUUCUCUGCGACGGAAAACAGGAGGAGAAAGGAGGUCAGGGGUGACUCGUAUUCACGCGCGGAGAAGCGCGUGGGGAAGGAGCUGGUAGACGCGGGAAUCGAGGAACUGCACCUGCCAGAUGUUGGGAGUGAUCUGCAGGAGAAUAGGCCGGGUCUAGUGCCCGGGAACCAGAUCCAUGGCCCGGUGACCCGGGAUUGGGCCUAUCCAGAUGGAAGAGUGGCUGGGUCAACCGCAUGUGGCCCAAAUAUGGAUCUUAAUGAGUUGGAGAAGGAUGGUGGGCAGACUAAAAUAGACGGGCCUUUGGGCCGAAAGUUAAAAAAUAAGUCAAAGGUGGCUAGUGAUUCAGAGGCAGGCCCAUCGUCUAGUAGUUGGGCUGCUGAACUGGGCUGCCAUCCUUUAGUUGAGGUGGAAGGCCUGGAAAGGGAGGGCCCAACUGUUCCCCUAGAGAAGGCUGGUUUUUUGGGCCGUUUUAGCUCCAGAAAAGGACCCAUUUCAGAGGAUCCUUUGACGAGCUGGGUGCCAGAGGAGUUUAGAAGGGAACAGAGGGAUGAUGGCUUUUCAAUGACUGAUCGAGCGCUGUAAGAGGAAGCUAAAAGGUAUGUCCUGAUUUCCCAUCCUAAAGGAAAAUGGGUUAUGGGGACACCUCUUCUUCUCUCUUCUAAUUCUGAUCGGGCUCCGGAGGGGGAGUCUUUUGAUCGCCCAGGGGGAAUUGAGGAGGAAUUAAGGGGGGACAUGUCAACAUGGUUAACAGUCUAUGAGGGGAACGUUGAGAAUGAAAAUGGAUCUUGGAAGCUGGGAGAGGACAACAAAAGCAGAGACAAGGUUAAGGGCAAGGAGGAGAACACUGGGGUCUCUGGUUCUCAAGAUACCGAAAAUGAGAAAGAGGAUCUAUGAGAGGACUGUAGUCUUGCAAAAUUUAGCCAAUUCUUGGGAUUCUCUAUGAAGGGGCUGGAAAAGGAGAUAUUGAAUUUUCUGAUUAAAAUCAAAAAGAGGCGGGAAAAGAUUCACAGCAAAGAACUUUUGGAGAAGUCCAAGUUUGAAAGGGAACUAAAGAGGCUGGAAUGCUCUAUCAAUUACGAGGGGGGGAAUAAGCAGAAAGGUCCUUCACAGGGCAAAAGGAAUCAGUUGAUAGUUGCCCAAUGAAGCUGAAGAUUAUAACCUGGAAUGUGAGGGGAGCUAAUGACAGCUCUAAGAGGAAAAUUAUUAAGAGCUAUAUAAGGAACCAGAGGGUGGACCUAAUGUGUAUUCAGGAAACCAAGAUUCAGGAGAUGUCGGAGGGUAUUGUGAGAAGUCUGGGUUCGGGGAGAUUCUUAGAUUGGAGAGCCUUAAAUGUGGAGGGGGCUGCGGGUGGCAUUUUGAUAUGCUGGGACAAGCGGGUUCUGGAUAUUUUGGAUUGGGAGGAGGGUCAGUUCUCUUUGUCUUGUAGAUUCAAGACCACAGUAAAUGGGGCUACUUGGGUUUUUACGGGAGUGUAUGGUCCUUUUACCAAAGUGGAAAGGGAGGGUAUGUGGGAAGAACUUGGGGCAAUAAGAGGCCUUUGGGAUGAUCCCUGGUGUCUCGAUGGGGAUUUUAAUAUCACUCUGUUUCAACAAGAAAGGAGCAGCCAAAGAAGAAUCAGCUCAGCCAUGCGGAGAUUUGCAGAGACUGUGGAUGAUCUAGAGCUGGUGGACCUGCCCCUUCAGGGGGGAGAGUUCACAUGGAAUGGGGGGCUUAAUAAUCAGGCGUGGGUGAGACUAGACAGAUUUUUAGUUUCCCCUAGCUGGUUAGAUCAGUUUAGUGGAUUCACUCAGGGCAGGUUGUCUCGGCCAAUUUCUGAUCAUUUUCCAAUCGUGUUAGAGGGGGGUGGAAUAAGAGAGGCCCAACCCCGUUUAGAUUCGAAAAUAUGUGGCUUAACGUUGANGNUUUAAUGACAUUGUUAGAACCUGGUGGNNNNNNNNNNNNNNNNNNNNNNNNNNNNNNNNNNNNNNNNNNNNNNNNNNNNNNNNNNNNNNNNNNNNNNNNNNNNNNNNNNNNNNNNNNNNNNNNNNNNAGGAAGCUGAAUUAAAAAAGGAAGCUAAAGACUCCUUUAAGAAAUGGGUCCUGUUGGAGGAAGCCCAUUGGAGACAGCACUCAAGGGAGAUUUGGUUAAGGGAGGGGGAUAGAAACAUGGGGUUCUUCCAUAGAAUGGCAAGUGCUCAUCGAAGAAACAACGCUAUGGACAGAAUUAAGGUUAAUGGGGAGUGGCUAGUAGAGGAGCAGGAGGUGAGAGAAGGAGUUGAGAAUUCGUUUCAGCAGUUGCUUUCUGAAGAUAUGGGUUGGCAGGCGGAUAUUGGUAGAAUUCAGGUGGGUUGCAUCAUUCAGCAAGAAGCAGAGAGUCUGGAAAUCCCAUUUGCAGAGAUUGAGAUUCACUCGGCGCUGAUGGAGAUGAAUGGGGAUAAAGCCCUUGGCCCGGAUGGUUUUACUGUAGCCUUUUGGCAAAAUGCAUGGGAUUUUACCAAAGAGGAGAUCAUGGAGAUGUUUAAAGAAUUUCAUGAGCAUAAUUCCUUUAUUAGGAGCCUUAACAAUACUUUCUUGGUGUUGAUACCUAAGAAAAGCGGGGCUGAGGAUCUUGGAGACUUUAGACCUAUCAGCCUGUUGGGGGGGGGGCUCUAUAAACUUUUGGCUAAAAUCUUAGCUAAUAGGCUCAAAAAAGUGAUUGGUAAGGUGGUCUCUAUUGCUCAGAAUGCCUUUGUAAUGGGAAGACAAAUUCUGGAUGCGUCUUUAAUUGCUAAUGAGGUGAUAGAUUCGUGGCAGAAGAGAAAAGAAAAGGGUCUUAUUUGCAAAUUGGAUAUAGAAAAAGCUUAUAACAGCAUUAAUUGGAAUUUCUUAAUGAAGGUCCUUCAAAAAAUGGGCUUUGGGACCAAGUGGGUGGGAUGGAUGUGGAGUUGCGUGUCUUCUGCUAAAUUCUCUAUUCUUGUUAAUGGAGUGCCAGUUGGGUUUUUCCCUAGCACUAGAGGGCUUCGUCAAGGGGAUCCUCUAUCCCCUUACCUCUUUGUUAUGGGAAUGGAGGUUCUGGACAUCCUUAUCAGGAGAGCGGUGAAGGGGGGAUAUCUUUCAGGAUGCAACAUUCGGGGUGGUAGUAGAACUUCCUUGAAUAUCUCCCACCUAUUUUUUGCUGAUGACACAAUUGUGUUUUGUGAGGCGAGCAAAGAGCAAGUUUCUCACCUAAGCUGGAUUCUUUUUUGGUUUGAAGCGGCUUCGGGUCUUCGAAUUAAUCUAGCCAAAAGCGAAAUCAUUCCAGUUGGAGAAGUGGAGGAGAUUCUUGAGAUGGCAGUUGAGUUAGGGUGCAGGGUGGGGUCUCUGCCCUCUCAUUAUUUGGGUCUCCCCUUAGGGGUCCCCAAUAGGGCUACUUCUAUGUGGGAUGGAGUGGAAGAGAGGGUCAGAAGGAGACUUGCGCUUUGGAAAAGACAGUACAUUUCCAAAGGGGGGAGGAUCACUCUCAUAAAAAGCAUCUUGGCUAGCAUGUCAAUUUACCAAAUGUCUAUUUUCCGAAUGCCCAAGUCUGUUGCUAAAAGAGUGGAGAAAUCCCAAAGAGAUUUCCUAUGGGGGGGAGGAAACUUAGAGGGAAAAGUUCACUUAGUUAAAUGGGAUGCGGUCUGUACAGAAAAACACAAGGGAGGGCUAGGAUUAAGGAGAAUAGUCACUCUGAAUAGAGCCUUGCUGGGCAAGUGGAUUUGGAGGUUUGCUUGUGAAAAGGAUAACCUUUGGAAACAAGUGAUCACUAUGAAAUAUGGGCAAGAGGAUUAUGGUUGGAGGUCAAAGAAGGCUAGUGGGGCGGCCGGAGUAGGGGUCUGGAAGGAGAUUAUGAAAGAAUCUGUUUGGUGCUGGGAAAAUUUGGCUUUUAUAGUUGGGAAGGGUUCCAAAAUCAAAUUUUGGAAAGAUAGUUGGUGCACUGACACUCCGUUGUCCCAAUGCUUCAAUCAUCUCUUUGUCCUUGCCGUGCAUAGGGAUGCUACGAUUGAGGAGAUGUGGGAUCAGGACUCGGGCCAAGGAGAUUGGAAUUUUGUUUUUGUGAGGGACUUCAAUGAUUGGGAGUUGGAUAUGGUUGGGGAGCUGCUUCAUACUUUGAGGGGUCAUAGGCCCUCCCUGGAGGAUGAUUCAGUUAUGUGGAGGCAUGGAAGAAAUGGUCUAUUCAGGGUCAAAGAAGCUUACAAGCUGUUAGACAAGCCUAAUGUCACAGUAUUUCCCGCAAGGAGAAUAUGGGUGGAUAGGGUGCCAACUAAAGUCUGCUUUUUUGCUUGGGAGGCUACGUGGGGGAAGGUGCUCACUCUGGACAGACUCCAGAUAAGAGGGGUGCAACUCCCAAAUUGUUGCUUUUUGUGUGGUUGUGAAGAAGAGAAUGUAAAUCAUAUUCUUUUACACUGUAUAGUGACUAGAGCCCUAUGAGAUAUUAUUUUUGGGUUGAUAGAUGUUAAGUGGGUCCUCCCAGAAACUGUAAAUGAGACUUUAAUCUCUUGGAGGGGCUCAUUUGUAGGGAAGAAAAGGAAAAAGAUUUGGAAAUCCAUUCCGUUAUGUAUUUUUUGGACGGUUUGGAAGGAGAGGAAUAGGUUAGCCUUUAAGGGGGGUGCGUUGAAUAUUCAGAAAUUAAAGAAUUCUUUUGUCUGUAACUUGUGGAAUUGGGACAAAGUGUAUUUAGGUGAGGAGUCUUUCUCCCUUAUAGGUUUUUUGGAGUGGAUAGCUUCCACUUAAGGGGAGGUAGUUCUUUUUGUUCCUUUUUCUCUUUUUGAGGCAGUAGCCGUCUUGUAUACUCCCUGUAUGCUUUGUGGCGUUUAGCCUUUUCUAAUGCAUAUCUUGUUUACUUAUCAAAAAAAAAAAAAAUUUGCAAGGUACUUCUAUCCAGGUUCUAGGAAACACCCACUUUUUUAAAUCUCCAAUAAUUUAGUGUUCUGUGGCUGAGGGAAUAGACUUAUUUUUGGUUGAAACACAUAAAAUUCUUGGAUAUGUAUAUAUAUAUUUUUUGGCAUCAGGUCCUUUUAGGUUGAUUUUUCUACUUAUUUUUCACCCACCAAUUAACAUUGCCCUAACUCUAUUAUCUAACCGAGCAAAUGUUUAUGAACUAGCAAAUCAUACUAAAAUUUCUUACUAGUUGACAUGUGCAUCAUCUCAGCAUGUCAUUCCAACACCAAACUACAACCAUAAUCCCACUAACAUCCUAACUGCCUCAAUGAGUAUGGAUUACAGAAAUGCAAUUAAAAUAUACUUCCCUAUUUAAUUUCAUAAUUUUUAUAAUAAUAUUUCAGCAAUAUUUCCACAUAGUAGCUUAUGUGAGAAAUCCCCAUUUCUGUUUAAAAUCGAAAAACCCUAUAGCUUGCGCAAGUAAAUAGGAAAAAAAAAAAACAGAGGUUUUGCAGAAUUGGGAGAGCAGACUCACACCAGCAUGGCCAUUGAUUGAGCAGAAACGUAGAUGACGAUGAUGGUGGUGGAAUUGGGAGAAAUUGUUGAGUUUGGGAACCCUAGGAAAGCUGGGAUUGAAAGAAGAGGAUUGUGAGAGAGAAUUGGAAAUUUAAGAAACAAACACAAAAAAUAAAUCCAAGAAAUAAAUAAGAAGCGUAAAAAUGAAAUAGAGAAGAGUGUGUAUGACGCACCUGAUGAUGUGAAAGCAGCUUCAGCUGGUGAAGGCAAACUUUCGACGGGAGAGACAUCAGGAUACUGGCCUCUGACAACAAUCGCUCCAAAAUAUUCUUUCUAUACCAUUUAUUAUUAUUAUUAUUAUUAUUAUUAUUAUUUUAUUAUUAUUUUCAGGUUAUUGAAGUGUAAUGUCCACCGUACACCCUUACAUGAUGAAGCCUUUAGAACUCUCCAUGGAGCCUAAAUCUCACAUUGCUAAUCACCCUAUAAUAACCAGCAUAUAGUAAAUUCAAAGUAUCAUUAAUGAUAGAUUUCAAACUUAGGACCAUAUAUCAUUUAUUGAGACCACACUUCUUAAUGUUCAUCCUUAACGACACACUCAUAUAUAUCAAAUUACCCAAUGACCUACUUUUCCUAUUUUCUCAUUUUUAGAAAUAAAAAGAAAAAAUAAUAAUUUCUAUUUUUAAUUUUUUAAUUUUUUUUAUAAGUAAAUUUUUGUUCUCAUUAGGACCUGUGGAACCUCCCACAAGUCCUCCCGAAUCCUUUACCACUUGAGUCAUGCCUUAAUGGCUUGUUUUUUUAAAAAAAUUAAUAACAACUUUUAUAUAUAAAAAAAAUACUUAUAAAACAUACUUAUAAAAAAUAUACAUGUCAUUAAAAGUUUAAAGAAAUUUAAAUUUGAUAAUAAUUUUUUAAAUAAUUUAAUGUGUUAAUUGUUCUUAAAAACUUUAAAUAACCUAGAAAAGAAUAAUAUGGUUAUAAAUUGACCAAAUUGUUAUAUGGUUUUAAAUAGUCACCUUAACAAUGUUACAAGUGAGUUAAUUAAUUUAUGGUAGAGAAGAAUUACAAUAGAAUUCAAUUAGUUAUCGUAUUUGAAGUCUUUGAUUAUUUGUUGAAUAAUAUUUGCAGCCAGUUAGCUAGGGUUGGCUAACCCAAGCCAAACCUACUUACUAAUAUGUCCAACCUAUGCUAAACUCGAUUCAAAGUUAGAUUGGUAGUUACUAAACUCAUUGACAACUAAAGUUUCUAUGGAUUCCCACAAGUUUUCAUGGAUUAUCAAAUAAACCACAUAUAAUGGAAUCUCCUAAUAUAAAAAAGACAUAUUUCAAAAUUAUAAAUUAAACCAUAUUAUAAAAUAAAAUUUUAACAAAGUCAUAAAUUAUAUUACUAGUGACUAAUUUUAAUGGUAACAUGAAACACAAGUGUGAAUAUUUAAAAAUAUUUUAAUAAUUAAACAAAAAUGAUAAACUUAUAGUGUAAUGUAAUAAAACUAGCAAAAGUUAUAGUUUUUCCAUUAUCCCUUUUAUAAAUUUCAUAUUUUAAAUAAACUAAUAAAUAAUAUAAUAGUAAUGAAUUUGCUUAGUCUUCAUCAUGUAGAACCAAUGUGAAGAAAUUUUUUUUAAUAGGACUGAUUAAUGACUUAAUUAAGGGUAGGUUACAGCAUACACUAGGAGUCAAGAAAUAAGAUGUCAAGACUUGUACAUUCUGAAUAGGGAAGGGAAGAGUAUCCUAACAUAAGAGACCAAAAACAUGCUCAGGGAGAUUCUCGUUAGGAUCAAAUUGGGGGCAUAGAUGUAUCUCUUUGGUAAGAGUUCCCAUAAUUUAGGUAUUAAUGAAAUAGGUAUAAAAGAAUUAUAUAUCUUGAUAUGAUCAUGUUGUUAAUGAUGAUCUAAUGAGUUGAAAUAUUAUGUUUUCAACUGUGUAUAUCUAAUAAAUACAUCAAGUACUUAAACUUUAAUAUAGAAAUGCUCCAUAAUGGUUUGUAUGACUCAUCCUCUUAUAAACAUAUUAUUUAGAUUAGGCUAAAGUGGUCAAAGUAAGAAGAAAACUUGAUACUUGAUUUGAAGUAUGAAGAAUUCUUCUUAGACUUUGUGUGUAGUAUUGUUUGCUUAUUGUUGUGUUAAAGUCUAUUUUGAUGUAUUUUGGAAAGAAUGACCAACUAGAACCACUAUAAGAUGUUGCAAAACUUAUUUAAACAAGGGCUUGUGAGCAAGAUUUUUUUUUUUCCCUUUCAUGUACAAAUAGUAUGAUGAAUGAAAAUUUGAUUCUCAGUUGUAAUUAGUGUUUUCCUUAAGUUUUAAAUCAUGCAAUGAAUACUUAAAAUUAGUUUAAGAUGUCAAAGAAUGUAAGUAAACAAGGUUUUACAUGUUGGAUAUAUAAUUAAUGCAAAACCUUUACCUUCCACAUUGAAUGAUUACAUUUUUUCUUUAAGUGCCCUUUAAUCAUUCUCAUCUUGUUUAAUCAUUUUUCUCUAAUGUCUUGAGCAUAGUAGAUUUCUAUAAAUUUACAUGAGCAUUCCUUAACUCUUCUUGAGUGAUCCUAAACUUAGCAUUGAAACAAUCAUAAUUUAGGCGAAGAUGCUUACACGUCUUCAUAAUCAUCCUUGGUUGCUAGCCAUUUUUCCUUAAUUACUUUAGGAUGUUUAGCGAAGAUGAUUACAAAUAUUAACUAGUUCACUCACACAUUUUUGUAUGAGUGUAGAACAAUUUUGCAUUCUUUCCACAUCACUUAUGCAUCUUUGUUCCAAGAAAGAAGAUAUAGAACUCUUAUCUUUUGCUUACACCACUUGGUUCUCCAGCCCAUUAUGCUUAUGCGUCAUUUUUAUAUCACAUAUGCAACUUGUUUCUCAUUAAUAUAUUUCACUUACAUGUUCUUAUAUAAGCAUAAUUUAGGGAAAAACAUUUUAAAAAAAAAGAAGCAAAAUAGAUGUUAAUAUAUAUAUAUAUAUAUUUGGAACAAUUAAACUCAAACUAUGCAAAGUGACCUUGUCUACUAUAUAGGUGACUUUGUUUACCCCAUAGGUAGAGUAUAUGAUAGUGAUAGUCAAGGAAGCUAUGUAGUUGCAUGGUUUAGUGGAGAAUUUAAUGUUGCAAAACCGUUUUGUAUUUUUAAUAAAAUAAAAAUAUUUUAAAUUGUGGCCCAUUUAAAUAUUAUUUUCCCUAAAAUAAAUGAAACGUGGGAGCACAUCUCUUAUGGAGUAACCACCCAUGUCUACAAAUGUGGGACAUAUUACUCGGUUGAAAACUACCCAAAGUCUUUUUUGAUGGGAAGAAGAGAAAAUAAAUAGAUAGAUACAAGAUUAAUUCCAAAAGAGGGAAGAAGGGUCUCUGGUCUACAAGAAUAAGUCUGUGAUUAGUUUCAUCAGUCCCUAUUUUGUGUGAAUCUGAUUGCCAUGGCUGGAGGUACGAUCUUGGAUUUUCAUUUUAUUACUUGUAAUUAUCAGAGAUAUUUAUCUAACAUUUGGUAUCAGAGCCAAGGGUCUCUAGUUUGGCUUUCGAUUCAAUAUUUAUGGUCUUAAAUGAAUUAAGUUCUAUAUUCAUACAUGAUAAGAGAAAUUUAUCUCCAUAUUUAUUGGGUAUUUCUAAUUUAAUCCAAAUGAAGAAAAUUUAGUAGACUCCAUAUUUAUUGGAUAUUUUUUAUUUAAUCUAUACAGAUUUGUUUUUCUACAGUUGCAAUAGACAUUUCUCAUAUGACAUGUUAUGUUUCCUGCAAUUGAGACAACUUGAACCCGUGACCAUGGGUUACUUCCUUAACUAGAAUAGUCCUUGAACCAUUGGACUAAAGCCUAUGACUUGUUAGAGAUUGCCUCCUCUAAACUUAAAUGUUGGCUCCGUUAUUGUGAAAAACUUGUAUAAAUUAUUUUUAUAAAGUAGUAUUUAGAAACACUACUUAUAUUUGUUUACCAUUGAUUUGGUAAUUUUUUUGAUGUCAUACUGAGGUAACAUUUGAUUAAUUAAGUAAUAGCCACAACAUUCUUGAUUAUGAUAAUGUUAAGUGACAAAAGAAAGUUUCAUUUUUGUCACAUUAAAUUAAUGACAUCAAUAUUUGUAAAUAAUCAUAAAAAAUAAUAAUUUUACCCCACAGGGUAAUUAUUAUGUUUUGUGUUUAUUUAGGAUGGGAUGGUAAAAAAAAAAUAUGUUGCCCAUAGGCCUAAAAUUACUAGUUCCAUUAUAAAGUAAUUAAAAAAAAAACAUUUGCAUGUUGUAUUCUGUUUCCACAGGAAAGUUUAUGAUCACGUGUUGAUUUUUUGUUGAUUGAAUUAAUUUACAUGAGUAAAUUUUGUUUUUUGCUUCAUGGCAUAUUAGUAAGCUUUGUCAUUUAUUUUGUAGUUCAAUCUAUAUAUGUUCCAAAUUUUGAUUCAUCUCGUAUACCUUUCUUGAAUGGUGAUAAUUAUGCUAAUUGGUAGGAGAAAAUUCUCCUUACAUUGGGGUGCAUGGACCUUGAUUUAGCACUUUGUGUGGAUGAGCCAUUGGUUCCUAUGGAAUCAAGUACCCAAACUGAGAAAGCAUCAUAUGAACGUUGGGAGCGAUCUAAUUGCUUAAGUUUGAUGUUUAUCAAGUCUAGUAUUGGGAAAAGUAUUCGUGGUUCAAUUUCUGAAUGUGCUAAGGUGAAAGAAUAUCUCAAGGCUAUUGAGCAACAGUUUGAGGCUUCUGACAAGGCUUUGGCUAGCACCUUAAUGACAAAGAUGUGUUAGAUGAAGUUUAAUGGCACCAAAGGAGUACGUGAGCACAUAAUGGAAAUGAGAGAUAUUGCUACUCAACUUAAGUCAUUAGAGAUUGAGAUGUCUGAGUCAUUUCUGAUUCACUUCAUUCUUAAUUCUUUUCCAUCUGAGUAUGGACCUUUUAAGAUUUCAUACAACACACAUAAGGAAAAAUGGUCUAUUAAUGAACUUUUGACCAUGUGUGUGCAAGAAGAAGGAAGACUAAAUCAAGAAAGGAUUGAAAGUGCCCAUUUGGUGACUUAAGAAAAGAAACCAGGCAAGAAAGGUAAAAGAAAGCAAAAGACAUCUCUUAAUCAAGUUAAUAAGAGCGAUAUCAAGUGCUUCUUUUGCAAGAAGAAAGGACACAUUAAGAAGUGUUGUCCCAAAUUUAAAGCUUGGCUUGAAAAUAAAGGUAAUCUUAUCUCUUUAGUGUGUUAUGGAUCUAAUAUGGUUCAUAUUUCUUACAACACUUGGUGGAUUGAUUCUGGUACUAAAAUUCAUGUUGCCAAUACCAUGCAGGGCUUCUUAAACCAAAGGAAACCAACAGAAAGUGAAUGCUCUAUCUAUUCAGGAAAUCGGAUAAGUUCACAUGUGGAAGCGGUUGGGACCUACAGACUUGUUCUUAGAUCUGGUUUUGUUUUAAACCUUGAAAACUCUUUUUUUGUUCCAUCAUUUUCUAGGAAUCUUAUUUCAGUUUCGAGACUUUUACCAUAUGGUUUUAGUUUUAAAUUUGUUGUUAUUUCAUUUCAUUUGAUAAAAGACAAUGUCGUUGUUGGUGAUGGUAUUUUGGAUAAUGGUUUAUUCAAACUCAAUUUAAAUCCAAGUUUUAAUCAUAGACUUACAACUAUGCAUGGAAAUGUUGGCAUUAAGUGUGGUGUUAUAAAUAAGAAAUCUUCCACAUUAUGGCACAAGAGAUUAGAUCAUAUCUCUAUUGAAAUAAUUAAAAGAUUGGUAAAUGAUGGAGUCCUUGAGGCUCUUGAUUUUACUGAUUUUGAUAUUUGUGUGGGUUGCAUUAAGGGAAAGCAAACCAACAUGACUAAGAAUCAAAGUGCUAGGAGGACUUCUAAUGUUUUAGAAAUCAUACACACUGACAUUAGUGGUCUUUAUAAUAUGUGCUUAAAUGGUCAAAUAUAUUUUAACACUUUUAUCGAUGACUACUCACGAUAUAUGUAUCUUUUUUUGCUUUAUGAUAAGUGUGAAGCACUAGAUGCUUUCAAAAUCUAUAAUGCAGAGGUAGAGAAACAAUUGGGUAAACAAAUUAAGAUUGUGAAGUCAGAUAGAGUUGGUGAAUAUUAUGGUAGGUACACUGAAAAAGGACAAUUAUCUGGUCCAUUUGCAAGGUUUCUACAGGAACAUGGCAUUGUUGCCCAAUACACAAUGCCUUGCUCACCAUCCCAAAAUGGUGUGGCUGAAAGAUGAAACCAAACCCUAAAGGACAUGGUUAGUAACUCCAACCUCCUAUUAUCCUUGUGGAGUGAGGCCAUAAAGACAACAACAUAUUGAUUACUAUUCAAAAAGUGCUGUUUUGUAGCUUGUAAUUAACUCUUUUAAACACUUUUGAGUAGUAGUUAUUACCUUUUAACUCAAUUGGCAUGUUAAGGACCCUUGCAAUCGUUUCUAAUCAAAUUGUGUUAAGUUUUAGUGUUUUUGAUAUCUUUUUUAUCACCAAAGCAAUCUAAGAUGAGGGAGAGCUUUAUAUAAUCCAUGGCAAAGAAAAUAAAAGCUCAUUUACAAGAAGAAUCCAAGCUUUGGAGCUUUGAAGUCCUUUGCCAAAAGCAAAUCAUGAAUGCAAUGAGGGAAAGCAAAGAGAGAAAUCUAACAUGAAGAAUUCAAGAGGACAGCAACUGUUGAAGACAUUUUGAGUACUUCCUGAAGUCCAUUUCAUGCAUACUAUAUGUCGUUUCGAAGAUCGGGAAGUCAGAAGCCCAACGCUUCAAACGGUACAUGAAUUGGAGUUGAAAAGAAGAAGUUAUGGCCAUUUGAAGACAACCGCACAAAGUUGAGCGAAAAUUUCAUGGCCCAAAGCCCAUUUCGUACCUGCGAAAUAAGCUGCGAAAUGAAACCCACUUGCGAAAUUUUGUAAGGUGUUUUGCAGCUGCGAAACCACCUCCAAGCACACGUGUGCCACUUCGCAAGUUGAAACUCCAUCUUCGCAACUGCGAACCACGUUGCGAAAUCACCUCCAAGCUGCGAAACAAGUUGCAAAUCAUCUCCAAGUUGCGGAAUCACCUCCAAGUUGCAAAAUCACAAAUUCAACUUGCAAAAUCAAAGUUCAAACUUGCAAAAUGGACAAUUCAAAGUGUGAAAUCCACCUGUGCAAUCUCAGAUAUUUGCAACCGACUCAGUUAGAUUUUUUCUCAAGAUAUUUUGUAAAUUUCUAUUUUCUCCUUGUAAUCAGUCAAAGAUAUUAUUGGGAUAUUUCUUAGAAAAUAUCUUCUCUAUAUAUAUCUUUGAACCAAUGUAAAUAAUACGGAUAUAUCAUGUAGAUCAUAGAUCAUGGAUGUAAUUGACGAUAGUAAGAAAUAUAUUUUUACAGAGCACUUGCUCUGUUUUUCCUUCAUAUUUUUGUUUUCUCGUUAUUUUUAUUUCUAGCAAAUCAAACUCUGAGGAUGUUUCCUUAGAGGAUGAGUGGCUUGGCUCUUUGUCUCUUGGAGUGAAGAAAGCCAAGUAAGUUUCCAUAUGCAAAAAUUAGAAGUUUUGUUGUUUCAGUUUUUAAUGAAGAGAAAGUGUGACUCGUUAAUGGUUUUUAUCUUUUUAGUUAACUUAAAACGCCUUUAAGUUACCUAGGCUAACACUUGGUAAGGCAAGUGAUCUCCGUCCAUUGAGAUGCACUAGUUUACCUCUUGCGAGCCUUUGGGAGGUGACUUGAAGGUAGGAUUUUCUAGAAUAGCCAACACUUGGUAAGCUUUUGGACUCUAAGGAGACAUCCAUUAGUUAUCUCUUGCGAGCUUUUAAAGGGUAAUCCAAGGUUAAGGAUCACCUUGAAUGGCAAAUUCUAGGUGAGAGGCAUGAGCCAUUGCAAGAUGCAUCAGUGAGAGAGAUUUAGUGUUUGAACCCAUUAAGGGGAAACAUCUAUACCACAUCGAUUCGGGAAAUAACUAUAUGUUAAAUCCCCAAUGCGAGGAAAAGAUUCAAGUGACCAGAACUCCCUUUUUGUAUAAGGAACCUAAGCCUAGUGAUCUGAAACUCCAAGAAACAUUUUUCUUUGUAAUUAAAAUCAGUUACUAUUUUUGGUUAGCUUAAAACCAACCUUUUCAAACAUCUUUAUAUUUUCUUUUAGAGCUAACCUUGAAAUGAAAAAACACCAAUUCAGCUUUGAAUUAAUAUCAAUUGUGAAGUGAAAACCCAUCCCAGUGAACGAUCCUAGAGCCACUAUGCUAUGCUAGCUGAGGCUAUCCUAGUACAUGGUGUAAUAGGUUAUAAAUUUUGUUGAUUACUCCCGUCUGAGGACCACAAUCAAGGAAUACCAGCUGGACACGAAUCAAAUGACACCGUUGUUGGGGACCAUUGAGAGGACAUGAAUCAGCUGAUACACCAAUUGGGAAUGAAUCACAUAUGUACUAAACCGGGUUCCAACCAAGGUAGUUCCUAAAACGCCUUUUGAGUUAUGGAAAUGUUGCAAACCCAGUCUAAGGCAUGUACAUGUAUGGGGUUGCCUAGUUGAGGUUAGAAUUUAUAAUCCACAAGAGAAAAAGUUAGACUCAAGAAUAGUCAGUGGAUAUUUCAUUGGCUACAUAGAAAAGUCUAAGGAUACAAAUUUUUAUUAUCCUUCUUGUGCUACGAAAAUUGUAGAAUCUCAUAAUGCAAGGUUUUUGGAGAAUGAUGUGAUUAGUGGGAGCAAUGAAUCUUGACACUUAGUGUUUGAGGAACGCCACAAUAUUGAACCCACUCUUGAGUCUUCAAGUGGAUUAAUUAUUUUCCUGGAUAGUCAUCAAGAUUUGACAAUCCAAGAAACACCAGUUGUUAAUGAACCACAUCAUGAGGAUAUUCUGAUGGAUUUAGUUAUUCAACAUCCUCAACAAGGGAAUGUUGAUAUAACAUUAAGAAGAUCUACUACAGAAAGGAGGUCUACAAUUUCUUUUGAUUAUGUUGUGUACUUACAAGAAUAUGACAUUGAUAUUGGUGUUGAAGAUGACCCCAUUACGUUUUCACAAGCCGUGGGUGGAAGUGAAAAGAUGAGAUGAAUUCAAUGGCUAAUAAUCAAGUCUGGGAUCUUGUUGAGUUGCCUAAAGGUGCAAAGGUAAUUGGUUGUAAAUGGGUUUUUAAGACUAAAAGGGGUUCUUUGGGCAAUAUUGAAAGAUAUAAGGCAAGACUUGUAGCUAAAGGAUUCACUCAACAAGAAGGAAUUGAUUAUCAUGAUACCUUCUCUCCUAUUUCCAAGAAGGAUUUAUUUUGGAUAAUCAUGGCAUUGGUAGCUCAUUUUGAUAUGGAGUUACAUCAAAUGGAUGUGAAAACAGCAUUCCUUAAUGGGGAUUUAGAGGAAAAGGUUUACAUGAAACAACCAGAAUGGUUCAUCACAAAUGGAAAUGAUCACAUUGUUUGCAAGCUUAAAAAAUCUAUAUAUGGACUAAAACAAGCAUUCCGUCAAUGGUAUUUAAAGUUCCAUGAUGUUAUUUCUUCAUUUGGUUUUAUAGAAAAUGUUAUGGAUCAAUGUAUGUACCAUAAGGUUAGUAGGAGCAAAAUGAAUUUCUUAGUCUCAUAUGUGGAUGAUAUUUUGCUUGCUUCAAAUGAUUUGGGCUUACUUCAUGAGGUGAGGUGAGGCGAUUUCUCUUGCAACAAUUUGAUAUGAAAGAUAUGGGUGAAGCUUCUUAUGUCAUUGGCAUAAAGAUUGAGAGAGAGAGAUCUCAACGGAUAUUAGGAUUGUCUCAAGAAACCUAUAUCAAUAAAGUGCUUGAGAGAUUUCGCAUGAAGGAUUGUUCACCUGGUAUUGCACCGAUUGUCAAAGGUGACAAAUUUAGUUUGAACCAAUGCCUCAGUAAUGAUUUGGAAAAUAAAGAGAUGAAAAAUAUUCCUUAUGCUUUUUCAGUUGGGAGUUUAAUGUAUGCUCAGGUUAAUACAAGACCUGACAUUUCUUAUGCAGUUGGAAUGUUGGGCAGAUAUCAAAGUAAUCGAGGUCUGGAACACUAAAAAGCUGCAAAGAAAGUCAUGUGAUACUUUAAGGGGACUAGGGACUACAAACUUACAUACAUGCGAUCUGAUUAUUUGGAUGUGGUUGGAUAUUUGGAUUCUAACUUUGCUAGCUGCCUUGAUUCUAGAAAGUUGACAUCUGGAUAUGUCUUCUUAUUAGCUGGAGGGGCCAUUUCAUGGAAAAGUGCAAAACAAACAUUGGUUGCUACUUCGACCACAGAAGCGAAAUUUGUUUCAUGUUUUGAAGCAACGUCACAUGCUAUUUGGCUGAGGAGUUUUAUUUCAGGGCUUCAAGUUGUUGACUUAAUUUCUAAGCCAUUGAGGAUUUACUGUGAUAACUCUACCAUAGUGUUUUUAGCUAAGAAUAAUAAGAGUGGAAGUCAUAGUAAACACAUUGACAUAAAGUACUUAUCUAUUAGGGAACAUGUUAAGUCAAACAAGGUGGCUAUUGAGCAUAUUAGUACUGGAUUGAUGAUUGCGGAUCCUUUGACGAAAGGAUUGCCACCUAAGGCUUAUAAGGAACAGGUUGAACAUAUGGGACUCAAUUCUAUUUUUUAAAUUUUGUGUAAUUGAGACAUCUUUUGUGUUUCAUCGCAUUUUUUGGUUGAUAUGAAAACUCCAAUUAUUUCAAUCUUGUCUUCUCAUUUGGUUAUAUACAUAAAGUUUAGAGAAUGAAAAUAUGCAUGUUAUGAAUGUUAAGUAGACCUUGAAUGAGAAUUUUGGAAACUCAUUCAUAAAGGAAUGACUCACGUAUUGUUCUUAUUCAAAAGAGAAAGUUGCAUUGUAAUACAUGGAAGGUAAUACUUGUUCUUAGAGGACUUACUGACAUGAUUUAUGUGCUUUAAAUUCUUUUGAUUAAGUAUAAGGAUUUAGGGAAAAAUAUGUUAUGUAUUAAUUUAAUUAAUACAUAUUAAGUAAUUUUUAUGGGCUAAGUGGGAGAAAUGUUGGAAACCGUUUUGCAUUUUUAAUAAAAUAAAAAUAUUUUAAAUUGUGGCCCAUUUAAAUAUUAUUUUCCCUAAAAUAAAUGAAACGUGGGGGCACAUCUCUUAUGGAGUAACCACCCAUGUCUACAGACGUGAGACAUAUUACUCGGUUGAAAACUACCCGAAGUCUUCUUUGAUGGGAAGAAGAGAAAAUAAAUAGAUAGAUACAGGAUUAAUUCCAAAAGAGGGAAAAAGAGUCUCUGAUCUACAAGAAUAAGUCUAUGAGUUCCAUCGGUGCAUGGACAUAAGGUCUUGUAAGGACUAGCCAACUAAUCCCUAUUUUGUGUGAAUUUGAUUGCCAUGGCUGGAGGUAUGAUCUUGGAUUUUCAUUUUAUUACUUGUAAUUAUCAGAGAUAUUUAUCUAACAUUUAAGAGUUAAGCAUGAUCACAUUGUGAUUUAUUAUGAUAAUGGGAGUGCCCUACAUUUAUUUAAGAAUAAAGUUCAUCACUCAUUGGUAAGGCAUAUUGAUGUCUAAUUUCAUUUUAUUUAAGAGAUUCUAGAAGAAAGUCAUAUCUUGUUUUAGAAAGAUUGCUAAUGUUAAUGAGGUAGGUCAUAUUUUAAGAAAGAUUUUUCCUAAAGUCAAGUUUAGCCAUUGUUUAAAUGUGAUCCAUGUAGAAAGGAUCAAUGUACCUUUAGGUGUGUAGUAGCAAAAUCCUUAAAGAUUGUUUGGUUAGCUUCAUUUACAUUACUUAGUUAAAUAUUACAUAGUCAAUUACAUAGUCCUUUAUUAUUAUUUUUCAUUCUUAGUUGGUUUUUGUCUUGAAUUUAGAGUGAAGAAGAUGUAAUCAAUGAGUAGGGAAAGAGGAACAAAAAUGAAAAUAACAUUAGAACUAGGAAUUGGAGAAGAGGAAGAAGAUGAGGACAUUUCUAGCAAUGUUGCAUGUCAAUUUUUUGUUUAAUGAUUUCCUUAUAAUAGUUUUCAUAUUUCAUUAUCUCUCUCUAAACUAAACAACAUAUUUCUUAAAUAUUUUGAAUUCUUAUUUAUUUUUAAACUCUUUCAUUCUCUACCCUUUCACCAUUUUCACAUACCUAAAAUUUGCUCUCAAUUUAUUUCAAUAAUGUUGACAUAAAAGUAAAUAGCUAAAAUAGAUAAGUUAACCUUCAACCUAUUUUUUAUUUAUUUAUUUAUUUACAAACCAAAAUCUAGUAUUUUUGUUUAGAAACUAAAAUUGAACAAAAAUGUAUAAACUAAGAGAAAGAAAAAGUAAAAACUAGAGACUUGUAAUUAUAUAAAUGUUAAGAUUUCAAGUUAGUAAUUUAUGUUAGUAUUUGUAUUUUUUUCUUUUUUUUUUCUUGAUUUUUAUAUACCAUUUUAAUUAAUAUUUUCAAUUUUGUGAUUGAAGUCUCAAAUUUUUUAAUUUGUGUUAUGCUUAUUUUAUUGUUUCCAUGUUAAAAACCAAUGUGCAAUUAGUAUGACAUGUACACUUAUUAUUUCGAAGUGUAAUGUUGAUAUCUUAUUUUGUAAAGCCCAUGGCGAUCAAUCAUUGUCUCUCAUGUGUCUCAUUGAUGAUGUGUGAGUUUGACUAAUUAUUUAGCAUCAUGCCUCAAAGAUUAAUGUUACAUAUCGAAGACAUCUCUCUAAUAAACAUGACAUUCAAUACACUUUUCUUGGCCUUAAUCUUUGAUACAUGAUAGGUCCAUGUUCUACCUUCAUAUCUCCUAUGCCAUAGUGCUACAUUAUUUGAAAAUGAAUAUUUAUCUUCAAUAAGACCCUAAGUCACAUGGAUGCCUAUGAAGCAUGGAUGUUGCCCAUAGUGAAUGCCAGGGAGGGGGGUAAAGGUGUUUCUUACUCUAUUCUUCCUUAAGAUGGUAUCAUGUGCUUCUGAUAAUUGUUUUAUUCUUAUUCUAGAAAAUACAUGCUUCCUAAAAACUAAUAGUUUUUAUUGGUUUAUGAUCUUUUAUACCUCCUUCUAAUGUGUCAGCCUUACCAUAAUGCCUUGAUGUUAAUAAAUCUACCUAGUUCAUGAGCAAAGCUCAAGGUUUUGGAAUGGACUUUGUGUCCUUAGUGGUAAAUCUAGUUUCCCUACCCAUUAGCAUUUCAAGAUUAGUUUGAGCAUCUUGGUUUAGCAAUUAGAUCUUAUACUUACCAAGGUUGGAUUAACACACAUUGAUCUCAUUUUAGCUUAAAUGAAAGAGGUGACAAGUGUGUCUUCAUUAUAGGUGUCAUAUGAAGAAGUUUGUAUAUCCUUAUAGAAUAACUAAUAUUCAAAAUACUAUUUUAGAGCAUCAAUAAAAACUUCAUUUCUAUCCAAAUGAAAAAAAGAAGUGAUAUUGUUGUUCUCCUUGAUCUUACUGCCACCAUCUCUACCCAAUCAUCUACUCUCACUUUGUUUUGCUCUCAUUUUAAACUCUUGGGACAUUUAAAACUUUUAAGUUUUAGUUGUAAACUUAUAGAUACUUUUUUAGGAAAAAAAAAAUGGAAGUGAGAUCUAAGAUUUUGUUUUGAGAAAAGUAUUGAAAAAGCCCCAGGCUUAGAAACUUUUAUUUGCCUAUGUCUAAUAUGAACUUUUGAAUGAAAAAAACAAUGUUAUAUAAUUUAAUACUUGAAAGGAGUUAGAAGGUUUUUUCUAAUUUUGGAGCAUGAUGUACAUUAUGAGCCUAAAUCAUGACAACUUAAGUUGUUAGGAAGAUCAGUUGCUUAACAUGCCAAUAGUGUCUUGUUUAGUGGGGGGUUGUGUGUUUGAAUCUCACCUCAUUAUUUCCAUGAUUUACUAAAAUGAGGUUAGUUGCAUAGGAAAAUUUUUCUCUUCAUACGUGGGUAUGGGGUUGCAGUGAAAGAGAGUGUUAAAGAAUGGGAUCAAAUCUUAAUAGUUUAAGCUUUUAGAAAAAUCAAAAGUUCAAUAUGGCAUUAGAGUCUUAUUUAUUCGAAGGUUAUUAGUUUGGACCUAAAGACAUUAUUUCCCUAAUUUAUUGAGUAAAAAAAAGGCUAGAUAUGAGGUUGCUAAUGAGAAGUUAAUAGGGGUCCUGAGUCCAAGUCCUUCCCUCAUUAUUUAUCUAUCUAAUUAUUUAUGACCAUAAAGUGCUCCCCAUGAUAGGUAUGGGCUCACAUAUGAGGAGAGGAGGGGUGUUGGACCAUUAUAUAUGUUAUGUGCUCAAAUUCUAACAACUUAAUUAAGCUUUUAGGAAAAUUUAUUAUUUAACAUUAAUAUUGUUUUGUAAUCAAAGUAAAAUCUGUUGAGGAGAAGAAAAAUGGUAUUCUUCUAUAUAUUGAAAGAUACAGCAGAUGAGGGUUAUAUAUAACCUGUACAUGAAGUUAAUUUGGAAGAAACUAAUCACACUAAUCUAGGCUACAAUCUUGGAUGAUUUACAAUCAAAUAAAACUAACUUGGUAACUAGAAUAUUUUUAUUUCUAUAAUUGCUCCUUCAACAACUCACGUCAAUACUCCCCCUCAAGUUGGUGCAUAGAUAUCAUCAAUGCCCAAUUUGUCAAGUGAGUUGUGAAAUAUUUUGCUAGAGACAGCCUUUGUAAGAAUAUUUGCUAGUUGAUCUUCUGACUUCACAAAAGGAAAUUGAAUGACCUUGUCUUCGAGCUUCUGCUUGAUAAAAUGUCGAUCCACUUCAACAUGUUUGGUGCGGUCAUGUUGAACUGGGUUAUGCGCGAUUGCUAUGGCUGCCUUAUUAUCACAAAACAAGUUCAUUGUAUUCUGAGAUGAACACUUAAUUUCCUCUAAUAAUCUUUUUAACCAAAGUAGCUCACACAAUCCUUUAGUCAUGCCUCUAAACUCAGCCUCUGCACUAGAUAAAGCAACUACCUUAUGUUUUUUACUCCUCCAAGUGACCAGAUUGCCUCCCACAAAUGUGAAGUAGCCCGAUGUGGAUUUUCUAUCAGUAAUGUUCCAUGCCCAGUCUGCGUCCGUAUAACCGUCAAUGUGCAGAUGUUGGUUUUUCGUGAACAUCAGUCCUCUUCUUGGAGAAGACUUCAAGUACCGUAAAAUACGAACCACUGCACUCAUAUGAUCUUCGCUAGGACAAUGCAUGAAUUGACUCACCAAGCUCACCGCAUAAGCAAUAUCAGGUCGUGUGUGAGAUAAGUAUAUCAGCUUUCCCACAAGGCGUUGAUACCUUUCUUUAUUGGUAGGGGUCUGGUUAGGAAAUUCUCCCAAGCCAUGGUUUUGAACAACUGGUGUAUCAGCAGGUCUACAAUCAAGCAUUCCUAUUUCAGACAACAAGUCAAGCACGUACUUCCUUUGGGAUAGAAAUAUGCCUUGUUUUGAUCGAGCUACUUCAAUCCCCAAAAAAUACUUCAACCCUCCAAGAUUUUUCAUCUCAAAUUCAAUUGCUAAAUGCUCUUGUAAUUUAGAGAUUUCUUCCUCGUCAUUUCUUGUAAUUAUCAUAUCAUCAACAUAGAUUAUUAGAGUUGUUACCUUCCCCCGUUGGUGCUUUAAGAAGAGAGUAUGAUCUAAAUUACUUUGCUUGAAACCGUGCUUUCUCAUGGCAAGGCUAAAUCGUCCAAACCAUGCUCUAGAAGACUGUUUCAAUCCGUAUAAUGCCUUUUGUAACUUGCAAACAUCCUUCCCCUGUGUCGAAGAAACAAAACCCGGUGGAAUGUCCAUGUACACCUCCUUUUUAAGAUCCCUAUGGAGAAAGGCAUUUUUGACGUCAAAUUGGUGCAAUGGCCAGUCCAAGUUUGCAGCAAGAGAGAUUAGUACUCUCACAGUAUUUAAUUUUGCUAUAGGUGAAAAAGUUUCUUGAUAAUCUACCCCAUAUGUCUGAGUAUAUCCCUUCGCAACGAGCCUUGCUUUAUAUCUUUCAACUGAUCCAUCUACUUUGUGUUUGAUAGAGAACACCCAUCGACAUCCCACAGUUUUCUUUCCCUUAGGCAAUGGCACAAGCGCCCAAGUAUCAUUUUUUUGUAAUGCUUUCAUCUCUUCCUCUAUCACUUGGAUCCAUUUGGGAUUAUUCAUGGCUUCACUCACUGUAUCAGGAACACUAUCUGCAGAUAAUUUAUGAACCAAUGCCUUGAGAGGUUCAGACAAUUUUUGAGUUGAGAUAUGGUUGGCAAUUGGGUACUUUGACUUGCUCGUUCCAUGAUCGGGUGAAUAGCGGUUUGGUGGUUGCCCGCGGUUAUGCCUGAAAGGUAGUUUAUAGCCAGAAAAAAUAUUGUGAGGAGAGUUUAGAACUUGUACCUCAGGAAUAUUCUCAAGAGAUUGGUCUAAUUGUGGUACUGUCAAGUCAUGGAAGGGUUGUUCACUUUCAAUUUCCCUAACUUCUCCAUUUUGAUAUACUCUUGUUGGUUGUUGUUCGAUCUCUGCUUCGACAUGCUCAACAUUUUCAACUUCUCCUCUUUGAUCUAUCAGUAUUGCCAUUGGUUCUCUUGGCUGAACCUCCCUUAUAUCAUUUGAAGUUUCUUCGAAGCCUGGCCAAUUUUCCCAAUUCUGCUCUUCACUCGUCAUCUCCCCCUGAAGAGAGAAGUGGGAAGAUUGAGAAGUGAAGAAAUUCUCCUAUUCAAUAAAGGUGACAUCCAUGGUGGUAUAGAGUCGCCUUGUAGCUGGAUCAUAACAUCGGUAUCCUUUCUUGUGAGUUGCAUAGCCAAGAAAAACACAAUGGACAGCACAUGGAUCAAGCUUUGUCCGUUGAUUCUUGUGUAGAUGAACAUAUGUAACACAACCAAACUUUCUUGGAGGAAGCAUUAGAACUGAUGGUAAUGUCACAUGUUGUGCGAGAACUUGAAGAGGGGUUUUGUAGUGCAAAACUCGUGAUGGCAAUCGAUUCAUUAAGUAUACAGCAGUCAUUAUUGCAUCUAGCCAAAAUCGUUUAGGAACAUAAGCAGCAGUCAAGAAAGCUCGAGUGAUUUCCAAGAUAUGUCUAUUCUUGCGCUCUGCAACACCGUUCUGUUGCGGUGUUUGAGAACAAGAUGUCUCAUGAUGCAAACCAUGUUCCUGAAAGUAUCUGUGAAAUUGUGCAUUAUCAUAUUCCCCACCAUUAUCAGAUCAAAGAAUUUGAAGUUUAGCAGAAAAUUGUGUUCGAAUCAUAUUAUGAAAUGAUCGAAAUAUUUCAAACACUUCAUGUUUAUUUUUCAUCACAUAAAGCCAAGUCAUUCGUGUACAAUCAUCGACAAAGGUUACAAACCAACGAACACUAGAAGAAAUAGUAAUAGGAGCAGGGCCCCAAACGUCAGAAUGAACAAUCAAAAAAUGAGUGUCACAUUUAUUCAAACUGAUUGAAUAAGGUACCUGAUGACUCUUAGCCUGAAUACAAGCUUCACACUUAAAAUCUGACUCAUUAAACUUCGUAAAUAAAUCUAGAAAUAAACAUCUCAAAUACCGAAAUGAGGGAUGCCCCAACCGAUUAUGCCAUAACCAUAUCUGUCUUUCCUUAACUCCAGCAGAAUGCAUAUUAUUUGCUCGACCAUAACUAAAAUCAUCCAUGUAAUACAACCCUUCCCUUUUAGUACCACGACCAAUAAUCUCCUUGGUGAGAAUAUCCUUAAACAAACAAAAGUUAGGGUACAUUAGAGCAUAACAAUUCAAUUCCUCAGUCACUUGUCCAAUAGAUAACAAUUAAUUGGAAAGUGAUGGAACUAGUAAGGUAUUUGGUAAUGUAAAAGAAGGAGAAAGAGCCACUGUUCCAACCCCUGUUACUGGAUAUGUUACUCCAUUAGCAUUGGCAAUGCAUAUUCGUUUUGGUUGGGUGGCUUUAGAGAAGUCACAAGGGUCAAAGGUCAUGUGGUCUGUUGCCCCAAAGUCAAUGAUCCAGCCAUCAUGGUUCCCCGUUUUCGAGCAAGAAAAAACAUAACCUUGGUUACCUGAGUCAUUCUGAGCAAUCUGUUCACUAGUGGAGAUAGAAUAUUCUUGUUGUGGUACGAGAGAUAGUUGAGGCUCUACGCUCAUAAGAGCUGCACAACCAAGAUUGUCGCCUCCACUUGCUUCACGCUUUUUCUUUGCCUUGAGUUCAUGCCACCAAUCUGGAUAACCAUGUAGUUUGAAGCAUGUUUCUUUGGUGUGUUUUGUAUUCCCACAAUGUGUGCAGCCUCCUCCUUCCCCUUUUGGUUUUGUGGUUGUGUUAGGCUUUCCAUUUGAUGGCGUUUGAAAAGAUAAUUGGUGUUGAGGUUUAUGUUCUCCUCUUGAAAGCAUAGCACCACCAGAUAUGGUAUCUUCAUUCAUCAUCAUUACGGAUUGCCUCAAAUCCUCUAUUCAAACUUGCGCAUAAGCUUGUUCCACUGUUGGGAAUGGUUGUAUCUACAGCACAUCUGCUCAGAUCUUGUCAAGCCGAUCAUCAAGUCCGUCUACGAAAGUGUAGACUCUAUCCUCCUAUAAAAUAGAGUUAUAUUUUUGUAUAUUAAUAUCACAUUCCAUAGGAUUUGGUCAACGAAAGUCGAUUUCCCUCCACAAGCCUUGCAGAUUGUUGUAGUGUGUCUCGAUAGAUCCUCCUUCUUGUUUGAAUCUGGUUACUCUUCUUUUGAGAUCAUAUACUUGUGAUGUAUCAGUGCCAUCAAAGUACGUAAUAGCAAUAUUAUCCCAAACAGCCUUAGCCAUUGAGAAUUUGAUAAAGUUACUGACUAACUUUGGAUCCAUAGAAUUGAUUAGCCAUCCCUUCACCACUGCGUUUUCGGUUCUCCAUUUUCUGAAUGCAGGAUCUGUUUGCAGGGGCUGUGGAAAAUCUCCAUUUAUGUAUCCCAACUUGUCUUUACCUGAGAUAUACAUCUCGACAAUUUGGGACCAUAGUGCAUAAUUGGUACCAUCUAACUUGAUUCCAAUCUGUGUAGCAGGUUCAUGACUUGUGAUAUGGUUCUGAGUUUGGUUGUGGUUCAGUACUUGUGUCAUUCUUGUCAUAAGAUCUGCGAGAAUUGAACUCUCCCCUUCGUGUUUUUCCACCCUAAUAGGAGGUGUUUCCAUUUUCCUCUUUCUGUUUUUUUUUUUUUUCUGAAAUUCUAUGGCCCUAGAAUCUCUGCUCUGAUACCAUGUUGAAGAGAAGAAAAAUGGUAUUCUUCUAUAUAUUGAAAGAUACAGCAGAUGAGGGCUAUAUAUAACCUAUACAUGAAGUUAAUUUGGAAGAAACUAAUCACACUAAUCUAGGCUACAAUCUUGGAUGAUUUACAAUAAAAUAAAACUAACUUGGUAACUAGAAUAUUUUUAUUUCUAUAAUUGCUCAUUCAACAACUCACGUCAAUAAAAUCAACCCUAGUUAUUCAACAUAAUAAAAAACAUUAGUUUCCUUAUUGAAAAUGGUAAGGACUAAGUAAAUUGAUAUAAAAUAGAAUGCUUUAUAGUUUAUGAGGUGAAGUAUUAGCACUAUAAAGUUAAGUAACUAAUUUGCUAAAAUUACUAGCUAAAACUUGAAAAAUCUUAUCUAAGUGAAAAAUAAAAUAAAAUAAAACUCUUUAUUUUACAUAAUAGCAUAUCUAUAUCCCCUUAAAUUAUGAAAUUCAUGUUGUUUUUUCAACAAAAAAAAAAAAGAUAGAAAAAGAAAAAGAAAAAACCUAGAAAUGCCUACUCAAAAAGAAUAGAUUGAUACACUCCCUAACCAUAAAAUUGAGUUGUAAAUAUAAAUUAUAGUUCAUCCAAGUCUAUAUGCGACUUUUAGAAAUCAAUAGCUAGUUUCAUUUACACCAUUGGUUCGCAUUUUUUUAUUCCAUUGAAAAGAAAGCAAUAAAAAUGAAUUGAGACAAAAAUGAUAAUACAAUCCAUAAAACAUCAAUAGAUUUGUAAACUCAUUAUAAAGUUCAUAAAUUUUUAGAUAAAAAGAAAAACAAUAUAAAGAGGAAAAAAAAUUAGGAACUAUCAAGUUCAAAAAUAGAAUUUAUGGUAAAAAAUAAAAAAUAAAAAGAUAUAACAAACAACAUUUUAAAGUAAGGGUACAAUAGUUAUUAAAAAGAAUCUCAAUAAAAGUUUUCUAAAAAUUGAAAAGAGAGAGAAAAAGUUUUUGGUAUGCUUUUAUGGUUUAGGGGGUAAAAGUUCAUAAUACUCGUCAUUUUAUCAUCUUUAUAGGAAAAAAAAAUUAGACUCAACUUUAUCACAACUCAUAUGAGUUAAAAAUCUCUUGAAUGUAUUUUCUCUCAAGUUUCUAAUGGAUACCCCUUUAUCAAAGGUAUGGACAUUGAGCUAAAUUCACCAUUAAAAUUCAUCAAGUUCCUUUUUUCCUUUUCCUAAUUCAUCAAGCUAUAUUUAUGAAAUAUCCUAAUUAUUCACUUGUAAUAUCAUAUUGUCAACAAAUCCCUUAACAGAUCUACACCUAUCACUAGUUAAUAGAUAAAAUAACUUAAUAAUUAGUUUUAAGUUUUAAGGACUUUACAAGACAAGCCAAGAACCUCAGAUUGCUUGCACACAAUUGACAAAUUGAUUUGUUUUAAAAAGUCAAAUGCUAAAGAAAAUCCACAACACAUAUUGUUUUAAAAAUAUUUGUAUUUAUAUGACAAAAAAAAAAAAAAAACCAAUAGUUUAAAUUGGAAAAGUUUAUGCAAAUUAGAUGAGGAAAAUGCAAGCCAUAAAAUAACAUUAAACUGUUAUCAUUCUCUAAGAAACAUCAAGAACAUAUUGAGAGAACCAUUGCUUGACAUAAUAAAUUGGUCUUGAAAGGAAAAGAAAAUCAUCAAAGCAAUUAUAUUUGUGAUGCAUUCCUAUUUGCAAUAGGUUCCAAUAUUUGAAGCUCACAAAUUCUUCACAUUUGGAUGAACCUUUUUAUUGCAAACAUAGAUCAACCUUGUGGUGCUUACCAAUGGGAAAACAAUUAUAGUAAGAUAUGUAUUGCAAAUGGUGCAUGCUUGCUGUAAAAAUAAAAAAUAAACAAUGAUGAUUGGAUAAGGGAUAGAAAUGGAACAAAAGACAUUGAAUUGUUAUAUGAAUUAAUAUAUUUUAUGUACUCAAAUACAAAAGCAUAUUAUAAUAAUAUUCAUAAGGCAAAAACCACUAUUUUUUUUAUUGGGAAACCCAUAUGAGAACAUGGCAUGGGGCUCAUCAUUGCACACACCACAUUCUCCACAAAAAACCAUAGGACUAACACCAUGAAAACCCAUCAUUGGCACCAUCCUCUUGACUCUCAAUCCCUUAACCCUACACAUUUUCAAACCAAUGUCAUCAACCACUCAUAUCACACAACUCAUAACCCAUCUCUAAUUCCACAACUUUCACCACUGUUGUACUACCAUUCACAUCAUCUCUAUCUCUAAAAACCUACACUCACACCUCUACAAAAUGUCACACUUCCUCACCUUAUACAACACCACCGCCUUAUUAAUUCAUCCAUGCCUAUGGCUAACAUAAAAAAACCCACCAGCACCCUCAUAAAAAAACAAUACUAUUUCAAAGUUACACCACAUUAAUGUCACCAUGCACCUUUCCCUCCAUUGAAUAUCCCAUACAAUCUCUCAUUAUCACCCUCGUCAAAUUCGCAAUGUCUCUCCUAAAUCCUGUAUGACUCUUAGUUUUACCAUUUAUUAGGUUAGCGUCCUCUAGUUCUAAUCGCAACCACUCUAACUUCCAAAGAAAUAAAAUGAUAAAUGAGCAAGUCAUGGAGAUUUCUCUUCCUUACAACCUUUUGCUCCAAGUGUUUUGGUACCCUACUAUUUGCACAUAUAUGUCUUGACAUUAACUUCUACUCAAAUAUAAUCUCUUCUUGUUUUCAUGCUUACCUAUUUUAUACAUCUUUUUUUGUAGAUUUUUUAAUUAUUUAACAUCUUAAGGUUUGCUUUGGUCAUGUUGUAUUGUUUACUUUGCACACUAACCAAAUGUCAAGGCCCUUUUACAUACAACUGGUUCUACCUUAGUCUUUGCAAUACCUUCCUAAGGUAGACCAAGUGAUCUUGUAGAGUGUAGUUGUAGAUCACUAUAUCGUCCAAAUAAUACACCACAAACGAGUCUAGGAAGUCAAAUAAGAUGUUGUUUAUGAGGUUGCAGAAAGCGGCAAGGGCAUUAAUCAACCCGCAAUGCAUGACCAAGAAUUCAUAGCUACCAUACCAAGUCAAACAAGUUGUCUUUGCAUCAUCUCUUUAAGCAAUGAAAACCUGUCAAUACCCUAAUCAUAGGUUUAUCUUGGUAAAAUACUCCACUUCACAAAUUGAAGAAGUUUGUGUGUGUGUGUGUGUGUUUGUAUAUAUAUAUAUAUUAUGCCAUAGCUUUACAUGCCAUCUACUUGUCUCCAUUUCAACAUUUGAUCAUCACCCAUGGAUGCAUUAUUCUAACUAAAUCCACUUCUCCUUCUUUCAUCCUCUUUCCAUUUUGCAUUAGAAUUAAUCCAAUUAACACCACAUAUUGCUUCUCCGUUACCCCACAUUGGUAUAUAUGCAAUGAACUUUUUGGUUUUAGCUCCAAUGUUUUAGCUACAAUUAGGGCCAACUUUAUAUUAUUAUGUACCUCAAAAUUAAGCAUUGAAUAAUGCACCCUACUCAUCUCCAUUUGGUUCAAAUGGCUUGUUGUUGUUCAAAUUCAUAGUCUCUUCAAUAUCUUGUAGUUUUCAUGAAUUCCAUUUGGAAGACCAAACUACACAUGUAUUUUACAAAUAGUAAGCCUGAAUUUACAACCAACGAUCUAACAACUACACAAAGAUUUAUAAUUUCAAUAAAAUCACACAAUAUUUAUGCCACCUAAUUCAAUAUUUUGAGCACCAGGGAGUGAGAAUUAAUGGUAUUAGAAUAUUUAGGUAUCUUGCAGUAUGGUUACAAGUUAGUUAAAUAAUUGUUAGCUUGUUAAAUAAUCGUUAGUUGCUUUUUCUAUUUUUUUUUUUUUUGUUUGCAACUGGUAAACUAGUAGGUUGUGAUAGCUUUUUUACCAAUCUUUAUUAUAAAGGCUUUCUUUGUAUUACUAAAACAUCAAGUGAGAAUAUUCUAAAAUUAUCAGAGAACUCAUUUUCUCUUCUUUCCUUUCUCUAGUCAAUUUUCUAAUAUGGUAUUAGAGUCAUUUCUUUUGUCUCUGUGACUUCUCUAACUUUCCCCUCCCAUUUAUCUAAUGGCUUGCGGUGGUGGCAAUGUUAAUGCCAAUCGAGCAGUAGUUAGUACUCCUAAUUCCUCUAUAAUGGAAUAUUCGAGCAGUCCAUUUUUCAUCCAUAGUAAAUAUCACCAAGGCUUGGUUCUUGUCUCAUAUCAACUUACUGGAGCUAACUAUAAUUCCUAGAGUAGAUCUAAGCACAUGGCUCUUAUAGCUAAGAACAAGAUCAGCUUGGUUGAUGACGCUUUUCUUCAACCUCCAACAGACAAUCUCAUUUCCUUUGUUUGAAUCCAUUGUGAUAGUAUGGUUACAUUUUAGAUCUUGAACUCUAUUUUUAAAGAUAUUGUUGAUAGUCUUCUCUAUGCUAAUAGCACUUUUAAUGCUUGGGUUGAUCUUUAUGAUUGAUUCCACCAAAGCAAUGUCCCACAAAUCUUCUAAAUCAAGAAGCACGUAGUUGUUCUUGAGCAAAGAUCUAUGGAUGUCAACACAUACUACACUAAGCUCAAGGUCCUCUAGGAUGAGCUCAAAAAUUAUCAACCCAUUCUUGUCUAUCACUAUGGAGGCACAAAGUCUUGGUUAGACACCAACAAUAGGAGUACAUCAUGCAAUUUCUUAUGGGUUUGAUUGAGUCAAAUGCUCAAACUUGAACACAGAUCUUAAUGAUGUCUUUGCAUUAGUUGUUCAAGAAGAAUGCCAAUGUACUAUCAAUUAAGGCUUUUUUUUACUUACCGAUUCUCUUAUUCCCAACAUUUCAAAUUCCUUUACUUUUGUUGCAACAACAAAUUUUUCUCGAAAUUCAACUUUAAAACCUAAGCGUGAGUGACCCUAAUGUUCCCAUUGUGGCUUGCAAGGACAUAUUGUAAAUAAAUGCUAUUAGUUACAUGGCUAUCAUCCUGGCUAUAAGUCAAAAUCAAAGAAACCUGAAGUAAAAAAUUCAAGCCACCUAGGCCAAUGCAACUAUUAAUGAGACUAUUAACUUUGAUUCAUCCCUUGGAUCUCUUACUUUAGCUCAGUGUCAUCAAUUGCUUGCAUUCUUGAGCUCUCAACUUCAUACCAACUUUCUUAUUAUGCUAGAAUCUCAAUAGCUAGAACCCUUUGUUUCCCAGUUCAAUGGUAUACUAUCUUUUUCUUCUAUAUCAUAAUUUUCCAAUUUCUUUUUCCAUCUGGAUUUUGGACAUAGAAGUCGCACAUCAUGUUUGUUGUUACUUAAGCACAUUUACACAAUCUACUCCAGCACAAAAUUCUUUUGUAACUUUGCCUAAUAGUCAAUCUGUUGUUAUUAAUCGUAUUGGUUAUGUAUUUUUGUCUCCUGAUCUCAUCCUUAAUAAUGUCAUGUUUGUUCCUAAUUUCCAUUUCAAUCUUCUCUCUAUUAGUUCUCUCACUCAGAGUUAUAAAUCUUCUAUUAAUUUUAUGGUUGAUUCUUGUACUAAAGGCCAUACAUGGACCAAAACGAUUGGGAUGAGUAGAAGACAUGGCAGCCUAUACUUCUUAAAUAUAGUCAAUUUUCAUGCCACUACACCACAAAUUUUCAGUCCUUGUAAUAAUGUUUCUUUGUCUCAAAAUGAAAUUUGGCUUUACUGUUUAGGUCACCUUUCUUAUGUAACGUUACAAACACUCAAAGAUGAAAUAGAAGUUAAACCAAAUUUUGGUGAUUCAAGUCAUUGUUUAGUUUUGCAUUUAGUCAAACAAUGCAAAUUACAUUUAUUUCUCACAAUUAUUUGUCUGUUUUGCCUUUUCAACUCAUACAUUGUGAUGUUUAGGGUCUCCUUCACACAUUUACCAUUGAAGGUUAUAGAUAUUUUUUACUAUUGUUAAUGAUUGUACUCAUUUUAUUUGGGUGUAUCUUUUGCGUGCUAAGCCUGAUGUUACCGAAGUUAUUCCUAAUUUUUUUUUUCUCAUUGAUUCAAACUCAGUUUAGAACACAAAUAAAAUUAGUUCACUCAGAUAAUGCUCCUGAAUUGGCAUUUUUUUUACUUCUUUCAUUCAAAAUGAGUCAUCUCAUUUCAUUCUUGUGUUGAUUAGCCUCAACGGAAUUCAAUAGCAGAAAGAAAGCAUCAACAUAUCUUAAAUGUUGUAUGGUAUUUAUGUUUCCAAUCGCAUAUUCCAUUGGUUUAUUAGGGGGAUUGCAUUCUUAUUAUUGUACACUUAAUAAAUAAAACUCCAUUCCCACUUUUGUCCAACAAAACAACAUUUGAACUUCUUUGGAAAAAGAAGCUUGCAUAUUCACAUCUUCGUAAUUUUGGUUGCCUAUGUUAUGCAUCUACUUUAGAUCGUCAUAGGACAAAUUUCUCACCUCAUGUCAUUCCUUUUGUCUUUCUUAGGUACCCACCUGGUUAUAAAGAAUACAAAUUAUUGAAUCUAGUCACUAAUUCUGUGUUUAUCUCCCAUAAUGUGGUAUUUCAUGAGUCUAUAUUUUCUUUCAAAACUACUCAAACUUAUUCUCCUCUUCCAGAUAUUUUCUCCGGCUAUUGGGUGCAAAUAGGUGUACAAAAAUAAGUAUAGAGUUGAUGGAACUAUUGAACAAUACAAAGCUCACCUUGUAGCUAAAGGCUGCACACAACAAGAGGGCAUAGACUAUCUAGGUACCUUCUCUCAUGUUGUCAAAUUGGUUACUGUUAAGGUUUUGCUUGCUUUGGCUACCAUUAAUGGUUGGAGUCUUCCUUAGUUGGAUGUCAAUAAUGCGUUCUUACAUGGUGAUCUUUUUAAGGAAGUUUAUAUGACUAUGCCUCCUAGUUAUCACUUAAAGGAAAAUCAUUAUCCUCACACUCUGUUUACAAAAUUCAGAAGUCCUUGUAUGGCUUGAAACAAGCAUCACGACAAUGGUUUUCCAAACUCUCCAAUUUCUUACUUGUUAAAGGUUUUUAAACAUUCUAAUGCAAAUCACUCUCUUUUUGUCAAAGUUGUUAGUACUUACUUCAUUGCUCUAUUAGUUUAUGUGGAUGACAUUGUCAUUGUUAGUAAUAGUGAUGAGCAAGUUGAGAAAUUAAAAGUUCUAUUUAGGAAAGCUUAAAUACUUCUAGGGCCUUGAGGUGGUGAGGUUUAAUAAGGGAAUUUCCCUUAGUUAGCACCAUUAUGCCUUACAAUUACUAUCAGAUGUAGGCUAUGUUGGUUGUAAAACAAGGAAAACACUUAUAAAUCCAUAGAAGAUCUUUUAUUUUACGGAAGAAUGAUAGGCAAAUUGGUUUAUCUAACCAUAGCAAACCCAGAUUUAUCAUUUUCAGUACAUAAAUUCAAUCAAUUUCUUGCAAAGCCUAGAGUUCUUCAUAUGUGGGCAAUACAACAUGUGCUUCAGUACUUGAAAGCAUGGUUUGAAAUAUUGGUAAACACGGAUAUAUCGAUACUUGGAUUUUAUGGAUAUAUUGGAAAUAUUGGUAAAAUAUCGGUAAAUAUUAAUAAAAUAUCGGUAAAUAUUGGUAAAAUAUCGGUGGAUAUUUUGACAAAAAUAUUAGUGAAACAAAAAUUAUUCAAAAUUCAUGGAAAUGUUUGGAAAACUCUAAAAAAAAAAUGAUAAAAUAAGCAAGAAUACAUAUGUUAAAGUUAUUGUAAGUGGAAUUGACAUAAGUAUGGUCAAUGAGAAAAAUAUUGAGGGAUAUAUCAGUCUUAAUAAUUUAUUAUUUAUCUUAUCAAAUUAAUUUUAUUUUAUAAAAUAUUAGAAGUUCAUUAUUUUUUUAUUUUAGUAAUUUUUUGAAUAAAUUUAUAUUUUUAAUAUUUUUAAAAUAAAAAAAUUCAAAAUCAAUAAAAUUAAAAGGAUAAACAUAAAAAAAAAAAAAAGUGAAAUGAUAGUAAUUUCUAAAAAUAAGAUUAAUGAGAUAAAUGAUGAUACAUUUAAUAUUAAAACUAUAAUUUAUUUAAUUCAAAUACAUUCAACAAUGUAAAAUAAAUUAUGAUGCAUAUAUAAUUUUUUUUAUAUUUAUAUUUAUUUUUAUAUAAUUGUCAUAUAAAUGAUAUAAAAUAAAAUAAAAUAAAAGACUUAUUAAGAAAAUUAUAAUGAUGGUUUUAUACUUUUAUCAAUUAAUUAAAUUAAAUAAUUAGAAUUAAUUUAUUUAUUCUUUUAAUGAUGAAUUUUAACAUAUUUAUUGUGAACAUAUAUUUACAUAUGUGGACUUGGCCCAAUAGUAGCCAGGCUUCACCCAAGCCUUUUGGCCUGGGUUUGAAUCCCCUUGGAUGCAAUAGAAAAAAAUUUGAAGGAAUUUACACGAAUAUCGGCAUCUUUUCGAUAAAGUCGAUUGACUUUCAGUGUGCAAUAUCAUGUCAACUCUCCUUGAUAUUUUGACGAUUGACUUUCAGUGUGGAAUAUCUUGUUAGCUCUCCCUAAUAAGCAAAAUAUCGACAAUAUUUCACCAAAAUUUUGCAACAUUUCAAUGUGGAAUAUCAUGUUGACUCUCCCCAAUAUUUCAACAAUUGACUUUCAGUGUGAAAUAUUGUGUUAGCUCUCCCUGAUAAGCAAAAUAUCGACAAUAUUUCACCAAAAUUUUACAACAUUUCAAACCGUGCUUGAAAGUUAUGCAGGACAAGGUUUAUUUUAUUUUAUUUAUUUAUUUUUUUCAUUAAUAGAGUUGAAAGGGUUUGUUGAUUCAAAUUGGGCAACUUGUGUGGUCUGUUAGUGGGUUUUGCUUUUUUUUUUUUUUUUUUUUUAAUUAUUGGUGAUUCCUUAAUUUCCCAGAAAUAAAAAGGCAGCAUAUAGUUUCAAGAUCUUUUGUUGAAGUUGAGGACAGAUUUAUGGCAAAUGCAACAUGUGAAUUGAUGUGAUUACUUUCUUUAUUUAGAGAUUUGCAUGUAUCUCAUCCUAAGCCUGCCUUGCUAUUUUGCAACAAUCAAGCAACUCUUUAUAUUGUAGCUAAUCCAAUUUUUCACAAGCACACUAAGCACAUUGAGAUCGAUUAUCACUUGGUUAGAAAGAAACUGUAAAAUGGAAGCUUGAAGACACUACAUAUUUCAUUUAAACAUCAAGUGGGGGACUUGUUGACCAAACCUUUUUCUUCACCUCAAUUUCAUUUUCUUCUUAGUAAAAUGGGAAUUCACAACAUUCAUUCUCCAUUUUGAGGGGGAGUAUUAGAAUAUUUGGGUAUCUUGCAGUAUGGUUACAAGUUAAGUAAAUAAUUGUUAGUUUGCUAAAUAAUUGUUAGCUUCUUUUUCUAUUUUUUUUUUGUUUGCAACUAGAUGUGUCUAUUCAAUAACUUCAUAUGGUUAUAGUUAAUUAAGAAUCCUUUACGUAAUAACUAUUAAAAUAAUUUGUUUCCAACUUUCCUAUUAAAUUUUCUUCUGCUUAGUAUUUCAAAAAUUAUAGUUCAAGAAAGCUCUUUCGAUUUCUAUGUUGCACUGUAUCUUCUUAUAUGUUAGUACAAAUCAUACUCCUCUUUUUACCUCUUCAAUGAAUCCUUUUAGGAGUAAGACCACCAAGUGAGCACCCUUAUAUCGAUCCACAAGCUUUUUAUUACAUAUUUUUGGUUUGUGCACACCACCUCAAAUUUAAGUGGCCCAUAAAUUUUAUACUUUGGAUACCUUACCAUCCAAUCAUAAGCAUAAACUAAAUUUGAAAGGAUAAGUUUAGUUUAUUUUAGAGAAACUGAGCUCCAAGUCCCCUAGCCAAACAUGAAGUUUUGAAGCAUGAAAUUUUUGUGAUGGAACAUAUUUGCAAUCCUUAUUAAAUUGACCAAUUGUGUUAUGCUAAGAAUGCAAAUUAUGCAUGGCAAAGUGGUUAGAAAGUGUACAAAUGCACCAUCUUUUUACUUGUUUUUUUACUCAAAUUUCUCUGUCAAUUUUUUUUUCAUUCUUAUCCUUCUUAAUUGAGGCAAACAUGUUUUGGCUAGUGCUUUCAAAUGCCUUAAAUAUAUUCUUUUCAAUAUUGUAAACAUUUGGCUUGGUCAUUGUUAUAGUUAUCAAUUGUGUCAACUUUUACUUUCUCUCAUCCCCAAUUACAUAUGCACUUUGUAGUUUUAAAUUUUUUUUAGUGAUUAAUCUUAGUUUUUAUCUAAUUGUUUGCCCUAUAGUCUCUGACAUAACUAUAAGUGGAACAUGCACCUCUCACAAACCAAAAGACAUCACUUGUCUUCUUUAAUUUAAACAUUUUUGCAUCUGUGUAAGAUUUGAAACUAGAAUUUCACAAUAUCUCAUAGUCAUCUUCUCUAGUUGUUUCUCAAAGCUCUCUUCAAGAUUUAGUUCAUGUUCAAUUACCAACUUUGAGUUUUCAAUUUUAUUUUAUUUUUUCCUACAAGUCAUGAGGAAAUGAAUUUCAACUGUGUUUCAUCUAUCCAUCUCUCUUAAAUUGUUUUAUUCAAUAGUUACCAAUUGUAGAAUUGUUUUUAUAUAUUCUUUUCAUAGAUAUUGUUAAUAAAUUAUGCUAAAUGAGUAGCUUCCUGAUGUGGUGAGAGCUAAUUUUAUUAUUGCUAGGAUAAUAUAUUUUUAACUUUCUUGACUUUUUCCGAAUUAUAAACCACUCAUGCUUUGACCAAUCUCCAUGUGUUUUUCAUUUGUUUGGAUUUAUGGGCUUUUGAUUCUAUUUAGUGAAUAGAUAAUAAGGAAUUAAGGAUCUGAGAUUGACAUUAUUUUAAGGAUGUUUGAAGAUGGCAUAGUGAAGUAUAGAAUAUUGUUUUGGGUUGUAUCUCCUCGUUUCUCAUACUUAUGGUGGACAUUGAUGAGUUGGAUUAUUUGAAUGAAAUGAGCUUUGGAAAAAUACUAGUAAUUACAUGAAUUGUUGCAAUAUAUUUGAGUGAAAAUAUUAUGUUAGUGUCUCUCCAUGUCACUAAUUCAAACCUGUGACUUUCCAUUGUAAGUGGUAGAAAUAUAUCUUUUAUUUUCUAGAAAACAUUACUCUAACUUGUGAAAAAGGUUCUUAUGCCUCCAUGUUAAAUGUUAUAUGAUGGAAAAAACCUGAAUCUCUCUGUUUCCUCAAUCUGGAUCAAGUUAGGAAUAUGCAUAACUAUCCUAGGCUUUUUCUAAAUUCUAUGCACAACAAAAAAUUAAUUUUUUUUUAUACUUUAUAAGGAUCUAGAAAGUGCUAACGAAAACUAUACCUCAAAUUCGAAUGUUCCCGAGUCUUUCGCCCGAUGACUCAAACCUUGAUCUUGGCACACUUCUAAUGGGGAGGAAAUAAGGGUGGAGGCUAUAGUUCUCUAUCUCUCUGGAUGGUGGAAGAUAAAAUCCAUGGAAACCCUAACCUCUAGGGGGUAUUUAUAGGGUUCCUAAGUUGGCUUAAGUGACUUGAGCCCAUACAGACUUAGGUCACUUAAUCUAACCAAAAAUGAGUUCUAAUUAAUUAAUUAACCCAAUAAGGCCUACUAAUUAAUCAAUUAGCCCAAUCAAGAGACCUUGUUCACUUACCCCUAUACAACCUUGCGUAAUUAUCAAAAUGCCCUUAUACACAAAAGUGAACUUAGAGUCAAUUCAACCCUCAUAACCCAUGCUAACAAGGUGUAUGAGUUCAAAGCGGGGACCAUUGGGACCCAUAGAAAUACUGACUCCCUCAAAAUCCAAUUCUAAAGUUGAUUCAAUAUCACACUACAGAGAAUCAACUAAACUUCAAUAUCCUAUGUAAAUAACAACGAGACACUAAGUGAUCGGGUCUAUGACUUGCUAUCCAUUGUGUUCAGUCUCCCCAUGAACUAAUGUCUGUCGUUUAAUAAGGUGAAAGCUAUUAGUCUUUCAAGACUACCUCUACCUCCUAUUUUGUGUUCAAUUGACAUAUCUUAGUUCUCAAAUUGCCUAUGUCAAGUUCCAUUUAAUGAACUACAUGACCAUAGUUUCCAUGAAUAUACCUCCUUAAGAUCACCCAAGGGGACACACUGUCUCAAUCCCAAGAGAUAUCAUAGUGCCUCUAUUGAAAAUACCUAUUACUACCAGCUUCUACCAAUAAUGAUCUAAUCCAUAUGGAAUAUAUGAUCAACUUCCGAUUUCACCCGUAGGUCAAAGUCAUUGCCAACUUUAGCACAAGCUCAAUAUUCUCUCAAGGUUGAGAGACAACACAAUGAAACAGCUUGGUGAGGUCAUGACUCAAUAAUAGCCUUAAGUCAUGACUCACCAUAGGUCUUGUCCAAUGUGUAACCAUACACACUAGUGCACUCACCAUAGGAAACCCAUCCCGAUAACCAAGACCAGUGAUCCCUCCAAUUAGGAGGUGGUGCACUACAACCUUUAAUGGGUUGCCUAGACCCAUGAACCAGUUGUGAACAAGUCAUCUAUUUGCAAAGAACCCAUGACUUAGAUCUCCUGUGCAACUCCUAAUGCACCUAAGUCACGUACAAUAGAAAAAAUGCAGACAAAAAGGCUCAUAAAGUAUAAUAUAUGGAAUAAGAAUAUAUAAAAGUGAAACUGGAACAUCAUUAAAUAAAUAAUGAAUUCUAAGUUUAUUACAUCAUGUCAUGCUUUUAAGGGCUUUAUCCUAACAUUAUGUAUUUGAGAUAAACAUGAUAUAAUGAGAUUUAUAUUUCUCUGUUAUAAUAUUUCAAUAAGUAAUUGUGUUUUAAUUUUAAUAAACUAUGCUUGCAUGAAACAAUUCAAGUAUCAUUGGCAUCAUUGUGAGACAAAAGUUUCUCUUAUUACAUAUUAAAGAGAUUUAAGUUAUCAAAAAGUGAAAACGGUUUUAUCUAGGCUAGUUUCAAGUUGACAACUUUUAAAUUGUUUAUCAUGUGAUAAAGAACUUUUCCCCACAAAUGAUACUUGAAUUGUCUAAUUAAACAGUGUAGGAAAACAUAAUAUCUAUGAAGUUAAUUGUUUGUUCUUAAUUCAAUUUUUAUAAAUUUUGGUAGUCUUUUCUCUUAUUCUCUGGGUGCAUAUUUGGAUAAAGUUGCAUAGUAUGUCUUGUCCAUUUUACAUACUUAGAGAACUAUAGGGAAAUUCUACUAAAAUUUCUUUAAAAUGAAAUUGACCACAUUGGUCAUUGACACAUAGAGAUUAUGUAUUUCUAUAUGGGAUAGGAACUACUACUGAAUUUAGGAUGUUGGAGAUGUUAGAAUGCAUAAAACAUGCAUCGAAAUUUGACAUACUCAAAUGAUUUUCUUGUGUUGCUUAAGGAGUUUAUUGAGAAAAUUGGUAUAGACAAUGUUUGAUGCAAAGGUCAUGGACAAACCCAAUAUAAUAAUAUUAAUAUGAACUAGUUUUAUUGAGGUUAUACAUCCCUUUUAAUGCAAGUAUUCAUGGUCAACAACAUUUAUAACUUAUUAGUCACUACUACAAAUAAGAUAUACCAUGACCUUGUUUUUUCCCUGGCACUUUUAAAAAUGUUAAUAAUUAGCGUGAUAUUUGAAAAGUGUAGAUCUAUCUUCAUAGAUCAAAAUGGUUAGAACAAUGCUUACUCUUUUUCUUUUAAAUUUGGCAUCUUAACAAAUGUUAAACUACAUUUUCUUGAUUAUUAUUUGAACAAAAAAAAAAAAAGAGGUUGUUAAACGAAUAGCAUAGAAAAUGUUGUUAUUUUCUUCAAUUUGAAGUUUGAUCACUAUUGAAAGUUUGUUCUUAAAAAAUGGAUCGUUUGUGGAUUUCAAAUGAUAGAGGAUUAAAGGAGUAUGAGGAUGGGGUAGAACAUUUUUAUCACAUUUGCAAUAUAAAAUUCUGCAUAUAAAAACUCCAUUAAGUGUCCAUGCUUGUAGAGUGGUAAUAUGAUAUUUCAUACUCCUCAAAGAUUUCCUCAAAAGAUUAGAGAGCAUAUGUUUUUCUAUAGAAUUAAUUAGAAUUACCAUAUAUGGUAUUGGCAUGGGGAAGCAACUCCAAGUGAACCGCCAACUAGAAGGGUAGAACAUUAUAAUAUGGUUCAAUUUAAUGAUGUAGAUAGUACAAUAGAAAUGGUUGAAGUUGUACAAGUUGAAUGUCAAAAUGACCUAAAAUUGCUUAAAAGAUUACUUCAAAUUGUUGAAAAACCUUUUUAUAUCAUAGUUGUAGAAAAUUCACACAAUUGUUUGCAUUGGUUAAAUUAUACAACUUGAAAACACACUAUGAGUAGUCUGCUAAAAGUUUUUCAGAGCUUUUAAAAAUGCGUAGAUAUAUGCUGCCUCUAAAUAAUGAGUUACCCUUAUCUAUGUAUGAGGCAAAAAUGGCAUUGAAUACAUUAGGAAUGGAAUAUGAAAAAAUACACACAUGCCCCAUGAUUGUAUACUUUAUAAGAAUAAGUUGAAAGAUGCAUUUCAUGUCCUAUCUAUGGAACUUCAAGGUGAAAGGUAGAUAAUAUAGGAACUAAAAAAAUGACGAGAGCUCCUGGGAAAGUAAUGUGGUAUUUUCUUCCAAUUCCAAGAUUUAUAAGAAGGUUUCAAUCAUCAAAAAUCGUAAAAGACCUCUUAUGGCAUACCUAAGGAAGAGAUUUAGAUGACAAAAUGUGUCAUCCGGCUGACUCUCUAUCAUGGCUAAUUGACCAUAAAUGGCCCAACUUUGUUUCAAAACCUAGAAACUUGAGACUUCCCAUUUUAGCAAAUGGUAUAAAUCCUCACAAUUCAUUGAUUAGCAAAUAUAGUUGUUUGUCCUAAAGAGCUUGAAGCAGUAACUAUGGACAAUGUUUUUUUUUUAUCAUAAAGAGCAAGUUAUGGGCUACACUAUGGCUGCAGAUAGAGGUAAAACCUUUAACUUGUUUUUAGUUUGAUUUUUGUUUUCUUUCAUAAUGGAAAUAGAAAAUCAUCUAAACGAAUAGGACCUUAAUAAUUUAUUUUUUAUUCUACAAUUUAUUUUUGAAUAAAAUAAUUUAAAAGAUUUCAUUCUUAUAUUUGUUAGACUUUUUUUUUAAUGAAGAAAAAAAUAGUCUCCCUUUUAGCAUAUAUAUUAUAUAUGAUUAACAAUGGGUAUAAUAAAAUUUAUUUAAUAAAUAAUUGAUGUGACAUUCUAAAUUGAAAGUCAUAAAUUAGCUCAUUUGUUUGAUGUUGUCCCUAAAACUACAAGACCUGAUUACAUACUUAGAUUUUGUUCUUGAAAUUUAAGAGAUAAUUGAUGUGACAUCUUGAAUUGAAAGUCAUAAAUUAGCUUAUUAGUUUGAUGUUGGCACUAAAACUACAAUUCCCAAUGACAUAAAUUUUGUUCUUGAGAAAUGUCAUUAUGGUUCAUAGUAAGGCUUAGUUUGGUGUGUCAGACCAUGCAUGCAUGAUAUCUUUUCACAUUCUCUUGCUUUUUGACAAACAUGCUACCAUACUCAAGGUGUUUGUCAAGGCUCAUCUUGGACUACUCAAAACUUUAGGGUCCUUUCUUUGAGUUCACAAGCUUCUUUCCCCUAGUGUUAACCCCAACUCCCAAAAUCCACUCCUUAUUAGUGCACUGACGAAAUCUACAAAUGCACCAUAAAGUGAGAAUGACAUCAUGAAAAUGUAUUAAUGCAUCUUAGAUAUGGGAACUUAAAAAAAAAAAAAAAAUCUAGAGUUUAGACUUGUUUCUGUUAAUUAGAAAUUACUAAGCAAUGAAUCUUGCUAGUGUGGAAAGCACCAAUAGAUUGACCAAGGAAGGUAUAUAUAAAAAAGAUUGACAUUGUCAAUUGGGAAAAUUCCUCUGCAAACGCCAAUCCUAUCUUUCUAACCAUCAUGGAUGUUGAGAAGUAGAUAUCGAUGACUAUGAUGAGGAUCACAAAGGAUUAUCAUACCAAGGAGUUAGACAUUUGUUGGGUUAUCAACAAUUUUAAUGAAGGUGGUAUUAACUAUUUGGUUGUUGAUAGUGUAUUGCGUAGUUCAACCAAGCCAAUCUGCUCCUACAUUGAGAUCAAUCUCGAUGAAAAGGUAGCAUAUAUUUUUCAUUUCCUAAUUAUAUCAACUGCUUCAUGGUGCCUUUGUCUGAUAAGCUUAACAGGUUCUUCUACAUUUCCACCCUCUAAUUCUCUAAAGUUCAUCAUGAUAGGGUUGAAAUUUCAUCAUCAAAUCAAAACACAUCCUCCUAUAAGAGGCCUUUGAAUUCUGAAAUAAUCAAUUCACUUGAUUCUCAUAUUGGCAAAGACAAGCUUACACUAUUGGAAAGACUACCCAUCACCUUUGCCUUCCCAAAUAGAAAAGAUGAGAGAUAACAUUUCACAAAAUCACAAGAAUUAUUCAAGUUUGGAAUUCAUAGGCAUUGUUAUUGAAUUUCAUUUGUAUAAAAUUGGUGUGUUGUGUUUAUUUUGUUGGUAUUAAAAUUGAAUUUUUUUAAUUGCAAAUUGAUGAUUUUUUUUUCUCACAUUUAUACCCAUUAGAGUUUCUUAUUAGGGUUUGUGUUUGAAAUUUGGAGAAAGUAUGGUGCAAUUGUUCACCAGUGUGGUGUACCAUUUUGUUUGUUGUAUCUGAUCUUUGGGUAUUUGAUUUAAUUUUAUUGUUGUUGAAAUUGAAAGUUGAAAUCCAAGUUAAAUGUUUAACUAGAUAUUUGUAGUUGACUUGUUUGCACCGAUCUUGAUUGCCCAUUUCAUGGGAAUAAUUCAUUCCAAUUUUCCUUCAUGAUUACUAAAAAUAUAUUGUAGGUGAAGGACUAUUAUGGAGUAUAUUUAAUUCACAAGAUUGAAUAUUGAACAAAGAUAUGCCUUAGGUCUAGCUUAUAUGGAAUAGCAUAUCUUACAUUUAGUUAAUUAAAUAUACUAUACAAAUUUUGGUUAUAUAUAAUAUCUAUGUUACAAAUUUGGAUAAUUCGAAGUCUAAGUGACUUCAUAUAAUUAUUGUUACAUCUUAAAAAUGAUUUCACAAAUUAGAAUUACAAUGACUCCUACAUAUCUUAGAUUCUAACUCAAAUUCUCACUUGAUUUUAUUUUAUUUUUAUUUUUUUGUUUUCAAUCAAUUAAUAAUAUGUUAUGGGCUAGUUUAGCUUAUAGUUGAGAUGAAUUUUAUCUAAGAGCACCUCAAUUUGAACCAAAUUGAAGAAAAAAAUGACUUAUUAUACCUUAUGAAAGAUAAUAUUAUUAAUUUCCAUGUUUUUUUUUCAAAUAACCUUUUCAUGACAUGAACUUAUAUGGAACAUUGUUGUAUUAAUUGAUUAGGAAAUCACUAAGCCUAAGAAAGUGAGAAAAUUUAAAAGGGAAGGAAUGUCACCAUUGCAUUUUAGCACAAAGGAAGAUGAUCUCUAGCUAUGACGAAAAUUCAAGAAAUGAACAAGUUCCAUUAAAGAUGAAGGCACAAUUGGGUGACAUUUAAAAAAAAUGUCAAAGGAAGUUAUUGUUUUAGCUACGGAUAUGUUCUUUUUUUUUUUUUUUUUUAGACUUCUUGUGUUACUCAUAUAUGUAAUAUGCAAUGUGAUUUCUCUUUUAUAUUAUAAAUUUAUUACUCUUAGCACUUCAUUUAUGGGAUAGAUGAAUAAUAAUUACUUUAAUUUUAUUUAAUUGUUGGAUAGUUGUUGGAUGGAUAAAUAAUUGUCAUUUCUUUAUAUUUGAGUUAUUUCAAUAUCAAAUGCCAAUUAAAAUAAAAGAGCAAUAGGUGAAGCUAAUUUUAGAUUGUCACAAUCCUUGGCACUUCCACUAAGUGUCAAGGUUUAGAGCAAUCAACAAUGGAAAAGGUGAACGAUGAUGCUUCCAAAAAGCGUCAAGGUUAUUUCAUCUUCAACAAUACCAGUUUUUGUAAGUGUCAUUAUUUACAAAAUCAACAAUAACAUUGGCAAAUUGGUACGCCUCAAUGCUUCUAAAAAACAUCAUUAUUUGUUCCAUAUUUACAAUGACGCUUUUAAAAGUGUCAACAUCGCUAAACACUCUUUACAAUGACACUCGAUUUCAUGGUGCUUUUAAGAAGUGUAAUUGUUUGUAAAAACUUAUUAUGACAAGCUAAGAGAUGACACUGCGGAGAAGUGUCAUUGUUUGUCUUUCUUGACAUUGUUUGUCUUUCUUAACAGGUAAAAAGUGUCAUUAUUGAUCGAUUUUUCUUAUAAUGAAUCCAAUUGGUUGUGAUUGAGUUAAUGAAAUGAUCACCAACUUUUUUGCAACCAUACAACACUACAUAACCUUAAUACCUAUUGUUCAUUAUGAUGUUGUAAGAACAUAUGCCUUUAUGUGACCUAUUAAAUAAACUGGUCUUAUCAACUGAAAAAUGUUCCUCUAGUUAGUAAAAACUUCAUUCAUGUGGUCAUUUAUUAGCAUCAUAAUAAUCCAUAUUACAAAUAUUUAAAAACAUUAAUGCACUAAAACAUUGAUUUCAUCAACAAAAAUACACUCAUUCUUUUAACUUAUAGCAUUCAAAGAUGUUUAAAAAUAUAUAUGUACAAUAAAACAUCAUCAAAUUUAUUAACAAUUAAACUUUUAACCCCAAAACAAUCCGUUACUUUAGUAGAUAAGACACUAUUUGGAAUAACAUUAUUUUUAGCUCAAGUUAGAAGUUAAAAUGAUAAGGUUAAAAGAACAAAACCAACAAAAAAAAAAGUUAUUUUUUGUCAAACUUGACACUAGUUCAAGUUAGAUAAUGUAGCUCAAUGCCCUAUUGAAUUGAGUCAUAUAACUAAACUCCCUAAUUAUUUAUUAUGAUACACACACAACCUUUGGUUUAGUAUACAUGAUUAAAUUAAAUGCCCAACCUAGUUUGCAAAGCUAAAUUGGAAUCCCAAAUCUAGUUCAUCAUAAAUACUCUUCAACUGACUUGCUAUGGCAUUCAAAUAAGACAAUGACAAUGAUAGAAAACCAAAAAAAAUACCUAAUAUAUAAUUGAAAACUCCUUCCUAAAGGAGGUAAAAAAAAAUCAUGAAGUAACUUUCUUCUAUUAAUAAAAAAUGGGAAUACAAUGAUCUAUAUAGUGUUUUAACUCGAAACUUAUGGUACUACAAAUAUUAAAGAAGAAAUUUAAAACACACACACACACAACAAGCAUGUUGUCAAGCUUAUAAAAGUUGGAGAAAUCUCUGCAUACAAGUGUUCAAAACAUGAUGGAGAGUAACCUUGAUAUUUAAGUCAACAAUAUACAAGGAAAGACAACCCAAAAAGGUACAACUUUGAGAACAAACUCUCCUUUUUGCUUUUUCACAUAACCCCUUCUUUUUUUCUUUUUGAAAACUUCUCUCAUUUCCUCUAAUUGUUACACUAUACAACAAUCCUAAAAAAAUAGAGUUUAAAGGUCUGUUUGAUAAUCGUUUUUAAAAAUAAUUCUGAAAAAUAGUUUUUGAAAAUUAUUCUCUAAUGUUUAAUUUGUAGAACAAAAGUUUGUUUGGAAACCUAAAAUAUUUUUAACAUGUUUUUAAUGUUGUUAAAUAUGUUUUAAAAAUAAUUUUAUGUCUAGUAUUUUAUUUUUAAUCAUUCUACAUGUUUAUAUAAUUAUUUUUUAAAACAACUCUAAAAAAAUAAGUGAAAAUAACAUAAAACAAUUAAAAGAUGUUAUCUGAAAACACCUUAUUUUAUUAUAACAAAAAAUAAAAAGCGGUUUUUGGUUGUCAAACAUGUUUUCUUAGUUUUUUAUUCUGAAGAAUAGAAAAUUGUUCUUGAAAAUAGUUGUAAAACAAGAAUCUUUUCAUAUUAGUCUAGGUAUCACAUUAGUUAUUGCCCAUUUUAUGAUUUUAAUUAUUGCUUAAAAACUAGUCUUUCAACUAAAAAAGAAGGUCCACUACUUAUGGGUCAAACCUUCAACUUUCAAACCCCAACACAAAGUUAUAGUCAAGACUAAUAUUCACAUAUUAGUAUUAAUAUAGUUCAUUAAAUAUGAAUUUCUAUAGAAGGCAAAAUCAAGUUUUUAGGGGAAGUAACAUUCACUUUCAUAUUAAGCACUUUUUAACUCAUAAGUUAGUACUUGUAACAAAAUUUCUUAAUAGAGACUUUAAUUGAGUUUUAAGAAAAAAAAAAUUGUUUGUAAAAAACCAAUUCAAACAAAAUCUAAAACUAAUAUUAUUAUCUAAAAGGCAUAAUGAACAAAAUAAACCAUAAACUAAAGUGGUAGUGACAACCAGUAUGUAGCGUCCAUGAAUAAUUGAAAAUAGCCUCAUUUUCUAAUGACCUCGGACCUAGAAGCUCUAAAAUCCUUGCCUAAUUCUUUGUGAUGACUUUAGUUUAACCUUAAUGGCGAGGGCAAAAUUCUAAAUAAUUUUUGUCACAACUCAUAAAUUUAGAAGAAAAAAAUGAGAAUAAAUGGAAUCCCAAACAAGAAAUUGUUAUUUUUCUCUUUUAUGACAAAAAUCUACUACUAUUAUUUAAUAACGUGGGAAUUGUUCUUUCAACUUUAAUACCAUGUAUGACAUAACUUUAACAACCUUAAUUUAUAAGAUUAUUGAAUUUAAAAGGAUAAAACAAUUACAUAUUCAUAAGAAUCACUUCUAUUUUUUAACAACAAUAAAUUUCAUUUUUUGGACAAAAAUACCCUCCAUUGUUUUUAUCAACAUUUCACAAUCGAACACUUAUUGGAAAAAAAAAAAGGUAUAAGGGUAGCUAUAUUAAAAUGAGGUUAUAAUUAUAAUACUCAAUAAGUGGAGAUUGUUUUUCCAAAUAUUGGGAUCAUCUUAUCCAUUUGACACAAAUAUUUCUAAUUUAUAUUAUAAUUACUCUUAUAGUAAGAGAAAAAGAGUAAUUUCACAUGAAAUGGACCCAUAAACAUAGAUUUAUUAUGAGGCAUGUUACUAUAAUAAUAAUAGGAAAUAAGACGAGACAUGUUACCAUAAUAAUAGAAAAUAAGAUAAGUAAUUCAAUACUUAAUAAAGGUCUAAAACAAUUAUGCUUCUCAUUAAAUGAUAUUAAUGAUGGAAAAAAACUAAGGGGUGGUUAAUAAAACUUAAUAUUUAUUACUUAAGGAUUUAAGUUGACUUUAAAUUAAAUUAUGCUUAAAUUGUUAAUUUAAAACUUAUUAAUUCUUAUUUUAAGUAUUAAGACUAUUUAAUAAAAUUAACUUGAAAUUUAUUAAGACUAUUUAAUAAAAUUAACUUAAAAUUUCUUUUAAAUUGUCAAAUCGAUAUAUUUAUUUUCUUAAAUUAUAAUUAAAGUAAAGGACAUCAAGUAACAAUGGAUGUCAUGGAAUAGUGAAAGAGAUCUUAGAGGUAACGAGACAAAUUAUGGUAAAAAAAUGUUAAAUAAAAAUAUGAACUUAAAAAUAAAUUAAUUAUUUAUAUUUAUUACUUAAAGUUGUUUUUUAUUUUAUAUUAUUAAAUUAUUAAAUUAUUUUACUAAAUGUGUUUAAUUUAUUUAAUGACUUACAUUAAAUUACUUUAGGCUAUUAAAUCGGUUUACAAAUAAUAUCGAGUAGGCCCACAGACUGGAGAAUAUUGCUAUCAUAUGUUUUAUCACUACUUUCAUGUAUUAAGGUGCCAAGAAUAAUUCACCACAAAAUAUAUGAUAAGUUGAUAGUAUAGGAUACAAUCUAAAAAAUGCACUUGAUUUCAUCAUCUAAAUAAAUGCUCUUGGCAAAAUGGAUCAUCCUAGCUGAAACCAGAGCACAAGCCGUCAUGGACAGGAGGCAACGGAGAAACCCUUCUGCUUCUUCUUCUGCCUUUUCAUCUCCAACUUCAUCCUCAUCGCGUUUCCGCUCAGAGAAAUUCUCCUCGAAUCCCCCAAAAACUAGUAACUCCCUGGAGGAUGCUCACCAAUUGAAAAGCAAAUGUGGGAAGCCACAAAGACCAGAGCAAGAGGAGGAAGGAGAGCAAGAUCCGAACAAUCUUCUCUCCUUAGUUGGAACUUGCCCAUUCAUGUGCCCUGGUAAAAAUGCGUGCUUAUUUUUCCAUUUUUUUUAAUUCUAUUUUCCUGUUAUUCUGUGUUUGGUUUCCGAGAAAUUGGAGGAAAACAGUAGAAAAGAGAAGUGAAUCUGGAAUUUCUGUGUCAUUUUUGUUGCUUUUACAUAAAUUUUACAAAUAAAAUUGAUAUUUCCCCCCUUUAUUAGAUACCAAUCUGAAGAAGACGUAGGAAUCCCAAAAAAAAAUUCGCUUUUGCCUUUACUUCCCCCAAAUCUUUCAUAAUGGAAAAUGGACUUACCACCUCUUUUAUCACUUUUCCUUUACCAUGUCAGGUUUACAUGUAAUCAAACACUGUAUUUGGAGUAGAGCAUUUAUUCUAAUGUCAAAUGGUGUUGAAAACUUGAAUUACUGGAUCUUAAGACUCCAGAAGAAAUUUGAUUGUUUAUGAUUAUUGCUCCAUGAGAAGGGAAAGGGAUUUCUUUUGUUUUUGCUCACAUACAUGGCCAAAUUGAUUUAUCUCCUUCUCAUACGAACAAAAUAAGGACAUUUCUUGUCUUGCUGCCUUUUAUGCCACCGGUUCCACAUGCUGAUGUGACAACCCUUGUGCUAUUCUGUACAAAUGGUAGGAAAAUUCUGGUAAGACUGGUGGCCAGCCUAUCAUGUUCAGAGAAUAAAUUCAUUGUAUAUCUGGAAUUCACUCUAUAUCAGCAUAGGGUGUUGAUAUUGAUUAUAAAUGACUAAAUUCAAUUUAUUAUCCUUACAUUAGGGAGUGCUAAAAGGAUGCAAAUUGUUCAUGUUAUACCCAAAGACAUACAAGUGAUGCUAGAGAUUUUCACAAUGUAGAUAAUCAUAGAGUAGAGAUGAACACUAUGGAGUCUUUUGGCAUGUGUUCAUUCCAUGUAUGGGAACAUGCAUUGGAAGAUUAUGUUUCCUCCUCCCUCCCCUCCCCUCCCCAAAGUAAGUACUAUGUUGUCAUGGCAAGAACUUUGGUGACAUGCUUCUGAGUGGAAUAGCCUCCUAGAAGUCCAUUUAUGUGGCAAUUGGCAAGUUCUUCCAGUCAAUGAGAACUUUGUGACUGUCUGAUUGUUGUACUAAUCAUCAUCAGAUUUUUUUUAAGUUCAAGUUGCAAAUAGCCUUUCACAGUUGAAGGUAGCAAUGAAGAGGCCUGUUGACAUAAUUAUUUCUUCUGCUUGAAUGGAUUAAAAUCAGAUACCACACCUUCAGCCUAGAAAACUAUGGACUUUCCUAUGUACCUGCAAUUGGCUGAAUACUGGUGUGACACUGACCAAAGGCUCUCUGAUGCUGUUAUUAAUUUCCCGAGCAAAUAAGAGAAAACAGAGAGGUCAUAAUGUGAAUCAGUUACCUCUUGAGUAGGGAUGAAGGCUUUUUAUACCUUUUUACUUUCUGGUUAGGCCUUGGAAGCACUUCUGUGAACCAUGAUUUUGUACUGUAAAAUUAGAUGGGAUGGAUAGGUCACCUUAACUCUACUUUUGGAAGUGAUUGGGGAGUGCAUGACCGUAUGAAUAUUGAUGUAUUCUCCCCAUACAGAGCCCAACUUCUUUUUGAACUAGGAAGCAUGAAGGGUGGGUGCAUGUGGGCUGAGGAAGGAAGAUUUGACUUGUGUGCUGCAGGCCUGCAGUACCAAUUUGUUCCAGAACUUGAUAAGGCCCAUAAACUGGUAGGCAAGUUUCAUUAUUUGGUCACCACUGAAUUUCGGCAGUAUGGCCACAAGGAAGGUAGGAAGGAGAGGGAGAAGAGAAAGCCCCAAUUGCCAAUUGCAAUCUUCCGGUUGGCACAGUGCUCAUUUGCUGACAUUUCCAUUUGAUUUUAACCUUGAAACAGAUACAGCUUAACGUGAUGGACCAGUUUUUCACAAUCUUGUGAUUCAUUACCCAACUUCUAGUAACAGUUUCUCAGCAGAUGACUCACCCAUGACAGGCUGAUGAUGUCUGCACACAACUUGAAAGGUAUUUAUGCCAAGGUGUGAAAGGUAAUAUUGUGACACCAUUUUUCCUAUUCCAGAAAAUGUACCAAAUGUAUGGCUGGUUCUUGACCAAAAAAUGCUGGCAUUGGUCACCAAGUGCUAGGGUGAUUCUUGACAAAAAAUGUCGUAUUGUUCAGAACAAUGAUUUACAACUUCAGAUUGGCCAUCCAGUUAAUGAUGAUAAGCACUUGUUUUACAAAGUUCAGUGUCAUAAAAGCAAAAUAAUUUUGUCAACAAAUAUGGGGAUAACUUUAUCAUAAUUACUACUUAUGGAAUUUAAGGAUAAGUUGGGUAAUGUGAGAAAGUUUUGGUCAGAGGAUAUGAGGAUAACUUUGUUGCAAUUGCUAAGCUACACGUCCUAGGACUACUAGGAGAAAAGUAUGAGCAACAGAAUGAAUUUACAGUCCAUCCCCACUAGCUGCAUGGAGAGGUUGGGCUUAUUGCUGCUAUGGUGGAGGUCACCUUCUUGUAGACUUUGAAAUGUGCAAAUGAAGAGGCAGAUUUCUUAGAAGAAUGGGUAGGAUUCAGCUUGUGGUAGAUAUUGAGCUUAUCGCCUCUAAUUUCAUGUCUUCUCAAUGUGGAUUUGAGGUUUAACGAGAUUUUUGGGAAAUCAUUAAGAUUAAAAGUAAUCGAAGACUUUCACAUUAAUGAGGUAAUGAAUAACCACUGAUACUUCUUCACCCCAAAGUUCCUUCACAAAAAUUUGGUGAGUGAAGAACUAUUACUGAGUUGUGAAGCACCAAUUCCAGCUUCAUUAUCUUGAUCUUCAGAAAGAGGGAUCCAACUUGAUUUGGGAUUUUAUACCUGUCAACCCAGUCACUGGUUUUUAGGAGAAUACUUCCAAUUUACCCUUGGGUUGCUUUAGAAAGUUUCUUAAUAGUGCCAUCUCUCUAGCUUAAGGGGCUUUUGUUAAUGGAAGGCAAAUUCUAGAUGUGGUUAUCAUUAGUAAUGAAAUCCUAGAUAAAAAAUUCUGUUCUAAGGACGAAGGGAUGGUUUUUAAAAUAGGUUUUGAGGAAGUUUAUGAUCACAUAGAUUGGGGUUUCAUGUAUGAUACAUACUUUGAAUAGGGAAGGCCCUUGAACCUGGAUGGCACAAAGGGACUGGAUAUUUUGAGGUUGUUUUUCAAACUGCAGACUCUUUAAUGGUUAUUGAAGCUGAGUGAUUAGCACUCGAGGAAGAUUCGGACAUGGUUGUUUGCCUGGAUGUAAUGAACCUCCAUAUUGAAGGGGAUUCCUUUGUUAUUGUCUUAGAACCUUCUUUGAAGGCAAAGGUCCUUAGUGGAUUGCUCAUCAGAUGGGGUGGCUUCAUAAUCAUGCUAGAGACAUUGCUUGUUCUUCUCUAUUGAGGCCCAGAUCAGCUAGCCAGGUGCAUGGCUAUAUUUUUCUUAUAGGGAUGCUAAUAUCUGAAAUUUUUUAUUGAGAACACUUACCGCUCUUUGAUUGGUUUGAGGCAUGGAGCGGCUUUUCUGUUCUCUUCUUGCCAUACAUGCAUAUCAUCCCUCUUUUUUUAUCUUGUUUAACUCAAUAAAUUCUCAUUUGUUAUAAGGAAAAAAAGAGAUAUUAUGUUACAUGAUGGAAGGACUUUAUUCUGUUAUGGAGUAUGCAAAACCUAGAUCUAUUAGCUAGAGCUAUACAGUAGGCUGUUGGGUUGUUCAGUAUUGUCUCUUUUUUGGAUAGGUUUGGCCAAUGCCCCUUGAUGUUACUUUUUGGUGAUGUAAUUUUCUUUGAUUUUUCUUGAAAAUUCCUCAUUUUUCAAGCUUGCUUGUAUAUCUUUUCUUCUUCCAUUAAUGAUUGUUUGAUUCCUUACUAAAAUAAAUAACAAAUUAUGAUGGAAAGGAUUAUGUUUAUGGAAAAUUUUGAGAUUUUCACCAGAUUAGAGUCUCCGAAGCUGGUAUUUGUCUUUACACAGAUAAUAGGAAUCAUUUUCCCCCCAAACUACAUAAGACAUGUCUGCUACUUGGUAAUGUUCCAUUGGCAGUUAUAAACUCUCCUGUCAAAUGUGAAUCUGUUGUAGCAUUCCGAAUGGUGUUGUGUCGUACAUAGAUUGGUAAUUGAGGACUUUAUUAUGGAUUUCGUCCUGUUUUGGUUGUGCCAACAAGUUCUAUCCUGUUCUUUGUCUUGCUGAUUUGCGUGGUUGUGCAUCAUGUUCCUACCAGCUGUAUAAUUAUGCUUCUGGAGCAUAGUUAUUCUGGUUUUACCAUCCAGAUGAUGGUACUAAAGUAUUUGUAUUCUAGAUUGCACAACUCCUUAUAUGGGAUAUUUUUGCAUCAAAUGCUUAGUGAUCAAGAGAACUCUCAUAUUAAACACAUUCAUCUUCUAUUAAACUAAAUUCCUUAAGUCUGCAGUCUCACAACUACAUCAUACCAUUCUUUUCCUUUUUUCUUCCUUUCUUGCUAUUACAGGUUGGUUGCCACUAAUAUAGUAGAAAGCAAAUUACACGACCCUGCUUCCAUAAGACCUUUCUUAUUCCAUAGGUUGAAAUAGAAAAAACACUCGAUGGGACUAAUGCUUCUCUUUGCAAGCAAGCAAAUUAAAAUGUUUUGAAACCCAUGCUGCCAUGAUCUAGCUAAUUUGCAUUUUAUAUGUCUACUCCUUUCUAUUUACUCAAAUUGUGUAUUUCUUUUGCUUGUAUUUAUUUCCUGAUGAGUUUAUUCUGAUUCUUUGAUCAGGAUUUCUGCAAUCACAUUGCUUGCUAUUGAAUUUUCAAGGGCUUAAUAUGAAUUAUUAAUAAAGAAGUUGUUUAAUUAUUUCAGCAGCUUAUACUUUGUAAUUUCUUUUAACAACUCUUAUCUCUGAUGUUCAUUUGUAAUAAAUAGCUGGAGAAAGGGCCCAACGUGAACGCCUUCGGGACUUAGCUGUGUUUGAGAGGUUACAUGGAAAUCCUGGGAAAACAUCUCCAAGCCUUGCUGUCAAAAAGGUAAACCCUACAUCUCAUGCCUCUAUACCGCAUCUUAGCUUCUCAUCUUGCAUCGGACAAUGAUACUCUUAUUGAAUCAUCUUUACCAUAUCAGCCAUCAACAUGUGCACUUAUUGAGCACUAAUUCAGGCACUGAUACUUGUGCUUUUGUUUUGUUUUAUCUUCUCUUGUCUUGUUUUGUUAUGGAUGUGAUUGUGUUGGAUGACCUGUAUCUGUGUUAGACACCAAAGCCUAUCUUAAUGGUACUGUAAAGUAAGACUAUGCUAAUAAGCUAUUGAUCUGUUACAGGGUUUAUGCCAAACUGAUUUUUUAGUUUCUCUAGUAGAAAACUUGUUUUUUCCCCUGUUAUAUCGGUGCUAUUGUUGGAUUUGUGUUUGUUGUUGAUCAAGCAUUUGCUGAAACUUUUUUUUUUUUUUUUUUUCCUUUGCUUCUUGAUGUGCAAAGCAUUAUUGUUUGAAUUUUAAUGAUCCCAUUUGAUUCACUAUUCAAUAUUUUUAUUUGAUAUUACAUCUAUCUCAUUUGUUUUCUUUUCUUAGUUUUUAUUUUUAUAUUUUAUAUUUUUAAUUUUUUUUUAAUUUUUUGAAUUAGUGACAUUUGAAUUUGAUGGAGCCACCAUUAAUUUAUUUUUCCUUAUUAUUGUGGGGUGUGCUUUAUUUUGUUCAAUUGUUGUUGCACUAUUAUUAUCAUGUAACUUUUUUUUUUCUUUUCUUUUUUUUUUGUUUAAUCUAUUGUUCCUAUGAGCAUUAAAUGCUCCUAAAAUGUAUGGAAUAGGCUAAACCUUUCUAUAGUUUUUUUAAAAAAACUCAUUUAUUAUCUAUUUUCUUGUGCUCAAAAAAUUAUAUUUUUUUAGUAAAAUUGAAAAUUUAGGGAGCGCUUAGGCCCCAGCGGCUCAACCCCUUGAGGGUUUAUGCCUAUUGUAGCAAGAUGUGGACCCCCUUGCCUCUUAUGCUUUUACCUUAUGAAACUAUACCAAGAAAAAAACGCCACAACUCCCUGCUGCCAUCAAAGGAUACUUCAAAUUUUGCUUGAUAUCAAUUUUAAGGCUAAUUAUCAUAGGCUUGUCAUCAUGUCACUAAAAUUGGUAUUGUAACCAAAGUCCUAUUGCGAAAUCUUCAAGUUGCAGCUCCUUUUUUUCUGUUGGCUCUUGUAUUGUUAGGUGGCCGCAACCUGUUGCUUUACUUAUGCUUUAUGAACUACUCCAGUUAAAAUAAUGCUUCGAGUAGAUGCUUUUUGGAUCUUGACUCUAGCAAGAGGCUUAUAUUGCAAAUUUUUUUUGUGGAGUCCUAGAUAGGUUAACUAGGAAGACAAUAGCUUGCUUAAAAGGAUUGCCACCUCUCCUGUUGGGUUUGUAAAAAUUUUGCUUCUCCCUUGACCUUGGGAGUCCUGUGGUUUCAAUUUUGGGUGUGCUCUAGGUUGUAGCCUGUGUUAUGCUUUCUAAAUGGUAAUCUUCUUGUUUUGGUUGGGAUGCUUUUGUUUAUUUUGCUUGUUUGCUUUCUUUGUUUCUUUAUAAUUGUGGCUAUAGGAUCACCAAUCAACUUUAUAUUUUUUGCAAAAACUGUUUAUGUUUCAUAACGAAAAAGGAAAAAACAAAGGCAAGUUAGCCUACAAUAGGUUCUAUCUUGUUUCUUCUUUUACCAUUAGUGUGGAUUCGAACUCAGGAAAAGGCCUUCAAGCAAGUGGCAUUUGUGUUUUUUAAACAUAUAUCUUUGUUCAAUCAUUGUUAAGUGUUUGUUGUCUUGUCUGUUCUUUUGGUUGUUUUUGUCUUUGUCAAAGUGUAUAACUGUAAUAUCCUACAUCGUAUAGAAGAAAAAGUUUCUAGUGCUAUAUAUGUAUGAAUUUCUUUUAAUCUUGUUGAUUCGUUUUUAAGCCGUGAGGGUCGCUUAGGCUCAAAACAAAUAAUAUCCACACAACUGGGAGCAGGUUGUUACAAAUGGUAUCAAAGUCAAUGCUCGACCUUGGUGGGAGAGUUUGUUUGGCCUGAAAUGGGUGUCCGUUUAUUUGACCCUACAAUCCUGUUGGACACAACAAGAACGUUGUGUCUGCAUGAGAGAGAGGGUGAUUGUAAUAUCUUACAUUAGAUAGGGGGAAAAGUUCCUAACGUUAUAUAUAUAUAUAUGUCUGUAUGUAUGUAUGUAUGUAUAUAGACUCCUUUUAACCUUGUAAACGUAUUUUAAAGUCAUGAAGGCCCCUUAAGUAUAAGGUGGAUAAUAUCUAUACGGUUGAGUGC